rnacentral:lncRNA from 1 species
AUUGCUAGGGCACAGUCUUCUGAGAAAAUACUUUUCUCAGUCGACGCGACAUUUAGAUGAAAUAAAUAAAAUAAUAACUAGUAUUUGGCAAAAGUCGUUUGUUGGUCUGGUGGUUCGGUGGUGUUAUGCAUGUAGUGCAUGUAGAGCAGGGCUCCGGCACCAGCGGGUUCGGGUACGGUCAAUACCGACGACCGACCCUCAACCGCUAUCGGGUAUGAAAUUUAACCGUACCCGCCACUCGCCUCGGGUACGGGUUACCCGCGGGUAUUUUUACCUGACCCGCUGAGCAUUUAGAAAACCGAAUUCAGCAGCAUACACACAGAAAAUAAAAAAGUAGGAGCAGAAAACAAAUCAGUAUGCAUCAUCAUAAAACUCUCACACAUUGUCGAACUAGCUAGCAUUAAUAAUCUUCCGUUCUGAACAACACAGAGCAAAGCCAGCAGCGGCGCCGUUUCAAACAGCACGAACUCCCCUGUGCUCCUCGUCUUCCAAUUUUCCUACUUCUCCAACAUACCUCAAUUAAUUAUUACAGGCGUAUCUUUUGAACUUUGGUGUCGUUUGCUUUUCUCAGUUUUUCCUAAUUGAGCACAACGUUGAUGCAAACCGUUCUUACCAUCAAGGCAUCAAUGUAACCACGCACCCAAAGAGCAUGCGGGUCCUCAUCACGCUGGACUGGCGGGUGGCACACCGAACCAUGGCUCACCCAUCGCGUCCUUAAGGAGCACGCCGAACAGCUUCACGUUCUUCUCCUCGCACUCGGGUCGGCCCUGGCGUCCGCAGUCGGCAGGUGUCGUGCCUGUUGGAGGAGGCAGGUGCGCGGUCGGCGGACUGGUGGAGGAGGCGGGGCGCGGCCGCGCGGGCAGGUGGAGGAGGCGGGGCGUGGCCGCGCGGGCUGGUGGAGGAGGAGGCGCGGGCCGGCGGACUGGCGGAGCGAGGCCGCUCGGGGAGGAAGCUAGGCGUCAGCGGAAGGCGGAGAGCUGGAGGAGAGGCGGCCAGGUGGGGGCGUGAGCGCGACGGCGCGGUGGAGGGCAGGCGCCCCGGCCUGGCGGCGGACACGGGAGGGGAUUCAGGCGGGGCGGGGAAUUUGGGGGUUAGGGUUAGGUCAGUGGGGCUGAGGGCAUCCGGGUUUAUAUACGAUGUGUAUUGGUUUGGGCCUUAGGGAAAGAAUAAUGGACGUAUGUACUGGGCUGGCUAGUCAAGUGCAGGUACAUGGGUGUACGGGUUCGGGUAGUACAAUACCAUAUCCGUAUCCGUCAUACCUGUCGGUACAGAAUUUUACCAUUUGCGUAUCCGCGGGUAUUUUUUCUCACCAUACCCGUAUCUUAAACGGGUACAUACCCGUCGGUAUGCGGGUAUCGGGUACCCAUAGCCAUCCGUAAGCAGGACGCAGGUUCGAAUCCUGGACGCUCUAUUUUUUUUACUUUCGGUUUUUAUUUAUAACUAUUUUUUUGUUUGUAAUUUUUAUUUCUCUUGAUUUUCUUUGUUUUCAAGUUUAUAUAUGUUCACUAAUGUAAAAUAGCAUUAUAAUAUAAUUUGUACAUUUAUUUUAUUCGAAAUAUUGCACAUUCGGACGGCUAAAAUUGCACGUGAAAUUUUGUGUGCAAAUUUGGAUCUUGAAUAUUAAAAUUGGAUAUUGCACCUUCGGAUGGCUAAACUUGCACGUGUUUUUUUGUACAAAUUUGGAUUUUGAAAUAUACGAUUAGAUAUUGCACUUUCGGACGGCUAAAUUUGCACGUGAAAUUUUGUGUGCAAAUUUGGAUUUUGAAAUGUACAAUUGAAUAUUGCACCAUCAGAUGAUUAAAAGUGCACACGAAAUUUUGUGUGCAAAUUCUUAUUUUGAAAUGUGCAAUUUGAUAUUACACCUUCGGAUGGCUAAAAUUCCACAUGUUUGGAUUUUAAAAAUUGCACGUGAAAUUUUAGAUGCGAUUUUUAAAAAUUGCAAGUGAAAUAUGGGCAAUUAAAAAUUGCACGCAAAUUUCACUCUCUCACACACGCACACACGCACACGCACGCGCGCGCACACACAGCCCUGAGCCAUCGACUGAGAAACUCUCUCAGUCGACUUAGACGUAGGCACUUUUUUUUUCCGAAGGAGAGUUUAUUAGUUCACGCUACCUUGUUCCGUUAAGCAAACUCUCCAACUUGCUGCCCAAAAGAAAAAAGAAAAAAACCAACUCGAAGGCGACGGCAAAUUCUGAAGAACGCCUGCGACCUGUGCGGAAUGUUACCUCCUGCCUCUACCACGGGCUCUCGCCUCUUCCACCCCGCCGCCGCGGCCGCCUCUCGCCGCACCAUGGCUGCUGCCGCAUCCGCAAACCCGCCGCCCCCGCAGCAAUCGGUCCCCAAGGCGGUGCGGGUGGUGGUGAAGGGCCGCGUGCAGGGCGUCUUCUUCCGCGACUGGACGGUGGAGACGGCGCGCGCUCUCGGGCUUGCCGGCUGGGUCCGUAACCGCCGCGACGGCACCGUGGAGGCCCUCCUCUCUGGCGACCCCGCCAGGGUCGACGAGAUGGUCUCCCAGCGCCUCCCCGUCGGGCCCCCAGCCGCCGCCGUCACUGCCGUGCUCCCCUCCCCCGCCGAUCCGCUCGAUCCCUCCGAGGGCUUCAACCGCAAGCCCACCGCGUGAUGAAGGCUGGUUCUUGUACGUGACAUGGUAAUCUUACCUCUAAAUGUUUCUCUUUGUAAUGAUUUUUAGCAAUCUAUUGAGCCUUUAUUGAGCGAGAUAUCAGCACUCAGUAGACUGAAACCCUCGUCAGACUACUAGAAUUGAAAUUCCUGGUGACAGGACCGUUAGUAUGGUUCCUUGAGUGCACUCUACUCCCGUUGUUUGAUCAUGGCUUUUCUUCGGGUAGUGAGAUGUUUUCUGUGAUACACAAAGAUACUGGUUGCAGAUUUUUACUGACAUUGGCCUUUUCUUUUUGGAAGAAAUUUGGCUGUUUUAUAUUACUUAAACCUUGUGAGAUCAAACUGAAAUUAGAUGUUAGUACAGAUUUCUUUUCCCCCUAAUCAUUUCUGUACGGUGUCCUAUUCCUGGGUCACAUACUAUGGAACCCUGUGAGAUCAAACUGAAAUUAGGUGUUAGCACACAUUUGACCCUAAUCAUUCUUUACAGGUUUACUAUUCCUUGGUCACAUGAAAAUCUUAAUUGCACUGCAUUGAGCUAAAGCUAAUAAAAAUUGUAAAAUUUUGUGUGCAAUCUUAAACUAAAGAAAUUUGUAACCCCAAUUUAGACUCGAUAUUCCAUUAGUCCCAUUGCAUAGUGGUCUGAGUUACGGUCCUGGAUUCAGCUCCUUGGAUACCUGGAUACAUAUGUGUGCGUGCAUGUCAUAAAGCGGAGAAAGAAAAUUACAUUGUGAAAAAAAAUGAAAUAUACUCUGUAGAAUACUAUUUUAAGGGGCCAGACAGAAUUUACAUGAAGGGACUAGUAGAACAAAAUAGGGAGCUAGAAAAUUGAUACACAGGGACAAGUAUAACAAUCUAGUGUUCUGUUUGGUUUUGUUUCAAGCAGAUUUUAAAUGCCAAAUAUGCCAACUUGUCACUCAAAUGACUAUACAUUAUGAAGCAAAUUUCUUAUCCAAAACCUUUUGUCUCAACAAGUUUUCAUGCAGUUCAGGUCAAGGAAAAAAAGUUUCAUCCAGAGGCUUCUUUCGGAAUAAAAGUUCAUGGCCAGCCUUGGUUGAAAUCUCCACUUGUUCUGGCCUCUGCUCUAGACCUACCGGUCGGCUGCAACUCACCAUUCACCGGGAUAGCAGUGGCGGAUAGGGUUUUAUCACCGGGAUGUCAGUGUAUGCACAAUUUAAUUGUCAUGUUCAGACAACACAAAUUCGACAUAUAAGUAGCUUAUUGUGGUCUUUACCAUAAUAAUUCAAAGAAAAGGCGAAUAGUGCAGUUGUGGAGUUUAGUAUUUUUGAACCAUAGGCAUUAGAUCAACCAGGUUAAAUGUAAAUACUACAUGGUAUGGGAAAAUUUGCACAUUUUGGAGGGGGCUAAGGGUGCGACCCCUAAACUGUAGCCCCAGCCCCCAGGUAACCCCUAUCCUGCCGGUCCAGCCUCUCUUUGAGUACCUCUAAUGUAUAAGAUCACCAUUUGCCUUACGUGAUGUUUCAAGGACCUUGGCUAUUCCGGGGUUGAUGCUUGUGCUAGAGUAUAAUGGAGGGUCUAACCGGGAUGAGCCCUUUGAACCGUGCACCAGUUUGGGCGCAGAUCAAUGGUUUUCCUGCACUGUACUGCCAAUAGUCGGUGGUCGACAAGCUUGCAAGGAGGGUUGGGAAAGUCUGGAGUGGAGAUGAACCUAGUGGAGAGUUUGAAGGGGACUAUAUUAGAGUGUGGGCAAGCAUCGAUGUCCAGGAACCAGUGAUCAGGUUUGCACUCGAGACCCAGGGUGUUAAGCAUCUCCUCUUGGAUGUAAAAUAUGAGAAAAUUGGGUACUUCAGUGAGUUGUGUGGAGUGUUGGGUCACACUAUGGAGACUGCGAGGCUGGGGUGCAUGCACCAGAGAAAAAUCCGGUAUGGCAAGUGGCUUUUGGCGAAGAGAAGAGUUUCGUCGACGAGCCUCUCCCUAGGCGCACUCGUGCAGGGGGCCGUGCUCAUGAUGGAAGGGUUAGACACGAGAGGGCCUAUGAGACCUUGUCCAAUGCGUCGCUAGGUACGGGUGCUAGGGAGAAUAAUCACAUCCAUUUUAUCAGUUUGGGAUUUAUUUCCGAGCACAGUGUUGGCAUCGCUGCUUCUAUUUCAGUUGAGCUCACCCAAUACUUCAAGCAAUUUGUGCGUGUGGAGAUUUUAGCCAGGCUCCUAUGAAUUAGUUAUUUUGCAUUGGACCAGAUGGAUGCUUAAUCAGGCGCUUUAUCUGGUGACAAUAUUUACUCUCCUUUAGCGCCUUUGUAAGCAAGCAUCGUUGCACUGGAGAUGGCCUAAGCACUCCUCUGAGGAAGCUGACCUGAACAGAGAGGGGGAUUUGAAGGAUACUGCACCUAGGCCAGCGAAGAUCGCAGGAGGCGAUCACAUGGACGCCAAAAUAUUUCUGAUCGGGGACAGCAUGGUUCGGUGGAAAGGAAGCUGGACCUGGGAAAUAUGGUGGUUUGUGAGUUGUGACUGUCAACAGAAGGGAUUCAACAAUGGUUGAUCCUGGGGAGGAUGUGGAUGAAGCAGGGGAUCGAAGUUAACGCGGGGGCUGUGACACCCUCGCUAUCUAGCCCCAUCUUCUCAGCCACAUGUUUCACCUCAGGCCCACCAAAUUAAUUUAUUUUGUCCUAUACUAUAGAGAGAUUAGCAGGAAACUAGUACUUGUGACACAGAGAGAUUAGCAAGGAACUAGUACUUGUGGCAGUCACGUAUUUUUUUUACUGACAACUCUUUAUUUUUAUCUGGUUCUUUCUCGUUCUAUGCAUCUCUAUCCCAUUUUUAAGUACAUUGCGGUACACAACAUGUUUUGAAGUACAUAUUUCGUACAUUAUGGUAAAUAAACUGUACCUUCUCAGUUUUCAAAUAUCUCGUAUACAUGAACUUAGGAGAGGAGUACAUCGUAUGGUACAUUACAUGUACAUUAUCAUUUUUUAAGUACCUCGUGUAUAUGAACUACAUCGUAUGGCACAUCACAUUUUUUUAGAAAAAAACAACAGUACGUAACAAAUACUUGACAAGUACAUCAACACACAUCACAAAUACAUCGAGAUACAUGACAAGUACAUCAGAGACACAUCAAGGUACAUGACAAGUACAUCAAGGCACAUCACAAAUAUAUCGUGGCACAUGACAAGUACAUUAAGACACAUCAGAGACACAUCAAGGUACAUGACAAAUACAUCAAGGCACAUGCAAGUACAUCAAGACACAUCACAAAUACGUCGAGGCACAUGACUAGUACAUUGGGUACAUCUUAGUACGUUAGCAUUAAAAUGCACAUUAAACUACGUCAAACAAAUGGAAUUAUACAGUUGAGUACCAGGUACCUCUCAAUCCUCAAUCACAGUACCAAGUGGUAUCCAGAAUCCUCGCUAAACAAGCAGAAAGAUCCCCAUUAAAUCAGCACAAAAAUUACACCUUCGAUGCAGUCAAUCGAUGUGCAGGGACCCGACGGCUCCAGACGUCCUCCACGGCGGCUGUUCCCGACGGCGUGGCGUCCUCCUUCUCCUGCACGGAGUUGGAUUGGACAGGCACCGAGGCCGGGCUUCCCCAUGGCGCAGAGAGCGUGAGUCGUGAGGGAGAGGAGAGGGAGGAGAGAGAGAAAGGAGAGGAAGAAGGAAGAGAGGACCAUCCUGUUAAUUUCAUGUCCCCAGAGAUUAAAAGAAAAAAAAAGGGACACGUGUGUGGUGGAGAAGGUGGGGCUAGAUAACGGUGGAGUCACCAUGAACUUUGGCGGAUCGAAGUAUUGAUGUUUCCCCACCAACACCGCAGUACGUAGAAAAAAAAGGGACACGUGUCUGAUGGAGAAGGUGAGGCUAGAUAGCGGUGGAGUCACCAUGAACUUUGGCGGAUCGAAGUAUUGAUGUUUCUCCACCAACACCGCAGUACGUAAAGCCAAUGGCUAGCGAGAGAAUCAAGAAAAGGCACGCCCCCUACAGCGGCGCAGAACAUGGCAUAGGGAUCAGCUGCCUCUUUAGAGUUAAGGAGGAAUUCAUCGCAUAAUUUGCCGUGGAACACUGCCAAGUAAUUAAGCUGAACGAUCCGCAUCACGCGGAAUGAGCUACAAAGAAAGAGAGCAGAAUUUUGUAGGAACCCGAGGAAGAUUUUGCUGGACCUAGAUGUUAAGCUCUUCUCAACUAGCUGUGGUGAACUAGAUACAUCUUCUCUCUGUUCGUGAUCUCCUUACAAAUCGCGACAUGAGAAUGUGAGGUACACAUACAUCACUAUCGAUAUCGGAAGAUCUAUCUAGCUAUUACCUGUACCUGCUUACACAUCAUGGAUACAACCAAGGCCUGAGGGAGCACCAGGGCCAGCACGGGCCCUGGCCCCCUCUAAUAUUUGGAAUUUGUACUUAAGCCUUCUCAUAACUUUUGCAAUUUUAUCUUAUAAACUUCGGUUUUUAUGCUUCGGUUCCACCAAUAAAUCAUCUCUUCUAUUCUGACCCUCCUGUGUUUUUUUCCUGUCUCCGCCACUGGAUACAACUCACUCUCAAACCUUCUCUUGCAGCUCUACCACGGACUCGUCCUUGCCCUCCUGAUCCGUCUCGUGGAGGAGCUGCAGGGGCUUGAACGUGUAGCGCCUGGCGCAUAUGACGUAGUAGACGAGGUUCAAGACCUGCAGCAGCGUCACGAUCCAGUAGAAGUAGUCGAGCUUGCCGCGGUUGAUGUUGUCCGGCAGCCAGUUGGAGCCGCCGGGGCCAGCGCUCCACCGGUGCACGACGGCGACGAGCAGCGUGCUCACGUAGCUCCCCAGCGAGAUGGACAGCCAGAAGAGCGCCGUGGCUGUGCUGCGCAUGCUCUCGGGCGCCUGGUCGUACAUGAACUCCAGGUGGCCCACGGACGUGAAGGCCUCCGCCACCCCAUGCAGCGCGUACUGCGGCACCAGCCAGUAGGCCGACAGCGGGGCCGUGCCCGCGUCGGUGGUUCCUCCGGCAGCAGCAGCCUCCCUGCGGUGCCGCUCGACGAAGCCCGCCACGAGGCUGGCGGCCACGGAGAUGGCGAAGCCGACGCCCAUGCGGUGGAGGACGGAGAUGCCGCGGUCCAGCCCCGUGGAGCGGCGCGCCACCGGGACGAGCACGCGGUCGUAGGCGAAGAGGGUGACGAGCAUGGCCAGCAUGGUGAAGACGGUCAUGGAGCCCGCGGGGAUCUGGAAGGAGGAGAGGUGCGGCGCGAGGCGGCGGUCCAUGGUGCUGGCCUGCUGCAGGGAGAAGGUGUGCUGCUGCGACGACGCCGUGAUCACCAGGAUGCCCGCCGCCCAUAUCGGGCCCAUGCGGACCACCGACUUGAGCUCUUCCACGCGGUGCACGGUGCUCAGCCGCCACAGGUUGGGGAUGGGGGCUGGAGGCAGCUUGUCGGAAGUGGCGGCGGCGUCCGUCGUGACCAUGUCGCCGUCGGUGACGAUUGCAGCGCGGUCAAAGAAGCUGCACGAUGAACAGUUAGAGUGAAGAAACAGUCUGAUCAGCGGUAAACUGACAGCGCGAAGCUGAAACCACGAUGCUAAGCUUAUACACUGGGAAAUUUUGCCACCGCCGACUACAUUGUCGCCACCUCGUUUCAUCAGAAGAAGAAAAAUCCCUGGUGGCCAGUGGCUUGGUGACAUAUCGUUAUUGCAGUGGGUAUUAACUAUUAAGGCGGUGAGAGAGUACGUCCCACGUGCAUAUUUGCCGACCGCUCGAUCUGUUGUUCGGAUUAAGUUUUGCCGAUGAAGAGAUUGGAAUCGACUAUGGAGACGGGGAAGACGAUGUCGACAGCAAGACUUAUGUCAGCUAGAACGGAGCUCAAACUGGAGCCGUGCCAAAUUCCACUGCGGCGUCUAUCGUCUCGGCUCAGCAGUCAGCACUACUAGUACAGUAGUAGUGCAGCACGGGAGCGAGCAACGUGCUCAUUUUUGGCGCAUUUGCUGACUAAGUCCUCUUGUUCAUCGAUGCUCCUGGCCCUCUAAACAGCUGCAACAAAUAACUGGUACUCGCCAAUCUUUUAUCGUUGCUGCCGACAUGUAAUACUAACUUCCAUUCGGAAUUGAAAAACACCAAAAACCCCGAAUUUAAAGUAGAGAAGAAGAAAAUGUAUUCGCGGUUGCUUGUUUCCUUAGUUUGGGUUGCGUUCUUAUUUUACGUAGCUUGCCACUAUAAUUUUACAUCGUAUUCCUUUCAUUCGAGUUUACAAGACCUCUUUCUUAAAAAAAAAUUAACCGACACAACACCGGAAAAAGAGAAAAUAAAUGUCGAUUUAAUGGUGAAAAACACUAGUACCAAAAUGAAACGCUAAUACUAAACCAAAAACACUCGUGAUAAGGCAAAGAUGGCCCAAUGCAUGCGAUAAAAUUAUUGUUAAGGUUGAAACCAAAAUAACUAAUGCACAUGGUUAAGAGGGAGAAAUAUCUAGAAAAGAUGCCUGUUUAUUAUUGCCCCUUUCUAUUUGACUGCACUCUCAAAUUUUUAGAAUUUAUAGCACACUUAAAAAUAGAGGAGUGGGCGAUCAAAAUUUAUUGCUACUAUCGGGCGCCCGUUAGAGCGUCGCAUAACUUUGUACAAUUGAAUCAUGUAGAUGUUUUAUUCACGUUGCAUUCCUAUUAUGUAAGGUAUGUAAUUGAUUUUGAUAAUUAUGUCUUUUUUCUGUUUUUGUUUUGUUUAGUAACCAAUUUAUUUAUGUUUUUUAUAUUUUUCACAGCUAAUUCUAAAAUAAGUUUACUACAUUAUAAUUCAGCAACUGCAAAGUGUAUUUUUGUGAACUUUUUGGCAUUUGUUUUUCCUUUGGCUGCAAAACAUGAAAACUAUAUAACACAGUUUUACUAUUUCUUUUUCUUUUGUUGGAAAGGAUGUAAGGGAACCCAAACAUGAGAAAACCUGGUGGAUGAAGUAAUGCAACCACAACUCCACCACCGCACCAAGUGGUGUUUUCCGCUAUUUUUAAGAUGACGGAACAAUAACCAUUUAGUGGAUGCUAGCUAACGACCAUCUGGUUAUUCACAAAGGCUUAUACAGGUACAAAGGAUGAAAAUCAGAUGGAUAUAAUUAUGAAUUGAGAAAUAACUAAUUUUAGAUUGACAGAGAAAAAAAAAAGGACACUCCUAAUAUAAUACGUACUCUAUUUUGGCCAUUUUGCACUGUUUUCGGCCCACUUGGAACCACAGCGGAGGAAAUGGUUUUCGUCACUACUGCUCUACUAGAUAGGGAUGCUUCGAUUGCACGGCAAUUUAUUUGAUUAAUAAAAUGAAACGAGAAAAGAAAGAGAGAAAGAAGACGUGGCACGUGUGUAUGUACCUGAGCUGGUCGGUAUGCACGAGCUUGCCAUACAUGGAGAUGGGCUUAUCCAGCGCAUCGUUCUCAUACAACCUCCCGGGCUCAUCGACCUUCCUUAAUAACCGGCGCUUCCUGACGGCGGCGACAACCACCUGCGCGAGGCGCGUGAAGGGGCUUCCGGCGGGGUCGAGCCUCCGGUACAGCGGGUAACCGGAGACGAAAGCCACGACGGAGAGCGCCAUGCAGAAGGCCGGCACGCCGAGUCCCCAUCCCCAUCCAACGUUGUCCUGCACGUACACCACGGCCGUGACGGCCACCAGCAUGGACGCCCCAUUGCAGAAGUAGUACCAGUUGAAGAAGCCCCAGCUCCGGGCACGCUCCGCGGCUUCCGACUCGUCGAACUGGUCCGCCCCGAACGCCACGAUGCAGGGGCGGUAACCCCCCGCGCCCACCGCGUUCAGGAGCAGGGAGACGUACAGCACGGCCAGCUGCCACGGCGCCGCCUCCUGGUUUGGCCCCGGCCGGAACUGCGGCAGCGCCGCGGAUACCGUCAGGAGGACCAUGCCCUGCAAACCGGCACGGUUAAGCUUCAGCUUAGCUCCGUUUCGAUUGAAAAAAGAGUGGAUAUUUGUGUGUGUGUGUGUGUGUGUGUGUGGGCGCGCGCGCGCGCGCGUACGAGUUGGUAGACGAGGGAGGCGCCGGCGAUGGUCCAGAAGCGGCCGAUGCAGGCGUCGGCGAGGUAGGCGCCGAUGAGAGGGGUCAUGGCGGAGGUGCCGCCGAAGUUGGUGAGGGUGGUGGCCGCCUUGGCCAGCGGCAUGUGCAUCUGCUGGGUCAGGUACGUCAGCAUGUUGGUCGAGAAACCCACCACCGCCUGCUUCUCCGCCACCUCGUUGGCUGAUUUCAUUCCAACAGUUAGUUAAGCUUAAGCUAGCGACCGAUUAAUUUGAUUCGAAACCAAUUUGCAACUUGCAAGAGAUUCAUUUUGGGGCUUACCAAAGAUGAAGGGCAUUGUUCUAAGGCCGCCUUUCUUCCUGCUCUUCUUCUUCUCUUCGAUGCCCAUGGCCGCCUCGGGCUCCAUUCGCGGUGCUUGUGGUGGUACUGCUGCACGUGUAGCAGGCCACCUCUCGCUACGCUAUCGGGAACUCGUGAUAGCAGCACUAGCUUGGCUGCACAUAUUUAUAACUAAGCUAGCUGCCUUUUUUUUUUCGAGAAACUAAGCUAGCUGCCACUGUAAACCAGCGCCGUGUCACUCGACUGUACUCUGUACUACAUGCGCGAGAUUAAUUUACAACGAAAAGGAAAAAAAAUGUAAAAUACGUUGAGGUUAGUUUCAUUAUUUGUGUAAUAUUUUGAAGGGUGUGGAUAUGUCUUAGGCGGCUGAUUUUAAAUAAAAAGGUUUAAAUUUCAGUUGAUGUAUUAGAGCCAUUGGAUUAAUAUUUGGAUGUCAUUUUGCUCUCUUUUUCCCACCAUUCAUGCCGAAUUUGAAAGCACAAACUAUAUUCAAUGGUUGAGAAAUUGACUUACCUCUAACUAAAAAUUAGCCAUCAUAUUCUGAAUACCAUCAUCGUAGUCUCAUUUAUUCCGGAGAAAGAAAAUUCUACGGGGCUGGUCUUGCAUCACACCAGUGAGCCUUUUUCUUAUAUUAGUCAACUGAUAGAUGAACGUCCCUGUUUAUUUUGAGGCAUCUUAUGGCAACUUGUAUAAUUUUCUCGGUUACACUCUCUACUUACUUUUCUUCCGCAGUCUUAUUUGUGUUUACGGUCUAUGUCGUAUUAUGUUGUCACAUUAGUGUUUCCGUAAUUACUUAACCUACAAUACUUUAUUUAUUUAUUUAUGUUUGUGAUGUGAUAUUAUGUUAGAUAUGUACGCAUACUUGCUGUUCUAGCAAAGUAUGAUUGGCAUAUCCAGUCCUAAACUAUUAAUUAGUUUAUAUUAUCCUAGGAUGAAUUGUGCCUAUCCCUUUAACUAGACAACGGAAAAAUUUAACUUAGGAUAACCCAUGGUAUAGUAAUAUGGUUCGGUCACAUAUUUAGCGUGUAAACCCAAUGCAUUUCUAUUAUAACAUGUAUAUGUUACUAAAUUAUGUAAUUUUACAUGUCCAAAAGGUAUUAUUACGACAAAUUGACUGAAAUUUAGGUUCUUAUUAAGGUACCUGAUCUCCACCCUGAAACCAUGCAAUAGGGAUUGGGACAGCAGGAAUAACGUUAUUAUUAAGGAUGGAAAUGGGAAGAACUCCCUGUGUGGAAAUAGGCCUAUUUUCAUCCCUACUCACGGGUGGGAUAUAUGUGAGACCGUAUCCCAUAGUUUUCUUUUCCUUCUAUUCCUGACCGCUUUUCAAAUUUUCGGAAGAGGAAUAAUGAGACCUUGUCAAAGAGGAUCUGGGAAUGAAGUGGCAACAAUAAAAAUAAGAACUAUGAUCCCAGGUUAAUACAUCAGUACAUCAUGUCUCUCUUGUUCCUCUAGAAAACCAUAUAUGGUUCCACCUCCGCCGUCACCCCUCCUUCGCCUGUAGAUCGUCGGCCUUCUCCUCUUCCACUGGCUCUGUUGGUGGGUGGUUGUUGUCGUCUAGAGGCUUCAAUAAGUGUAUUCAUUUGUCAAUGAUCGGUGGCGGUGAGAAGAUGUCAGCAUCAUCGGCAUGGAAUAAGGUCUCACCGCCUUGCCCUCAUUCUGGUAGUACUUAGUAUAGUCGGGAGGCAUGUGGAAGAUGGUCUGGUUCUCUCGGAGGCGGCACUCGGUGGAUGGCGAAAUUUUUUCAUCGAGAUAGUCUUCUGAGCUCUGGCUCCCCUCCAGUUCGUCUGUCGGGGGCAGAGCGCCGGCGUAGUUUUCUAUCGACCCACUAGGGGUGGUGAUGUUAGGGUUUUUUUACCUUGUGUGUGCGCCAGCGAGACAUGGUGUUAGGUUCUUUAGAUCAAUUCAAGGGUUCGACUGCGGCUCUGGGGCGCUGAUUCUUAUUAUGUUUGAGAUGUUUUGAGAUGUUUUGUACUUCUGAUGAACCUUUACAAUAGAUUUGUGUCAUUUUCGCAAAAUGAAAAGAAAUAUGAAUAUAUGACAGACACUUGAACCUUGUACACCGGAAAAUCUACCAAGUAGUCACACAAAAAAAAGAUCUACGGAGUAAAUCAUACAUACUUCUUCAUCACCGACACAUUAAAUGCAAUAAUCAUAGACACAUAAUCCCUUACCUUCCCUAAUUAAUACGUGGUAACAAGGUCAUCACAUACAAGAGAUCGGGAUAACAUCAAACCAUGACCCGCAGGAACGUAAUCAUAUUUUUCUCAACGAUGUCUUGCCCUCUACAUCGUGCAACGUCUGAUCCCUAUCAUAUAUAAUCUCUCACUCGGAGAAUAUUCUCGUCAACAGAUUAAGAAUCAACAUCCAUCAAUUAAUAUUUCGUUGAAUUAAGAACAAAGUCCAUUUUUGCCCCCUAAACAAACCGCUUGGCUCACUAUUUCCCUUAAACUUUUUGUGAGCUUACUUAGCCCCCUAAUCUAUUGCUUCUCGUCCGGUUUUGCCCCCUAACCUGGGAUUAGCCCUUGCGUGGCAAGGAUUGCGCUGAUAUGGCUGGGAUUAGUGACAAAACUGCACAAGGAAAUGAGAAGCGAUUCGUCUUGGCGUUCGUCGCCCUCAUCAAUUCGCCGAUUCGUCCUGGCGGUCGUUGCCCUCGUCGAUUUGCCACGUGAUGAAGUUGCAGUCUCUCUGGAGUUGCUGGUUACUUAGAUGGAGUUGAACAGGAGGGCAUGGAGUACUAGAGGCGUUUACUCAUAGGUGGUCUCUCACGCAUGGCCACAUGGCAAUGGUCUGCAUGAUGGAUUUAAUUUUCCUUGGAGUGUAGCAGUUGUAAUUGAUUGGCAGAUGUUUUUUUCCAUACAAAAAUCUGCGAGUUCUUAGUGUUUUUCCUUCGAUCGGAUCUGUAUCUUCAGAGAUAAUAUACCUUCACGAUUCUGUGCCCCAACGAUCAGAUUGUUUCCGCCUCGAUCAUCCGUCUCUGUCCGCCGUCGCGCGAGAGAGAUACGAGCAGAACAGUUCUGUUCUGAAAAAAGGGCGUGAUACAUGGCCCUCUCCACCUGGAUUCUGCGGUUAUGUCGCUAAUCCCGGCGAUAUAAGCGCAUUCCCGGCCACGUAAGGGCUAAUCCCAAAUUAGGAGGCAAAACCAGACGAGAAGCAAUAGAUUGGGGGUUAAGUAGCUUACAAAAAGUUUAAGGGAAAAAGUGAGCCAAAUGGUUUGUUUAGGGGGCAAAAAUGGACUUUGUUCUUGCCUUCCUAUAUAAUUUGCUCUUCAUCAGAGUCCACGACUAGUCCAACGAAUGUAACCCUUCAUGAAACCCCUGCCAAUAAAUUUCCAUCGGAUCUACUUGUUCUAAGGGGUCAGUAUGCACAUUGCAUAAAUUCCUCGGAUUUUCUCCGCAUAUUUGUCCUUGCUUGCUCUUAUAAAUCUAGGCACGCUAUAAAGAAAGGGACUGAUCGAGCUUGCAAUAGUUCGAGGCCGAUCCGCUCUCUGUUGGCUUUUCUCUAGACUUAAGGCCACAGCUAGCCACGUAAUGGUGCCAAACGCUAGAAAAUGGCUUCCACAUUGAGUAAUACUGAUCGGUCGGUGUUGUACGAGAAUCCAGUUGGAACGAGACAUCCGGCCAGCAUCUAGCGCCCUGCAAAUCUGCAAACCCAUGUCCCAAAUCCCAAUGGAGAUUAGACCCCUAGAGAUCUUGAUAGGUGAACGAGUUUGACCGGAUCGAGCCAUGCAUCAAGGAGGAGAUUGCACGUGUACGUUUUGAUUGAUCAGUGGAUUGCCUGCCUGCCCAUUGCAGGAGAGAUCGAUGAGAGUGCCGUUGUCGCUCAGAGACAUAAAAGAAAAGAAAAGAAAAGAGAUUGCCGUGGUUAAUUUGGUCGACAACAGCGGAUCAUGUGGUACGCAACAAAAGCCGGGAGGGGAUACGUUCCGGAAUUUUCAAUUAGACAUGCCCUGCUACACAUAAACGACAAUGCUAGCCCGUUGAUCAACCGUAUCACGGACCAUAUAGGCACAUACAACUACAAAAGACACUAUAGCAGUAUACAGUAGCACGACUGCAAAAGCAAAUCCUGUAGAUGUGCCCAACAAUCACGCAGCGCUGCAUCAUCCUGUAGACGUAUUAAACAAAAGUCGAAUCAGUGCACUGCUAUCUUUAAUCACGUACGCACGUCGUGCUCAGUGAAUUUAGCAUGACCGGUUAAAACGUCGAUGUCCAAAAGACCACGACAGGAGCAGAAAUCGAGCGAUUGCCAAAUCCUGAUCAGAUCCUUUCGGUGAUCCCAUUUUCCGCCUACGAGUCUACGCCUGCAUUAACCUCACUCGAUCCAUGAUUGAGCCGGCCGCCUACGAGUCUACGCCUGCAUUAACCUCACUCGAUCCAUGAUUGAGCCGUGCUUAGACCAACCAACCAUCCGGUCCAUGAGUCCAUCUCUAGUCUAGUGCUCUCGUGAACGACCAGCUUCUUCUUCCACUAUCGGGUAGCCGACCACACGGUAGGCUGGCAUCGGCGUCCUCCGAUCUACGUACCUACCUAGAGCUGGGACCAAUCAACAGUGUCCAGGAAAUGGUGGCCCUGCCUCCGUUUUGUUUUGUAUCCUUGCAGCUUUAUGUAUGUACUGUUACAAGCGUAAAAGUGCAAGAGACAAGAGCAAGAAAACCCGACAUGCAAAGCAGAGGCAGUGGCUGUAGAUCGAUUGUGCAUGCGUCCUUCUGUUGGGUCGACAAGAGGAGGAGGAGGAUGAGAGAACGUGCACGCAUAUGUUAUCCUCUUGCGCUGCUUGUUGCUGGCUCUCACAUCUUGAUCAGAGAAACAGACAGAGAUGGAGCACGCAUACUUCGUCACAUGCGUGUCUCGCCAUUGGGUUUCUGAUAAGGGAAGGCCCGUCCUUUUGCUUUUGGACAAUGGAAAAGGAAUUGCCCAAGGAAUUGAAGGGAGAGGCAGGAAUGUUCAGCUCCAAGAGGAGAUGUCAGGCGGAUGGUGACGACUGACAAGACAGCUCACAUGGCCAAGUGCCGGUCGACCGAGCUGUACAAACUUGUUGUUGUACGUGGUGAUGCAUGCGACUGAAGCUUAGAUGGUUCGUUGCCGUGAAUGGAGAACUGAGUGUGAUCGAUGGUGAGAAAGAAUCCUUUGUCUUUUCUGCACAAGAUUCAUCUUGCCGCCGUCUUUGUGUUUCCUUUUCAUACACAGAACGAACUUCUGCUAUGUGAACUGUAUUCAGAGUUUCCUGUAUUGUUGUUGGAUUGGUUCAGGGCCCUUGCCGGCAUCAAUCAUGAUCCUGGCUAGUGAGCUUGUAUAUGUACUCUACAAUGUUUGACACAUUAUGGUGAUCAUGAAACUUCAGUUGUCCUAACUUGUCUUCAUAAAGAGGAACAUGUUUGUCCCUGUGAUAUUACUAGUUGUUAAGACUAUUCAAAUGGAGUAAAAUGUAUAAUACCAACUUCGUUGGCAGACUCAUGUGUGUUUGAUUGAAAGAACCACAGGGUUUGUGGGGUGAAACAUCUAACAGGACACUUUGUCAAGUGCACUAGCAAGUAAGUCCAACUUCUUUAAGAAGAAAGAAGCAAGUCCAACAAUGCCAAACCGACGAAUGAUUGAGCUGAGAGAUCAGGGAGAAGAAAGACCCACUUGCUAGUGUCACAACCAAUUUGGUCCCGUGCUUUCUGAAUCACAUGUGACUUUGCUCAAACUCAACAACGAUUACAAGUACAGUAUUUCAAAUCAUAGAUCCAAAAAAUACCAAGCAAUACCUAUAACUAGUAAUUACAAGUCGUCUCCAUCCAUGCAACAUGAAAAAUUGCCGAGCAUUUAACAAGGAGACUGUAAUUAGAAUGUAACGACAUCGCUGCUACUUGUAGCAUUGCACUAACUUAAUUAUCUUCAAAGGUUUUAAAAAUCCCUUUCAGUCGCCCAUCCUAAAAGAUGAAAAGACUCCAAAUUAAAGAAUUAUUACACCAAUAAAAACACUAUGACACACUAACAAAAACUCAUCAAAUCCGUAUGAAAAGAUCUACGAGGUCACAAAUUCAAAAUCCUCAAGAUUGAGUACAUUGAACCUAUUGUAAGUAGAACUCUCUAGCUCUAUGGCAUCACCCGAUAACAGAGGAAGUACUAGAAUGCACUUAUUCUCGACGGCAUCGCAACUUUCACCAUAGUGUCAUCAAUAAUGACCACACAAUUCAUAUUGUUAAACCUGAGCUGCCCCCCCCCCCCCCCACCCCACUUUGCAACGCCAAGAUGACAAGAGGUGAGGGGAACUAACACAUCCUUAACGAUGGCACUACGCAGUUGAUCUCAAACCCAAACCCUAUUUUCAUUUUUCCAUGCCGGAUAACAGGAAUGUGACGGUAAGUGAAAAAUUGAGGUUCUUUGGAAGUAUGAGCCCCAAAAUUGUGGCUGUUUGAAUGUGAUUAUGUGUUGCACACAAGCACAACACUGAAGUUGCAGUUUUCUAAAGUACUCCCUCCAGUUCUAAAUUCUUGUCAUAACCACCACAACAAGAAUGAGUUGGGUCCAUAUAACCCCUCAACUAUCACAAACCAGCUACUUCACCCCCUCAACUACAAAACCGGGCACUUAACCCCCUCAACUAUCAAAAACCGGUCAAACCACCCCCUCAGGCCAAAUCGAGCUGGUUUCACAGGCGGUUUUGCCAACGUGGAAAUGCCACGCUGUCUCACCCCUCAACUUUGGACUGGAGCGGCAGGAACCCCCCUCAACUUUGGGCCGGCUGCUUCUUUUUCCCUCCCCUUUCAUUACCCUCUCCCUCACAAGUUAAGGUUCAUCUCAAAAGGCGAAAUUGGGAGGCGGCAGCAGUAGCGAAAGCUCGAGCUCGUCAAGAGGCUCGACGGCAGUGAGGGCCGCUUGUUCAAAUCUAGAAAACGAAGAGCAUAUACAUCAGAGUUAGGUUUGGGCACUGACCUUCUCCUUUUGAUGCCAUGGGAUCGUCGAUUCAUGCCAGCGAUCAUCCAUCGCCACCAAGUCGUCGUCUUACGAAAGAAGCCCCGAGGGGGGGGGGGGGUAGAGCAAAGAAGACGAAGCGGCAAGGGGCUUAAUCGCAAAUAACCCCCUCCCCUAAGCCCCGAUUCCAGCUUCAUUUGGCCCGAGGCGGUGAUUUGCCCGGUUUUUGAUAGUUGAGAGGAUUAAGUGCCCGGUUUUGUAGUUGAGGAGGUGAAAUAGCCGGUUUGUGAUAAUUGAGGGGGUUAUAUGGACUUAACUCCAACAAGAAUAUAUGAUCACCACGACAAGAUUUUAGGAUCAGAGUGAGUACUUGUUUAAAUCAUAAGCAAAAGCAUGAGAAACAUAUUUGAGUAGCAUAUAUAAAGGGAAACACGAAUAUACUCACUGAUACACUGGAUUUAGGCCCAAGGGUGCAUUUGGUUGGAACUUAGAAAUCACAUCUACCCAUUCAUAUAAGGGCUCAAUGCUAGUGACAUCUCCCUCCUUCCAACAAAAGAUGUCUCAAGUUUGUCGAAAUUUGGAUGCAUCUAAACAUGACUUAGUAUAUAGAUAUUCAAAUUUAGUUGAAGUUGAGACAUCUUUUGUUGGAUGGGAUGAGUAUAAAGCUUUGGUAAGAAAAACCGCAGAGAAUUCUCUAAACGUUCAGCAAUGAGUCACCAUGAAUUGAAAUAUAGGCACAUCUGAUCAUAUCAAAGGCCUACAGGUUCAAGGAAAGAGAGAAAUAUCUUCCUGCGCAACAGAUUACCAGUUUAAGAGAUAAGAGUUGACAAAACGGAUGGAGCACAUUUCCCUUUUGACAAUAUUAAUAUGUACUUAGAAAUUAAAACAGUCAGAAGCAUUGCAGAAACGGCAAGUAUCGGCGGUACUACUGAGCAGGAAGAAAUAAGAUUGACAAUGAACUGCACGGCCUCUGCCUCGCUUUUUCUUUGGUAACACCAAUCUAACAUCUAUUGUUGAUCCUCAUACUCAUGGCCAUGAUCCAAAAGGUAGUUGGCAGCCAGCUCUUCAUCCCUGUUGCAAGCAAAGAAGACCUCCAACACAAGCUCACGGUUGAAUCCCAUGGCCUCAAGCUGCCAGACAAACAAAUAUAAUUAGACAACAAAAUUACCACUCAUGCUUACAAUCAAAUAAUUGUAUAGUUAAUAAAUAUCUGAGUCAAAUGUGUCAGACAAACAUCCAGCAAAAGGGAAGAACAAGCAGGAUAUUGCAACACCAUGUAAUUUGUCAUCAGACACGUUGAGGCACACAAGCAUAGAACUGAGCACAAGUCUUGCAUGAUGGAAUGAAAGUAAAGAGAUGUAUCUAUACAGCACGUGACAUAAUUUAUAGAACAAAUUAAAAUAUUUGUGUAAAUUCCGUCCGAGUACACAAACUUUUUAGCAUCCAUCCAGUGUCGAAAAUCACAUGCAAGAUCAAACCUAUGCUAUACAGGAUAACCCAACACACUCCUUAGCACUAGUGGUCUAGCUAGAAAUAUAAUAGUUCUGUAUAUUUCAAAAGUUUCUAAAAAAGCUCAGAGGCAAUUAUUGUGCACUACGUGGCAAUACAAUGCCCCGAUGCAAAUUUACGUGAACAUACGUUUCUGUAAUCUAUAGAAAAAGGAGUAAAAAUUUCCUUUAAUCCAGCAUCCUUUGUUCUUUUUGCGCAGAUCACAGUUCACAAAUGCAAAUACGUUUUCACAAAAUUUGUAAGUUUAGUGUAUUGCCACAUGUAUAUGGGGAUUGAUGUGGAUUUUUUUUUAAUGUGAACCACACUUGAAGAAAAUAUAUAAAAUAAAAUGUGAAGUGGUGCUCAGGACUAAAAAACCAACUGUCUAUACAGCAUAAUUAUGACUAAAUUGCAACAUAUAAAAUGACGGACACAGCUGUAGUGACACCUCAUUAAAUUUAUAUUCUCAGAAAGUUGUUAUUUCUACAGUUUAUGUCCCCAGGGCUUUCACUAAAAGCACUGAAAAUAGCAAAAGCUUAGGUAAACAGAGUACUAACAAGAACAGUGUGUGUAUUCUUCACUUACAUACCUAACUCAAAUUGAAGUUUUGAUGUAACAGAGCAAUUGAUACAUACUAUCCCUUAAUAAUGGGUAGUUUAAACAAUCAAUAGCGAAAAUAGUUGCAAAACACAAACACUCAUGUAGAGAAAUUAAAAAGGUUUUAGAAAUUAGUACUCCCUCCAUCCCAUAUUACUUGUCUCAAAUUUGCUCAUGUAAUAUUUCUGUAAUAUUUAAAAAGCGUCUAGAUACAUGUAAUAUUUUGACAAGUAACAUGGGUCGGAGGGUGUAAAACAAAUAAUCAAAUGUACCCGCUGGAUGGACUCCCGUUCUUCAGGGGUAACGGUCACAGCCGCCUGUGGCAUUGCAGCUGCUAGUUGGCCUAGUAUAUUUCUGUUUGAACAAAGAGCGGAGAAUAUAGUGUAAAUAUUGUUUGCACAGAUGCAUAACAAGCGCACAUAGUUGAGUAAUGUUUCUUAAUUCUUACCCGGCAGCACCACUCUCAGGUGUUUCAUUCACCAAGCGGAGGAACUCAGCCUGAUUUUCCUGAAUCAACCGCAGGAUCUGCGGAUUUUGUUUCCCUAGCUCUUGAAGCAUUGGCUGUGAACACACAGUAUCAGUAUCAUACCAUUAUGCGCUUAUUACACCACAGCAACUAAUUUUUUUUCAAGUACCAAAAACUUCACUAAAUUAAUAGGCUUCUUAUACGUAUACCUGUAAGAUUUGAGGAUUAGCCUGGACCAAUGCAAGCAGUGCCUGGAACUGAAAGGAACAAGCACACAAGUGUGAGGAAUUGUAACACGUUUAGCGGCCAACCUGAAUAUAAAGAUUAAACUGCUAGUACCUGCGGAAGCGCUCGCAGUGCAUCAAGGGCACCGGCGCCCGCACCCACACCAGCACCAGGAUUGGACCCACCAGUUGGAACACCCUAUUAAGUUAUUUCAAAUGAAAACAAGUAAAACACUCACCCAGAAAAUUUUGUUUUCAGAAUAUACAUGUACAAUAGGCAGCAACUGUAAUUGCAGCAUAUAAGAAAGCUGCAGAAUGCAUCAGGGGGAUAGAGGUGCAGCGCUGCUUGUAUUUGUAUUUUCCACACCAAGACUGAAGACAUAUCUAAUCCAAAUUGACCAAGAUGAUGCCAUGAAAUUCUCCUCCAGUACAUCAGUACUGAUCUUUAGAUUAAUCAUGCUUCUGAUGAUGCAUAUGGUAUUUAACUAAGUGUAAAAAAAAAUAGUGGUAUGUCCACAACUCCGAUUGCUUUGUAAUAUUGUAACUAUCUGAUUCCAUGUAAAAUUAUCCUGGAAAUAUAAAGGUCCGAAGGUACAUGUAAAGCACAUACCUGAGGGAAAAGGUUAAGAGGAUUUGCAUUAGGCCCUGCGGAGGCGACACCCGAUGGCUGCACUGGUGGCACGGGUGCAGCCUGAGAGAGAGCUUGCGGGUUUGUUGCCUGUUGAACUGGAGCAGGUGCUCGAGCCACAGGUGGAGCCUCUACAUUCUCAGGUAUUCCCUAGCAUAAAAACGAAUGAAACUUAGUUGGUUAUUCUUUUAUGCCAACUCUUUAUAAUUUUAUGCAUAACAUGAACUUACAGAAUAUAGAUAGUCAAUAGCUCUCUCAGGGUUGUUAUAUGCAGCACGUAAAGCACGGACAACCAUAUCACGUUCCCAGGUGCCACCACCCAUGUCAAGAAUAUGUUGGACUGUCUGUUCUAGGCUGCCGCCUGAGACAAGGUUUGAUGCAGCCUGACUGUAAACAUCAGCGUCACCUCUAUACAGCACAAACACAUUAAAGCAGCAUUACUUAUGGUGAAAAUGCAGCACAAGCACAUUAGAGCAAUAUUAAUUAUAGUAAAAACAAGUGAUGCAAAAGCAAAGAGAAUGUGGAAGCUUCUUAUUGGCUCAACUGUCAAAGAAAAAAAUUCAGUAACCACAUAUACAUCUACAACCAGUUUGAAGCUUCUUAUUGGCUCAACUGUCAAAGAAAAUAUAACACAAUACUGCAUGUCCUGUGGUAGCAUGGAGUACAAAUGACAAUGUAUGCAUGGAGUAAAUGUAAUGUCAUAAUUUCAUGUAAAAUGUUAAUCUAAUGAAAAAUGACAAUGUAUGCAUGGAGUACAAUAUUUUAUAAUGUCAACUGAUGCAUUUCAUAAUUGCAUUAAUAUAUUUGUGUGGAACUUCUACAGUAAUGUAUAAUGUCAUAAUUUCCCAAGUUUCAUUAAUAUACUUAUGUGAAACUUCUACUGUAAAUGUAAUGUCAUACACAAUAUUUUCUAUGAUUCAAGCAGUACAACUCAAAGAAUAUUAAAUUAAUAAUUUAUAUUUCUACAGAUGUCAAAAUAAAAUACUCUGGUAUGGCCAGUUUAUUCUCCAUGUAUGUACCAGUAAAACAACUACUAUCAAAUUAUAAAUUCCUUCUCUUCUCAUGAAUCCCAAAAAGUUCAGAACUCCACUUCAAAAAGAAGAAAAGGUAGGUUUCACAACAGGAAUCAACGAUGGCAUAACCGUACAUGCCGUCUAACAGGAAAACAAAGGAGAAACAUGUGGCCUCACCAAUGCAAAAAAAUAGAUAAGCAUUUAAAGUUAGAAGGUAAUCUGUAACUAGAAAUCACAAGGACAAAGCACUAGAAAAUACAAUUAACAAAUCUGCUACACACAUUAUGAACUAAACAGAAAAAUGAUAGCUUCUAACGGAAUGAGAUGAAAGAUGCAAAAGGGGCUCACGAUGCAGUUACUGCAGCAGCUGGAAUAUCAGAACCAGCUGGAGGCUGUGCACUGGGUGGGGCCCUAUGAACGAGAAGGUUAAUAACCAAGAGAGAUGACAUAUUUCAAAUUUUCAAUACAAGAUUUGGAGGAAUAGAUAACUCACAGUUCAGAUGCAGAAACAGGUGCUGUUGAAGGUGGUGUUCUUGCAACUGGGGUAGCAGGGCCAGACGGAGUAGCAGCAGCCACUGGAGUAGCAGGUUGAGCCUAUUGCGAAGUGAUAAAUAAUUUUUUCCAGUAAGACACUAAUAAACAAGGAUAUCCAAAAUCACAAAGAAGUAAAUUUAACACAGUGUAAUUAUAUGAUACAAAAUGAAAAUUUUCUACAAUUUUGUCCAUGAACAAGCUAAAGGGAACACCAACACUGAAGUCAAGAAGGUUAUGACUUUUUUUAUCACAGAGCUCCAACAUUCUUACUAUUAUUUAUGAAAUACAACUUUUCAGGUUCAGUAAACCAAGUACGAACGUUCUUUAAUUUAAGACCUCCACAACCAAUUCUAAAGAAACAGGGACACCACAUGGCAGAGCACUGUUGAUGCAAUUGCUUUCCUGUAUUCAUUUGUUGGUUCAAGAUGCAAGGUAAGAAUGGUGAUGCAGAAUAAACACAAAAUUGACAAACAAGGCUGGAAACUGCACAAGAAAUGACUAGAUAUUAAUAGAAAUGUGAAGGGGCAGAUGACUGCAAAGAACAUAAUGCAGUAUAGUUGCUACCAAAUACUGCAACACGAAGAAAAAGAAAUUAACAAGCUUGAGUUUAAAUAUCUAAUUAUAUCUACAAAUUUUACCUGGAUAGUAGGGGCCUUUGAAGCAGUAGAAGGACCACUCGGUGAUGCCUUAGCCUACAAAUUUUAUGCAUAUCAUAUCACUACUAAUAUCAGAUAAUUGUGGCACUAAUUUUUACCUAAGUUGACAAGCCUUUAAACACAGUAGAAGUGUGCUAUCAAUAUUAUUGAGAACACCUAAAUGUGGAAUCCAAAACAACUAAAACACAGAACAUCAAUGUUUAUACUGCUUCCUUUAAGCAGCAGGCUAAUAAAAAUGCAAAGAGGCAUAGCCCGCUUUUGAUUAACAUAUAAUAGGAAAUUGUAAUGUAGCGGAUAUAACAUGCAAGGUGGAAAAAAUACGCUGUCCAAGUGGGUGGAGAAUAUCUUAUCUAAUCUCACAUAUCAAUGAUUUGAAAGCUCAUUGGUUACGAACACAGGAAAUGAACAAAGCAACAGGUAAGAUAAUAUUGUAACACAGGAAAUGAACAAAUUAGGCUUAUUAGUUAUGUCUAGCUCUGCUAAUCCUUCCUAUUUAGUUUCUCCUUCCUUUGAACACGAACAGCGCAUAUCCCAAAAAUUGAUGGACGUAAACGGCCGUAGGUUCUGAUGGAUCUAUGUCCAACAAAAGGUUCCUACGCUCAUGCUCUAUGCAUUAUAAUAAGUGGUAUUCCACUAUGGAGAAUCACCUUAGACAGCAUUAUAACAAGGAAGCUGUUCUCAGCAACGUUGUUGCCUUCCAAAGUGGUAUCAUCCUUGAGAAUUUUGCCUUGAUGUAUGAGCAUCUGCUGAUCCGCAGGGUACACAUUCUGCCCCUGAGCACCUUCAAUGAUUCUCUUGACCUCAGCCACCUGCAAAACAGAGCCAAUGAUAAGCACAGUACCACUAGUUCCAAAGCAAACCAUCAUAUAUUGCAGCAUCAAUCACAUUGACUAACCAGACUUCCAGAGAUAGCUGGACAUAUGUCAAUUACAACGCGACAGUACCUAACAUGCCAAAUUCAGAGCACCAAAACGAUGUAAAAUUACAGACAUAGGCGCCCGAACACUCUAGACUCCCCUCUGUGACCGAUCCGCACCACGCGUUCACCACAGGUACAGCAGAGCUGAACAUCUACUAAACCCUAGAUUUAGAUUUUCUAAAAACGCGUCAUCGACACAAGGGAACCUAAUCCCUGUACCAAGCCGGGAACGAAUCGCAACACGGGGGCCCCAAAUCGAGCAAAUUGCUCGAGAAUUGCGCCGAAUCGCACGGAUUGAAGACGGAAGGGGGGAAGAUGGGAUAGGGAUCGUACCGACGCCUCGGGGCUAGCCUCGAUCUCGAAGUUCGUGCCCUUGAGGGUCUUCACGAACAGCUUCAUCGUGACUUCUCCUCCACCCUCUUGCUCAAACUUCUCUCUCUACAACAAACUCGCGCUAUCCCUAUCUGAGUCUUGCUUCGCCUUGAGGGUUUUCACCUUGACUUCGCCUCCAGUGGGGAGGACGACGCGGCCGCACGAGGGGAGUAAGUUAUAGGCGAGAAAAAAAAUCUGGAGCCGGAGCGAAAUGAUAUCUGAUAGAGAUACUGGUUUCUAGCCACGUUCGCUGACGCGUGGGGCCGUAAACGGAUUGGACCAGUUGCCAGUGGGAGGGACAGGUGUCCGAUCACGAGACUGGACAGUUCGGCUGCUCCGUUGCGAUGUGUGGCUCGAUCUGUGUCCCAGGACUUGCGUGUAUUUGGGGCAAUUUCGUUGGGACUAUUUUUUUCGUGUGACUACUGGAGAGCCCAGCUUUGUGACUACCCAAAGGUGUGUUCGGAUGUCCUCUGCUUUUCAAAAUCCGUAGAUCCAACUUUUCGAUAGCGAUUCCAGCGUCUGACUCGGAGCUAAACAUGUUUGGUGCUACUCCUCGUUUGCUACUGGGCUGGAAGCCCAUUAAUCAACUUGGCCCAGCCAGUCUUGGAUGGAAUCGAUGGGAUCUUGCUCGCUGUGCCAGAGAACGGAACAACGGGGAAUGGGGCGACGGCGGUCAUUGCUGUAUCAAGAGACUGUGCUGGAGAAUGGGGCAGAGGGCGGAGAUUCGGACGGAGCAGGUGCCUGCACAGGGGAACAAGAGAGGAGGAAGAGAAGGCCGCAGAAUUGGCAAGGGUGGGGAUGGGGGUGGCUACCGGAGAACGGGGAAGGAGAAGUCCGUCGGAGAAGGAGGGAGGAGGAGGCCGCGCCGGAGAACGGGGACGAGGAGGGCGGCCACGGGGAAAGCCGUGCAAAGACUGUAUCGGGAAACGAGGUCAGGGAAGAGAAAUAGAUCUGAACCGUUUUUUCAUUAAAACGGUGGCAACAUUGCUGUAAUUUCGCACUGCUCCGUGUUUUCAUGUUUCGGGAAUCUUCAAAAGAGGUGCUCCAGUUUUGUACACAAAAUUGGUGUUCCGCGUUGGAGUUUGGGGAAGCUGUAAGCUUCCGAACACACCCUAAGCCGGCUUGCUCAGGCCCAACAUCGAAUGCAAGGUAACUCAAGUGACCGUCAGGAACCGUGGGCUGCGUUACUAACCGAGCCUAGGACCUUGUAAGCGUGCGUGUCUGAGAGCAACUCCAGCCGCCACUCCUAAAGGCCCCCUAAAUGGUUUUGGGGGCCGCCGGCCCGUAAAAUCCGACCCAGCCGGCCUCCCCAAAAUAUUUUUUUAGCCGGCGCGUCCCAGAAAGUUAGCCGGCGCCCCAAGGCCACACCCAGCCCACGGGGAGGCGAGCGGGGGCGCCGGCGCCUCGCGUUAUUGCGGCGGGCCUGUCUUGUCAGCGGCUAUUGAUCGCUCUCACCGGUAUCCCACCGGCUUCCCCGAGGCGAUUAAUGUCGGUCGGCCCGCCGGUUGCCACCCGGCCGCCCCCGCGCAUUGCCGACGCCCAUUAUCACCGCGUUCACACCUCGCCGGUUCACGUUCCGCCGCUAUAAAAGCGCCCCCCCCCCCCCCCCCGCGGUGCUCGCCAUUCCCCUCACUGGCCCCUCCUCCCUCGCCCUCUCCUCUCACUCGUCCACUAGAUGGCCGGCAACAACUGGGACGAGCGGCGGUGGCUUCGCCUCGACGAGGCCAAGGCAAUUCGGCGGGCCGGCACCCUAUUGCCGCCGGUCUGCCGCCUCCUCCACGGCUGGCAUCUCAGCUGGGGCGGUAGGCCCGUCGCACCGGCGGGAGCGCAUCUGGGCGCGCUUCGUCCACGCCCUGACACCGGAGCAGCAGGCUUCGACAGAGUGGGACCGGAGUUUGCUCGGGAGGUCGGCUCCGAUCUUCACCGUGCGCGUGGCGUCAUCUUGGGAGACGCAUACUUCCUUGAGAUCUCCUUCGGGUAGGGGCUUAGGGAUGUAGCGCUCCGGGUGGACAGUUUCGGGUGCUCCCACGUUCGAAAGCAUGUUGAUACUCUUAGAUGAUUCUUCCUUCUCGGUGCACUUGGUCCCAUGGCGGUAGAGCGUCUUCCUAUCGGAAGAUUGCUCGCCACGGAACUUCAUGCACAAGAAGUUGUGGUGGAUGGCGGUGCAGAGACGGUUUAACGUCGUCCUUCCGAGGAUGGCGUUAAAGGAGGCCUCCAUAUCCACCACGUCGAAGCGCACGAGCUCGGUUCGAUGAUUCGUGGCGUCUCCGAAGGUCGUGAUGAGCUCAAUUUGUCCAAGCGGCUGAAUGGACUUCCCUGGCACGAAGCCGGUGACAAGAUAAAGGGAUGGCUACACCGAGCCGUUCUUGUAUCCCCCUUGCGGUUCCAUCAGCUUCUUCAAUUUGCUUAGAUAUAGGAUGUCGGCGGACCUUCCGCCAUCCACAAGAGUCUUCUUGAGCUCACAAUUGGCGACGAUCGCCAUCACGAAGAGGGCGUCGUCGUGUGGGAAGCGUAUCCCCUAGGCGUCUUCCUCCGUGAAGGCAAUUGGCACGCUCGCCCACUUUAGUGGCGGUGUCGGGGUGAAGGUUCCCAUGACGUUGACUUCGCGAGCAUACUCCUUGCGUUGCUGCUUCGAUCCCCGGCCCGUGGCGGAGCCCCCGAGUAUCAAUUCGACGUGACGCGUGGGUUCCUGAAACGGGAGGUUAUCCUCCUUAGGUGCUGGAUCAGCGACAAGGACGUUGGCGGGGCGUGGAGCCUCGGCUGUCUUCUCAUCCUUGCGCCGGGCUUGCAUUCGUGCUUGGAACUCUUCGCGAGCCGCGAUGAGAGUGUUGCAUUCUUUGGUGUUGUGGCUUGCCGAGUUGUGGAUGAGGCAUCUUCCAGUUCCUCCCUCGGCGGGGCGAGGUGGCUUCUUGGGUUGCCAAGUCUUUUUGGGACGAUGCUUGUGCUUCGACAGCGAAGAUCUUCCGGGCUUGGUCGCCGGGAGCCUUUUUCCCCCACCUCCUCUUCUUCUUGGAGCUCCUUCGGGAGAGUUCCUUCGGGAGCGGCACGCGGUGCGUCCUUUUUGGCAAUGUCCCCGUCUUCGUCCCGAGCGUAUUCCUGCAAGAUUCGAUAGAGCUCCUCGGUCGUCUUCGGAGGAUUGCGACUUAUGGCCCGAUUCACUUCUCCUUGGAGAAGGCCUUGCAUGCAUGCGUCAAUCAUGAUGGUCGACGGUGGGUUGGAGAUUUGGCUUCGUACCUUCGCAAAGCGAUGGAAGAAGCUUCGGAGGGAUUCCCCCGGCUUUUGUUUCACGGCGUAUAGCUCGUGAGCCUGCACGGGUUCUUUGAAGUUUCCCUAAAAGUUGGCGAUUAAGACCUCUUAGAGGCGCUCCCACGAGUGCACGGAGUUCUUUCGCAGGUUAUAAAACCAAGUUUGCGACAUCCCGGUGAGCGCGAGCGGAAAGAGGUUGCAGAUCUCAACGGGACCUCCCCCGGCAGCCCGUUUGGUGGUGGAGUAGACAUCCAAGAACUAAAGAGGAUUUGACUCCCCAUCGUACGGUCGUAUCGUAGGCGGCUUGAACCUUGGCGGAAAAGGCGCGUCUUGAAUCUCCCGUGUGAGCGGGUUACAAGUCGGCCGGUUCUUCCGGUUCCUUCUGCGGCGAGGUCCUCCCUCGUCGGAGUCGCUUUUGUCGCUAGAAGGGUCACCUGGAGAAUGAUCUCGGCGUUUUCUUGAGGGGUCGCAACGUCGAUGGGAAUUUCUUUCGCCGCCGGGACGGGCUCCGGACUCCGCUACUUGCUCAUUUCCAUGCACGCUGGGGUCUCAUUCUCCGCGAGGCAUAGCUUGAGGUGGUACUUGGUUCCCACCUUGCUCGACCCCGGCGGGGGAGCAAGGGGCGCUUGCGGGGCGUUCACCAAGUGAGGUUGGUGUCGAGCAUGCGCAUCUUGGAGAGCGCCAUUUGGCGGAAGCCCCCAAUAAGGAUGAUACCAACGAGCUCCAUGGGCGAUGACGGCGAGUGCCAACGGAGGCAGUCCUGAGUUGGAGGGGUCGUAAGCCGGGACUCCUUGGUUUUCUGGCGCGGAUUCUCCUGAAGUGUUUCUCUUGUAGGUUCUGAGGGCAGGGUCACUACCGGUUGUAGGGAAGGUGGCGCAAAACCCAUCGAGCGAGGCAUGUCGAGUUCCGUAUCCCCUGCGGGGGCGGCAACUGUAGGCAGCUCACCGAUCCUUGCCACUACGUCGGUGAGUGUCGAGGGACCGCCUACGAUGGUUUCGAGCACCUCGGUUUCUUCAGGGACGGCCGGGAGCGGAGGUGCGACCACGACUUCCGUCGUGGCAACCAUGCUUGCGGCGACGUCCGGAUUGGUGAGCACUCCUUCUUCCUCGGGAGCCCACGAGGCGUUUGCUUUCUUUGUUUGCAACCGUGUAGACAUCGCGGCAAGUUGGGCACCCGAUGAAGUAGGCUUCGUCGGGGCCAUUAAAUCUUCAAUUGCAACGAGGGUUCCCCACGGUCGGCGCCACUGUUGUUGUUCUCAACAACAAUUAGAGUAAAGGGUGCCAAUGCUCGAUGGCACAAGCGCGAGUAUAAAAUAGGGCGUGUACGCCGGCCUUAUAGCGAAGAUCGCCGUACACUUGGACAAGUUGACAUGUCGAUACUUUUUGAGUAGGUUCGGUCGACCCUGCGGGUGUGACCUAGUCCUAUGUUAGGAGAGGCUUCGAGGAAAUCGUUAGCCAAAGUGUUUCGGGACGAUCGAGGCUCCCCGAAUCACUUAGCGAGAGGUCGAAAGGGGCCACCUCGUACUUGGGCCGAGCGAGGCUUUCCAAGUAGCGAGGUCGAGAUACCAUUAGGACUCUAACCCGAUUCCCUCUCCUUCGGGCUCGGGCCGAACGAGACUUCCCGAAAUCCCGAAACUAGAGCUCCUCUCAAAGAGGCUCUCUAGACCUCUCCCCUUGAGUUUAUUUAAGUUGAGAGUGAAUGGUGCAUGCCCCAUGGGGGGUAUUUAGGGGCUGUUUGGUUUAAGCCCCAACAAACCCCACCAAAAUUUUGGCAUGACCAAAAGAGGGGCAUGACCAAAUUUUUGGUAAAUAGAUGUUGUUUGGAUUACAACCAAUGUAAAUGGCCAAGUUUUUGGCAAUGCAUGAUGCUACAAUUAUUCAUUGCAAGACUAGCAUGAUCUACUUCUCAAUAGUCAAUUCAAAAUCUAGGAGUAAUCAUGGAUUAGAGAAGGUGAUUAAGAUAGAGUUGGAAAAAGUUUCUCGCAAGAAAAAGGGGAAGUGUUGUUGAACUUUUCAUUUAAUGCAGCCGUCACUUGAUAACUAGAGAACAUAGAGAUAGGUAAGAUCUUAUUAGAUGCGUACAGGCCCGAACAGAAGAUACGCAAGGCUGUACUGUUGUUCGUUUCACAGGAGGAGGUAAUUAGCCAUCGACCGAGUAAAUAGGCUGGGACCCACCGUGGAUUAAAUGGCGAUGGCACGUUGCCAAUUCUCUAGCGAAGUUUUUCGCCACCCUCAACUCACCAACGAUUUCCAUGGGAUAGGGCGGGCGCGCCCGCGGCAGGCUGGGCGAGCCAAAUAUUCGGCCUUCGUCCAAACGGUGGCCAAAUAUCACGGGCGGACCAAUAUUUUGGUAGGGUCGGUUUUGGUUGUAAACCAAACAGCCCCUUAUAUCCUAGGGGUCCAUGACAAAAGACCAUGGCUACCCUUAAUGGAGAGAGAAAAGUGGGGGCAAAAUGGUAAAAGUAGCUUCUUGGUAUAUAAGUUUUGUGUGCACCAAGUGGGAAAAGUGGGGGUUGGUCCAUGGUCCACCAUGGACUAAAGGCCCCAUCCUAACAUCUUUCUUGUCCACUACUUAAGCUUAUUUCUCUCUUUGACCAAGACAUGAGAGGCUUAAGUUGUUGACUAGUCUUAAUUAUUGUCACGUAAGAUUGACCGUGCCACGUAGACAUCUUGACUCUUGUAGAGAAAUGUUGACUUGGUCGUUGCCACGUAGAAAUCACGACCCAGCCCUAUAAAGGUUUUAUUUUAAAACAACAUACAUGAAUCAUGUUCUUACAAUCCUGAGCGAGAAGCUCGUCAAUGAUCGGAGGAGACUCCAGCUGCAACGCCGCAACGUUUACACCUCCUUUAGCAAAAGACACUAAAGCAUGAGCUACUUCUAUAAUCUCUUAUUCACUAAACUCAACUGAAAACUCAUUUGAGAAGAAUAGCACGAGAUGAACGGAGAUGUUCAUGUGCCGCCAUGUCCCAACGACGAUCAUCAUCAAGUCGCGGAAAUUCGCUCAGUAUGAUUCUUCGUAAAAGCUUUAGUAUUAUUCAUUUUCGACCUUCGUGAUCACAGGAAAUUCCUUGGAUCCUCAACAAGAUAGUAACAUCGGUGAUCGGGAUAUUUGAAAAGAAAAGCAACUAAAUUAAGCAGUUUCGACGAGUUGUUUUGUGUUGUCAUUUCAUGACACGAGCCCACACAGCCUGCAGCAGUCAUGUGCGUGUGCAUGCAAACCGACGGCAUUGCACGAUCGGCAGAGCUACGCGACGCAGGCCGUGGCGACGGCAACGCCGUUGGCCCGCUUGACGAAGCGGCCCUUCAUCCGUGGCCGCUUCUCGGCGUUGAGCUUGCGCACCUCGUACCGAAUCUUCUUGGAGAAGAGCCGCGUCCGCCGCUUCUCUCGGUACCGCGACACCCGCGCGUCCCUGCCGCCGUCCAUCUUCGUCCUCGGCGUUCGCAGCUCCUCCGUGCCAUGGCCAACGAGCACUCCUCCCAUCAUCCAAACGCUCAUCUGCACAUCGAAAUUACCUCAUCAAGGUUAGCAUCUUAGCAUAUACAGGGACGCACAGGACCGAUGUGCAAGAAGAGUUCAGACGCCGAAGCCGGCGCGUAACGUAAAGUAUGGUACGUACCGAGUAGUCGUGUGGCCAGCAGCCGUCGAGCUUGACGUCCGGCCUCUUGCCGUCGGCCCACGGCGACUUCUCCCACUUGUCGAUGAUGGCCUCGUAGUUUAGAUUGAGCGAGAGGCUCCUCGGAAGGAAUCGUGCGGCACUCCCGCUGGCCGCAUUCUCGUCCGGCGUGGCCUGAGGUGAGCCGUAGUCGUCGUCGAAGUCGAUGCCGAGCAUAUUGCCGGACACCUCCGUCUCCGGCUCCCGCUCGAGGCCGCACGCCAGAAACAUGCCUCUAGCCUCGCCGUCGGUCUCCAUCUUGACUCGCCCGCCGGCACCGUCCACGUCAACCAUCGGCUGGAUGAGCCCCAAUGCCUCCAUGCAGAACGGCUCCUCCUCGGUCCCUUCGUCCAGGCCGCGGCCAAGAAGCGCUUCCAUGUCGGCCGCGAACUCCAUGAGCUCGGCGUCCGUGGGGCCGAAGCUGACGACGCUGUCGGGGAAGAAUUGAUCAACUGCCAGAGACGGCGCCGCAGGCUCCGUCGGGCUCUCGAGCACAACGACGCGGUCCUCGUUGCAGCACGACGCGUAGUCUUCGAGAUGCCGCGGCGACGACGGCGAGCAGAGCUCCGCGAGGGCGGGGUCAAAAACGGGCACGCUGUACAGCAGCUCCUCCUCGUCAGUCUCCCCCUCAAAUAACUUGUGCUCCUCCGGCGAGCCUUCCCCACCGGACGCCUCGUCCGGCACCACGACGGGCCGCCGCGACGACAGCAGAUGCCCGAUGACGCUCUUGCCGCGCGGGGUCCGCGGCUUGCGCUUGAACCAGGCCGGGACGACCUCGUCCCCGCGCCUGGCCCGCGGGCCGCCGGCUCCGGCCUGAAGCGGCGACGUGGGCCGCAGGCGCACUCGCUCGUGCCGCCGAGCGAGAGGGUUCGCGGAGUGCACCGACGCGUCGCACGCCUGGCAGAGGAACGCGUCGUCCGCGGCGCAGUACCACCUGGCCCGCCGCCGCAGGCAGCCGUCGCAGGCGCGCGCCGCCUUGCUCCCCAUCGCGCCGGCCGCCGCCUUAGCCAACGAGCUGCUCAUCAAAAAAUCAAACCACACUAGCUGGCUGGCUGGCUACUCGCCUAGCUACUCCCGUCGUGUCGGCGCUGUACCGUACUGUACGUAGAAACGGGAAUGUAUCUCCGGCGAAAAUAUCGCGGGGUGGGUUUAUAGCAGGCAUGGCGGAUCGAGGUGGCCCCGGCUCGUACGCUUUUUCUGGGCCCGCGCGGGGUGUACUUUGCACUUUUGGUGCGUCUGUUGGCCACAACCGCGGGCCUUAUCUGCGUCCUGAUUGGCUGAAAGGUAAGACACAUCCAGCACGUAGGCCUCUGAUUGGCUCGUGCCGGAUUUUUGGUGGGGGCCUCCCUCCCUUUGGGCUACGCGACGAUCGGGCCCAGAAAGGCCUUUCCGUGUCGCACUCGUGGUUGCUCUGCGGUUUGCUACGUCGCCGGAGACGGGAUCCACUAGGACGUGCCGGGACCCUGGUAGAAACAUCGUUCGCCGGAGAAAGGGUCAUUUGUUUUUCUACCAGGCUCACUGCAAAAACAUCGUUCCCGAAAUCCAUGAUGCUUGCCACUUGUAGAAUAGACCAGGUUUCUAACUACGAGUAUCAAGAAGGCACCAUUUCUCACGGACCGGCCUAAAGCGAGCGUUAGGCAGGUCCGGGGACGGAUGCGAGGGGUUCUUGUGAUGAGCCGCUAAACCUUUGGUAAUAUAGGUUAAAGGUUAGCCUUUUACAAUCUGUGCGGUCGAAAGGUCGGUCUGUUCGGUUCCUACGAUGGACCUCUUUCCUUCUCAAACACGACUGAUCGAGGCAUCAAGUUACGAUCAAUCCAUUCAAUACACAGAAACAAGAAAUAGCGGCUUCCAAGCAGGCGAGAAAUAAGCAAUACAUUUAUAUACAUGUCGAGGGAUAUGAAUGGAGAACAACGAUGCGAGAACCAUGGUUCCAGUGUUGAUUUGUGAACCAACGAAACAGCGAAUGGAAGAAAUGUGUGAUCGAAGGGCCGACGCUAGGGUCGAUCUAAUUAUGGCUUUGCUUGGCCCUUCUAAAAGAUGUAUCGGUAUCCCGAUGGCAAACCUUAGAGUGAACUAAAGAGGUUUUUUUUCUUUUUCGAAGAAGCAUACAAAAGAGACCUCCACGCCUAAAUCUAUACCUAUCUAAAAAAUACGAAUCGUUUCCUUCACUAUCCUCCGUCAAACUUUCCAUAAAAUUUGUGGAUCCUCAGGAUUGCAUGUAUAUUAGGCCUACUAAGCCGGCUGGCCCACUACCUGCACUGAAUCUAUCUAUAUCUAUAUCUAUACCAAUGUAAAAAAUACGGACCGUUUCAUCUUUUUUCCUUCCUUUUUUCGUCAAGCUCCUUAGACCCACCUCGUCCGCCCGCCCGCAACCACUCCUUUGUCUGCUCCAGACGGCCGAGCUCCCUUCUCCUGACGCAGCCCAAUAGGAGACCCUUCCUAAUCCAACAAAACUACUUCCCCUGACGCGGCGGAAAAAACGCAAUUAAAAGCCCAAAGAUAUCUCUUCAUACAUUCGACCUUACUCUCUUGCUUUGGUGAUGCUCGUUAUCUAUAGGUGCAACGGCAGAUUGAUCCUGCGAUGCAGCAUAUGGUCCAGCAUGCGGUGCUUCCUUCCAUCCGAGAGCGGGUGGCUCUGGCAUGCAGGCUCCAUCUUGUCAUACACCGUUUAAUUCUACAGAAAACAGGGGAACAACCUCGUUCUCUCAGCCCUCAUCCCCAUCGUGUUGAUCUGAGCCAUUCUGACUCAGUUCGCAUCCCACUGGUUUCUUUCGAACUGAGCUCGUCUCUGACUAGGUUAGACCCUCACAUAGUAACACUAAGAUAGGCAGAGCUGAGAGGCUCUUAGGAGUUCAAGUAGCUAGCCCGGGGAGCCACCCUCGGUAACCUGUAAACACCCUUAAAUCAAUGGAAUCCAAGCACAAAAGCAGGACGUAGGGUAUUACACCUCCGGGUGGCCCGAACCUGGGUAAACUCCUCAGUGUCACACUUUGUGUCUUCGUCACGUCGGCGAUCACUCGGGAGCCGCUACGACAACGUGCGCUAAGGUGGUUCAGUCGUGAUUACGGGGGAUGAUUGAGGAGGGGAAAAGAAAGGGAAAGGCCAUGAGAUACGGUUCAGAGCACCUGGACGGGUCACGGGCCGAGGAGGCAUCGUCGAGGGCGGAGAUUGCAGCGGCCGGCGCGUGUGUGUGCUGUUUUUGGCACGAGGAAGAAGACGGGCAAAGGCGCUCGUCCGAGCAUGGGCUGGACGCUCUCGGGGAAGCUGACCCAAGAAGGAGAACGGGUGUGGCCCAAGAGAAAAAAAAACAAAAAAAGAGAAAAAAAACUAAAAGUGGUUUGACUGGGCCGUGGGAGCGCACGGGCAUUCUGCUAGUAUGGAAAAAAGAUAUCACCCAUGGCGUCGGGGAUUUUUUAAUCAUGCAUGUGUUGGCAUAGAUGAUGCUGUGGGACUUGGCGGUUGAUGGGCACCUUUUUUUCUUGGACAGCGGCGUGCGGUUGAUGAGCACCUAAUUGGAACGUAGCAGCAAGGUCAGGGUGCGCUUACAAAACACUCGGACUCGCGUUGAUGUGUUGAUGCAGACGUGAGAUAUGCCAAAAUGUGUUUAUUUGUAUGGUUAAGAUAGUGCCUUGUAAAUGUCGUUAAAAGAAAAAAAAGAAUGAGCCAAAUUUGGUGCCGGGAUAGAAAGUAAGCAGUACUCCCUCCGAUUCUAAAUUCUUAUCUCAAAUUUGUCCAAAUAUAGAUGUAUCUAUUCUUAAAACGCGUUGAUACAUGUAAUAUUUCGUCAAUAAUUUAGGAUCGGUAGUUAUUAACUACAGUUAAGAAACCAAAUUAGUUAGCUAUGCAACAUCUUCGUCCAAGGUGACAUCAUAUAUAGGACGUAUACAUUUAUGCAUAUAAAGGUAUACAAGAUAUAUAUGAAUAUACGGUAUAAGUUACACCUAUACAUUUCGGGGAGUAUAAAUAUCCAAGUCUCCAAAGCUGCAUACAGAUUGUGUAGAUGGUUGGUGCACGUGGGCUUGCUUUACCCAGAAAUAUCGUUCUGCUAGUUUCCAAGAUCGCUCCAGAAAUUAUAAUCUUUAGAAAAAAGUCCAUUUUGAAUCCUGAACUUGUAGAACUUGUCUGAAUCAAACCCUAACCUUCUAAUCCUGGGUUCUCAGCCCCUCACCUAUCUAACCCGGAUCAAUUUAAACAUUAUCCCGAAAUUUCCUGUUUGGCUAGGUCAGGUUAACGACGUGUCUUAGGAUCUGGUGAGCGAGCAUUGUAUGUGGGUCCCGGCUACUUAUUUUUAUAAGGUUAUACCUGAAAAAAUCACUCGAAAAAAAUUACCCACAUUUUUUUCUAAAAAAAACUACUAGGCAUCUGGUGAGGAUAUCGGCAUUCUUCGAGAGCAUACGCGCCGGGAGUGCCGGUUCCGGCGAGCAGCGAGCCAAGCCAUCGCCCCGCCUAAGAAAAUGUAUCAGAAGACCUUAGCCAACAUAGUUAAAAAUAUAUUUAAAGACGCUCUAAGAAAAUUAGUAACGGUUAUUCUCGUUAGUUAUUUCCUAAACAUAGUUAAAAAUAUCAAAAUUAAAAAAAUAAGAGAUACCCUCCGUCCCAUAAUAUGAGGCACGCACGUAUUCCUAAAUCAUCAAUUUGAUUAAUUAAAUAUAUAUUUUUCUUAACAAAAAGUACAUCAUUAGAUUUAUCAUCGAAAGAACUUUCUAAUGUCAUAAUUUUAAUUAUUUAAUUUCUAUUUAAUUAGCUAAAUUAACGAUUUAGGAAUGCGUGCGUGCCUCAUAUUAUGGGACGGACGGAGUACGAGAGCAUCAUUUGGGUCCUUCCUCUAGUCUUAGCCAGCAAUCCCGGUGUUACGUCAACAAAACCAGUCCGCCAAACACCAUUUUCGGGAUUAAGGGGCUUAAUUGACCGGGAUAGUAAGGUCAAGGUCUGAAAUUUAAGGAUUCAAAAGUUAAGGUCUGAUUCAGACUUUGUCUACAAGUUCAGGGUUGAAAAUAGACUUUUCUCCAAUCUUUAUAUGGUAUGUGCAUAGCUGGAUCUUUAUGCCGCACCAAUACAUGCGUAGGUGUCCAUAAUCAAAUCAGAAAGAAAAAACAUUUGCGAGAGCACACUAUAAACCUCAAGGUAGAGUUUGAGUAGUUAUCGUUUGACUGGUUAGCAAUAUUCGUAUUGAUAUUGAGCAUCUGAUUCCUAUAUUUCUAGAAAGGGGAUAACCAUGCCAAGUUCGUGCCUACGUGCCAAGGGAUUUGGCAGUUGGUAUGCUCACCCACACUAGCGUUGUACGGCACAUUCGUCCGCUUUCAAUAUUUUAGCCACUUCUCCAAAGUGUCGCUUUUGUUAUGUUCCCGACACAGAAAGGAGCACAGGCAAUAAGACUUCCACGUCACUCCAAAGUCCAAACACACAGGUGAUUGAAGGCCAAGAAUCUCGUUUCUGGACUUAACAAAGAUACAAAUGACAGUAUUACUGCAAUUUUAUUCGCCAUAAUUUUCAUGGCUCCUAUGGAAGGGGAAAAUCAUACUGUCCUCGUCAACAAUAUAGGACUUCUUAUCCUGUUUUCGUGGAUAAUGGACAAAGAUCUUCCCCAUUAUCUAUAGUGUGAGAUGUGCACACGCUCAACCUCAAACCAUCAGGAAGCACGCUUUACCUUGAUGUGCCACGAAAGUAUUUACAAACUUGCAGAAUCUUCCUUUUGCCUUUUUACUUACAAGGAUGUAGUACACUCAUGCAUGCCCACUAAUACAUGCAUGUAUGCGCGUUCUAGUGAAAUACAUACUAGAUUUAAAGCGAGGGAAACUCAGACAGGUUGCGCGUAACUUUACCAAUUAUCUUUACUAUUCCUUAAUUUGCAGUUGCGUCCGUGGUAGACCGUAGUCUCGUACGUCGUCCCAACUUUAGAGAAAUUACAUCUCUGUGCCACCGCCCGAACUCCCGAAUCGUUUUUCUUCUCUUUCGUUCUCUCGCGUCACACCCCGCCCGCUGCGGCCCGCGCACGGCCACCACCGCCCACCCGCCUCUCCUCUCCCUAAAUCUCUCAUCUCCACCGGAACCGACUCGAUCUCUUCCUCUCCCUCACAAUCUCUCCCGCGCCCGUCCCUCCAUGUGCCAGUCCACGCUGCUGUCGCCAUGGGAUGGAGGACUGCCGGUCCCCACGGACGCCGCCGUCCCGCCGCCGAGGACGGGCGCCUGAGGAGAGCUCCGCCGUCAUGGCCUCCUCCUCCGGUUCCAGUCGCCACCACCUCGUCCCCCCUCGAGGAAAAGCGCACGGCGACGACUUCGCGUCAUCGGAUCCGGCCUCCCCCAGCCUCGACGCCGCAGGGACUGUUAGAGUAAUCUUGAGUUUGAGUCUAGCUAGGUGCAUGUGUUUGUGUCCUACAGAUUAGGAGUGUGUCUAUGCGUGAGUUAGUAGUGUUCAUGUGCAUGUGUGAUUCAGCGUGAGUUGUGUUCGAGUAGGACUAGUAUUCCGUAUGGUGUUGGGCUUGUGCGUGUAUAUAUACGCAUGCAACCCUCUAACUUGCAAUCAAGGUGGUGGGAUUUGAGAUAUUGAGAAGAAAUAAAAAGAGAGGCACGACAGGUGCAUCUGGCCAAAUAAAUUCCCGACCGUGGGCGUCUUCAUGUGACUGAUCUUUGGGCAAACCCAACAUUUGGUAUCAGAGCGAGGUCCAAGAUUUGAAGACGUGCUUGCCCCGGGGAGGCGAUGUGCUAGCGCCUCGGGGCGGGCAACGAUGGCGGAGCGGCGUCCGCGGAUUGAAGCGGUCAAUCGGCUGAGUGGCGUCUGCAGAUCAAAACGAGCGAUCUGGGGCUGUGCGGUGGAGUAGAGUGCAACGGAUUGGAUCGAGUUGUCGUUGUGGUGGGCCGAUCUUCUAGUAACGGGAGAUCAUAAUACUGAUUGCCGGAAAGUACUCAGCAUCAGGGCAAACUAUCAUCGGCAAGCUCGUUGAAGAGUUAUGCGUGUCCAGAUCAGCGUCUGUGAGUCGUGGUUGUGUUCGAGUGCUCGUCGGUGCGAGGCUCUGUUGCAGUGGAAGCAUGUUACGGUCGAAGGUUGUCCGGUAUGGUGUGUCAUCGGAGCAAGAGAUCGACGUGCGUGCAGACAAGGUGGCAUGUGGCCAUCUCCGUGUCUCGGCAAGAAGAUCAAAAUUGGCGUGUAGUGGGACCAUGAACAGUUUAGUUGAGUUCCUGCGUGAGAUUAAUGGUGCGUCUAAUCUGCACGUAGCACGCGAGAUGUGUCCGCAUGGGCUGGUAGUCCGGAUCAUGCGUUGAGUUGAGUCGACGAGUCGUGAAGCUGAAGAGAGCCAAGAUCAGGGAGAGCGCAUGAAGACAGCAACUUCAAGAUUAGGAGGAGAUUGUUAGAGUAAUCUUGAGUUUGAGUCUAGCUAGGUGCAUGUGUUUGUGUCCUAAUCAGAUUAGGAGUGUGUCUAUGCGUGAGUUAGUAGUGUUCAUGUGCAUGUGUGAUUCAGCGUGAGUUGUGUUCGAGUAGAACUAGUAUUCCGUAUGGUGUUGGGCUUGUGCAUGUAUAUAUACGCAUGCAACCCUCUAACUUGUAAUCAAGGUGGUGGGAUUUGAGAUAUUGAGAAGAAAUAAAAAGAGAGGCACGACAGGUGCAUCUGGCCAAAUAAAUUCCUGAUCGUGUGCGUCUUCAUGUGACUGAUCUUUGGGCAAACCCAACAGGGACUGGGCUCCUCCGACCCUGCCGCGGUCGGAUCCGGCUUUCCCCGACCCCUCUCUGGAGAUCGAUUCGUCUCAUCACCUAUCAAAGCCGCCGCGUUGAUGAACUGUGCCUCCAGAGUUUGAAGUGCCGCCGCCGCCUCCAUGGGAAUCGUCACCGCCGCCUCCUGGAAUCACCAAUCGGCGCUGCCGGUUCACUCUACGCGGCCCGACCUCAAGGAAUCGAGCCGCCCGUGUCUCCAAAGGUCGAGAUCGCCACCUCGACUCAAGCCGCCGCCUCCUCAGAUUGAGGCCGGCGCCUCCAUGCUCCUCCAACCGCCUCCUCAGUGGCUACUCCCAUUGCCGAGCUACGCGAGUUCGUCACCAGGCACUCAGAAUCGCACAAGAAUUAAUUUAUGGCAUCAUAUGUUUUCUUUUACUAAAAUUACCUAUGCAGGAGUCCUCUUUGGAGAUUAAAAUAAAUGUCUCUGCUGGAAUGAAAAUCAUGUUCCCUUUUGCCGAACAAACACAAUGGAAUUUGGAGAACAGGAGCCUACAGAUUUCCUUAUGUUUAAUUACACUUUUACUGAAUGGUGCACAAGUUCCAAAGAUAGCUCUACUGUUUUAAUUAUUUAAGAUUAAUGGUCUUGCUAGAAGGUCAAAGCUAUAAAUUGUAUGUUUUAGGAAAUAUCAUCUCUUGCUUAUUGGCAGAGUAACUGAUUGCUUAGUUGGUCAAAACUGCUGGAGCCUUUGAAAGAGUUAAGACCAUUAAUCAAGGAGGUACGUCUAGCUGGCCAUUAAGGGCAAGUAUGCUAAGCUUACUACUGAUUAUGUGUACCCAUGUCAACAUAGACUUCACUAAGACCUCUUGAUGAAAUUUUAUUUGUGUUCACUGCAUAAAGCCAUAAACCAUGUUUGGCUUGUAGGUAGUUCCUAUUACCUCCAUGAUGUAUUUGCUAGCAUGAUGUGUUGCAUUUUAAUUGUCUUUUUCUUGUUCAAUAGGGCAGAUUUGGUAUUUGGGAGUGGAAGAAACAUGGCUAAAGCAAGUGUUUAUUUUCAGGCUAAUGCUUACCGAAUUAAUCUGUUCCCUUUCUGUAGAACUCUGCUAUUGGUUUAACUAAGUACCACCUUAGUGUUUGAUAUAUACUCCUAAAAUAGCCAGGCUUGUGCUGAACCAUGAUUGGUUAGUGACCUGUUGAGUGUUGACCUAUAUGUUGUUUGAAUAGCCAGACACUGGCUGAGAAAAACUUCAAUUGGGGAUUGAAGUUUAGUGCCCUGAAUGUUGGUUGUUUUUACUGCACAAGUUGACACAGUCCAGAGAGCGGGAGGAUCAUCAAGGAUCAACAUAUCAAGUGAGCUACUCGAAAUGAUGUGAGAAAGAAGGUGGCUGAUACUUGGGUGCGAUGGCGAUGGAACUGGAGAAGUCAGCUUAAGUUUCUACGUGUAUCUAAAUAUUGUCAUUUAAAAUACACAAGAGUGGUUAUAUUACUGAUCCUGUAGGUACCAGAUUACCAAUCCAUUACAACCUUCAACAAAUGAGUUGUUCAAAAGAAAGUUCUGAGAAAAGUGUUACUUUCAGUUAUUCGUGUAGUCAAAGGAAUACUUUUGCCACUAAUUUACCAAAAUAGAACUACAUAAGUACUACCUUGCCUUGUCAGUAGUAGAAGCUUUUUUUUUUUUUUUUCUGAAGUAGGCAUAGGUCUCAGCUUCUCAAGUAAAUUCUCGAGGUUAGUUUGUUCAUGUUCUUCGGUUAACUUGCAUUCUGUAACGCCGAUUUUGUUUUGCACGAAUGUCAGGCCAUUUUUAGUGAACAAAUUGGAGCCACAAUAUCUACUUGAUGGCCGCAGAAAAGUAUAUGAGUUAUUAUCACUGAAGAAUUCAUUCACUUCUCUGUUACUCAAUAGAACAAUCUUCAUAUUCUGAUCAAAAUCAAAUACACUCCAAGGUAAUUUAUCUCUUUAUUUGUACAAUUUCCUUGUACACAACAGCGAUCUUUUUCUGCAUGCUAUCAAGUUAGUGGUUCAUUAUAUUGGUCAUGGUAGGAAGCUCUUGACUGAAGGGGAUGUACAGUUGAGCCACAUGUUUUAGAGGUAGGAAAAUUAGUUUUAUGCUAUCAAGACUUGAUGAGUUCAUCUUUUCAGCCUUCCACUGUAGGAAACUGAAAAAUGCCCGGAACAAAUGCAAAAUGUACUUAGAAAAGUGCACAUAUGAACGAAUGUUUUAUUUCUCGCUAUUGGUGCAUAAUUUUUUUUGUUGAAAAUGAUUCUCUUCGUAUUCAUCAGCCGCAAAUCUCUAAUCAUGUAUUUAUUGUUGUCCGCAAAUUUCUAAUCAUGUAUACAUUAUUGUUGUUUUUGUCUCUCCGUUGCAACGCACGGGCACUUAGCUAGUAUAUGUAUAUGCUCGAUUUGGGCAUAUUCUCCCAGUGAAACCCACGAAGGUGCCGGAUCCUCCUCCAAAUAAUACGGAGUACGUACAUCCAAGUGGGAUUUGGCCGCGAGUGAGAUCCUAACCCAGGGCAUCAACAUCAAGCCCAUCAUUGCGGUCCAGUGGGAGAAGAAGGGCACAUUUGAUGAUCCAAGGCAUAUUUGUGCCAAUUGCACAGUGUAUGUCCAAAGUAUAGUGGUAGGUGGUAACGCCACAGGCCCACAGCCCAGACCCUCUCAAAAAUUUGAACAAGGCCAUAUAAAACCUCAUUAUAAAUUGGUUGACAGUGAAAGGUUGAGUUAAACUUUAUUUGAAACGAACCUUAGGAAACUUUCUCUUUGGUACUAGAGGCUGGCUAUUAUGUGUUUAUCCACUACUGACUCAAGUCCUUGUCGAGGUGUACCUGUUGUCCUCAUACACAAUACGUGUCGCUUUCAAAGAGAGAAAAUACAAAUGGAGCAUAUAUAGGAUUUGAGCUAACGUCAUAUAAAGGGGUCUGAAAGGAGGGAGGGACGCGUCUUGACAAGUGAAUGGCCAGCCGAGAGUAGGGAAUAAGUGGUAGUCCGAGUUAUUGCCCCACACAAAACCACAAAAUAAGAGGUUCUCACACAGCACACACAGGCACUAAUACUUAUUACAUGCAUAUGGAAAGCAUUAGGACAGAUCAAAAUAUAUGUAGCAUACAUCUUCAGUUGCUUCAUGUUUAUGAUCAGGUUCUUCAUCUUCAGAUUCUUCAUGCUCAGAAAACACCUAUUUCUUACUCCUGGGUUUCUUCUGAUCAUGCUUAGCUUUCUUGGUUGCAUCUUCAUCAUCACUGUGGGAUUGCUUUUGCUUUUUCUUCUGACUCUAAGAUUCAAUGUCAUUUUUUGCCAGGCCAAAUCUUUCGUUGAGGUUCCUUAUAAUCUUCUUGGAGAUCUCUGGCGGCUUGGCAGAGCAGGCUAAGCAGUGCCUAUCAACACAAGUGUUGUGCUUAUAACCUCCAUUCUUCUUAUUAAUCCUUUCACUUCUUCUCACCUCUGUGACAACCAGAGGUGCCUUUUUUUCUCUCUUUCCUCUGAUAGCAGAAGUGGAGGCAAUGUCAGGGAGGCAUGGCAGUUUUGUAGGGGCAUGUGGAGUAAGGUAACCCUUACUUAUCAUAGCUGCUCUGGCAGUGAGAUCACAUUUCAAUGGUGAUGAGCUAGGACAUGUAUCAGGUAUAUAAAAAUCUUUAGAUAAUGGAGCAUUCUCUGAAAAGAUGGUCCACAUGUUGGACAAAAGUACCUUACUGGCCCAUUCAAAACUCUCAGGGGAGAUUAGGGAGGCAGUGAAGAAAUCAACCCAUGGCUGAGGGACUGAUAUAGAAUUCCUGUUGCUCCUAGGGCAGAAGUGCUUUAUCCAUAUCUCAUUGCUAUCAGUUGAAGUAUGAAGCAGUUCCAGGUUUGGUUUAGUAAGGUGUGGUCCAUAUAAAGCAGGAAAGUUCUCCUGUGGGUGGUUGAAUGGAGGAAUGAUGACCCUACCAAUCUGCAUAUUCUCUUGACCAUCAUUCAACAUAUUAUUAUGACCAGCAUGGACAUUCUGCAAAUCAUGGUGAAUAUUCUCACUAGCUGCAGUAGGCAGUUGCAUUUGGUCAGCAGGCUGGGCAUCAGGUGCAGCAAUGAAAUGCAGAGCAUGCAUAUCCUGAUCCUGUGGCAUUUGAAGAAGAACAUCCUCCAAGUGAAUGUGUUGGACAUUCUGUUCAGGUGCAACAAUCUGAAAAGCAUUGACCAGGGCAUUCUGUGGUGGCUCAUGUUGAAUGACAUUAAGAUCUAGAUUCAGCACCGGAUUACCCUGUUGGGCCAUAACAUGCAGGGGCCCAGGAGGUAUUCCACUGACAGAUCCUUUAGACAAAAGUGGUGCUGGUGCAUUUGAACUAAGUGAUAAGGUCAGUGCACUUUCAUCAUCCUAGUCAGGUGCUGGAUUGGGGAUAACUGCUGCUUGAUUUCCCUCAGGAAGGAAAAAGAGGUCAUGUGCAUUUGCACCAGCAUUAUGCAGAGCUUGGUCCCAUGGGCCCCAGAAAUCCGCUUCCAUGUUAAGAUCAGGGAUGAUAGGGCCAUGAUUUGCAUUAUUCCCAUGGUCUUCUUCAAAAGGCAGAACUGGGAGUGGGUGGGGUGUGUCCCCAUCGCCAGGUCGAGCAUCUUCGUCAGUUGGGAGUGCACUCAUGAAAGCCUGAUGAAGGAUAUAAACAGGGGCAACCCAUGUUUCUCCUUGAAAGUCAGAUCCAUGGGACAAAAGAAGGCUGUAAGGAACCAAAGAAAGAUCCACCACUUUGACCUUGAUGAUGAUUCUAGAGUAGUUGUUCACAGUUCUAUCCCAGAGAAUAAGCUUUCCCCAAUCAGCAAUGGCAUUAGCAAUGUGCUCAGAUGUCCAAAUGUCAAGAUGAAACCCUAAGAUCAUGAGCCAAACUUCCUGGUUAUAGGUGAAACCCCUCCAGUUCUGGGCUCGGUUAUGCUCAGUGAAGGUAAAAGUGAUGCCAUUGUGUUGGUGCGGACCAUUACGAACUAGCCAAUCUCUAUCAAUGGCGGAGUGCAGACGAACAAAUGCAUCACCAAUCGCACUACGCUAAAUAUGUUCGACCUGAAGCUGAAGAUGCUCAGCAAGAAGAUGAUUCAGAUACCUCGAGUCUCCUCAAAGAGAGCAUCAGGAUUCGGAGGAGGCUGGAGAGUCACAAUCGCGACAUCCUCGUUUUGCGGCUCAAUGCGACCACGGAUAUGGUAUCUGCUGUGCUGUGGUCGUCCCUCCGCGUCAAUGAUGUCGAAGAGCCCGAGGACGAACGGCACCGGGUCGACGACGAAGUUCGCCAUUAGUGAGCUUCGAGUGUCGGAGCUGCCGAGGGCGCAUAGGCAGGAUGGGGUUUUGGUGGAGCUUCGGUGGAAGACGAAGGACCCCCCCCCCCCACCACCACCACCCCCUGAGCAAUAGAAUAAUGGGCAAAAUCACUGAAUGAGGAGUAGUAUCGGGGUGCUUGGUGGUGCUCGGCCGUGGAUCUAAACCACGUGUCAGUCAUCCCCUUAGGCCAGUGAGAUUUGGACACCUUUGGAAAUUUGGGGGCAGGAGAAAUUCCUGUAAAAUACCCAAAAAUUGGUGACUUAGCAAAAGUAGCCCCUUCCUUCCUUGCGCGGCAAAAUCUGUAUGUGUGCCUAGGCUUAUAACAGAAUCUACAGUGCAUAGCAUUCCUGCACCGGCUAAAAUGAUGGCCCAUUUUUAGGCAUCGGGCACAUGUGGGCUGCGGCCCAUUAACUCCUGGUGAAACAUAAUGGCAUUGAUUGAAUUGAAUGUCCAAUUGAUUGCCCUGAUUAGCCACCUCCUGAGACUGCUCGCAUGUGAUCUGUGGUUCGAAUACCGUCUUCUCCGGCAAUGGUGCGAGCAAGGGUUCCGCCGCCGCCGAGUUGGCCGGAAAAGUUAAUCUUCGGAAAAUAGUACCAAUAGCCACCGGCUUUUGCUGCUGAUCCCUGAAUUUAGCAAUAUGAUUCUCUUUGCACUGCUAGAUAUCUUCAACUGAAUAUCCUGCAUCAGCGAGAUCAAACUCCUUGGUCCUGCUCCAGGGUGACAAUGGCGGGGAUGAGGCCUUUGAUCCCAAUCUAUUGAAAACCGAUUGCCGAGAAAUAGGAACAUCAUUAGAGCCAGUGAGGUAGUUCGUGCCUGAGCUGCAACUUGUACAAAGCUUCUACUAGCCCGGGGAGGAGAUUGUGCCUUCUUGGGAGAUUCCCAUUUUAGGAGUUCCUCUUUUUCCCAUGCAGCAAAUUCCUUGAUGAAAUCUGGCCCUCCAAAGCCCCAAAGAUGGAAGUAAACCACAAAAUUGGUGCACGUAAAAGAAUUGAGCCCAGCAAUGUGAAAGCCAAUGUUCUUGUUAGUAACAUAGAAUCUGAAAGUGCGGUCCCGGAGGUGGCAGACACGGAAUUCCUCUAGUGAUCCCCCAAGGCACAUUGAGCAGAUUACCCACCGAUUCCUCAAUGCGACAGAACUUGCAUCGUCCAAAGGAGGCAACCAUGAAGAAAUUUGGUCGCCUAGAUGGGGGAACGGUGAUUGGCAGCCGCCACCUGUGCAUACAUUCUUGCCGGAGAUUUUCCCUAGGUCGGUGAUCGAUUUGAAGAUCCAUACCUUGUGAUGAAUUCUUACCAUGUGGUGGAGCCGCAGCUGCAGUUGGCUCCACCGGUCUUUUUUCCAUGACCGAGAGAUCCAUGGCCGCCAUAGAGGAGGAUCCUGGGUGGGCGAGGUGGGAGGGCAGUCGGCCGUGUUUCCAUGGCCGAGAGAUCCAGUGAGGCCGCCAUAAGGACGGCGAGGUCGCCAUAGCCUCAGAGCUUUUGUUUCCGUCAAAUGUUACUGACGAAAAAAUGCUCAAAGAAAUGGAAGUGGCGGCUGCGUUCUUGUUCGCGCUCCAAAAGGAAUCCAGAAUAUUAGGGGUAUUAAUGCUGAUAAUUGCAAAAAAAAUAGAGGAAAGUGGAUGCUCCAUUAUUUGUCUUCAAGAAACCAAGAAAGAAACUUUCGACCCAAACUUCAUUCACAAUUUCUGCCCUCGAAGAUUCACUAAAUUUCAUUACCUGCCAUCUGUGGGGAGAUAAGGGGGUCUUUUAGUGGCUUGGGUUGGAUCACUCUUUUCUGGAGAAUUACUUUUUACGAACGAUUUCUCAUUGUCUAUCAACUUCAAAUGGCUCAAAUCGGGCAAGGAAUGGAUUUUGACCAAUAUUUAUGGUCCCUGUACUGAUGACAAGAAGAAAGAUUUCAUCAACUGGCUGAACCAAAUAGAUAUGCCUGACACCAUGGAUUGGUUGAUCCUUGGGGAUUUCAAUUUCAUUCGAUCACCUGACGACCGAAAUCGGCCUGGUGGAAACAUUGCUGAUAUGUUGGCCUUUAAUGACACUAUAAGCAAUUUUGGUUGGGUAGAAUUACCUCUGAAAGGAAGAAAAUUUACCUGGAGUAAUAUGCAAAAUGAACCACUUAAAAAGUUGGAUUGGUGUUUCACAUAUCUGAGCUGGACUUUGAACUAUCCAUCGACAGAAUCCUUUCCACUAGCCAAAUCUACUACAGAUCACGUCCCUUAUGUGAUUAAAAUUGGCACCAGUAUCCCAAGAUCACAUGUCUUUAGUGAAAACAACUGGAUCAACAAACCAGGAUUCAAGCAGAUUGUCCAGGAGGCAUGGAAUUGUCACCACCACAUCACUGAGUCUGGCAAAAAGAUAUCUGCCAGGAUAAAAACGCUCAGAUAUAGGAUGAGAAAAUGGACCAAAAUGCCAUCUGAGAUGGACUCACUUAUUGAAGAUCUCAAUUGUGUCAUUUUACUUCUUGAUGGUAUUGAGGAUACUUGAGGGCUUACACAGGAAGAAUUCUGUUUCAGAAAUAAAUGCAAGGACACACUAGAUGAAUGUCUCACUUCCCAGAAAACUUUUUGGAAGCAGAGGGGAAAAAUUAAAUGGGUUAAGCUGGGAGAUGAAAAUUCCAAAUUCUUUCACUCUCUUGCUACAAUCCAACAUAGAAGGAACCACAUCACCUGUGUCAAAAGGCUUGAUGGUUCUAUGGAGUUUGAACAUGAGGGCAAGGCUGCACUCUUAUGGGAAGCAUUGAAAGACAGAUUGGGCAAACCUGCUGGAGCCACCUUUCCAUUUAAUCUGAUGGACAUGUUGCAGCAACAUGCAGAUCUCUCUUGCUUGGAAGUCCCAUUUACUAUUGAGAAAAUUGACAGAGUAAUUCAAAAAUUACCUCAUAACAGAUCUACUAGACCUGAUGGUUUUAAUUCUGAGUUCAUACAAGCAUCCUGGGAUAUCAUUAAACAAGAUUUUUAUGAUCUUUGCCACCAAUUCCAUUCUGGAUACAUCUCCCUUGACUGUCUCAACACAUGUUUUAUUGCUCUCAUCCUAAAGAUUGACUCAGCAGAAUCUGUCCAAGAUUAUAGACCCAUUUCCCUUCUGAACUGCACUCUCAAGAUUAUCACCAAGCUAUUGGCCAACAGGUUGCAAUCCAUCAUUAAAAAUCUCAUCCACAAGAACCAAUAUGGCUUUAUCAAAACCAGAACUAUCCAGAGCUACAUGGCAUGGUCACAUGAAUACUUGAAUGCAUGCAACAAUUCACAUGAAGAAAUCAUUUUGCUCAAACUUGACUUUGAGAAAGCUUUUGACAUGGUUGAACAUGAUGCUCUCAUCAGGGUACUCCAGGUCAUGGGAUUUGGACAAAAAUGGAUUGAAUGGGUACAGAAAAUCCUUUCUUCUGCAUCAUUUAAUGUCCUCCUUAAUGGAGUCACUGGGAAGAUUAUCAAAUGCAGAAGAGGGCUCAGACAAGGUGAUCCUCUAUCACCACUCCUCUUUGUCAUCAUGGCUGAUGUGCUCCAAUCCUACAUCAAUCACCAAAUGCAGCUUGGCAUGCUCACAAGGCCAAUCACCUCUAAUAAUCUGCAUGAUUUUCCCAUUGUGCAAUAUGCAGAUGACACUCUCAUUUUCAUGAGAGUAGAUGUCCAUCAAAUAAUGCUGCUCAAGAACAUGCUUAUUAACUUCCAUUCUGCCAUUGGGACCUAAAAGUUAAUUUUCAUAAAUCAAAUUUGAUCCCCCUGAAUAUGGAUCAUAAUUCUCCCAGCUUCUAGCAGAGACCUUUGGAUGUAGAAUUGACAUUCUGCCAUUCAAGUAUUUGGGCCUCCCCCUUGGUAUCAGCAGGCCUGCUAUUCAGGACUAUCUAUCUCUCAUUAAACGUAUUGAAACAAAACUCACAUGCUUUUCUAACAUGCUGACAUAUGGCGGAAAGCUCCAGUUGGUUAAUUCGGUCCUUUCUGCAUUACCUUCAUACUAUAUGAGCACAUUCCUUUCUGCAUUACCUUCAUGCUAUAUGAGCACACUGCCUUUGGAGAGGUAAUGAUCUGACCAGGAAAAAUCCCCCACUGACUGCAUGGGAAAUUGUCUGUCGACCUAAAGCUGAGGGUGAUCUUGGUGUGCACAAUUUGAGUCUCCAGAAUAAGGCACUCCUUAUGAAAAAUCUGCAUAAAUUCUUCAAUAGGCAUGACACACCAUGGGUUCCACUUCUCUAGGAACUUUACUACCAAGAUGGUCUGCCUCCACAACAAGCCACUAAUGCAUCCUUCUGGUGGAAAGAUGUUCUCAAGCUCCUGGACACAUUCAAAAAAUUGGCUGUCUGCAACCCCCAUAGUGGAAAAUCCACCCUCUUCUGGAGUGACAACAUGAACAAUGUCUGUUUACAGCAGCAAUGGCCACACCUUUUCUCAUUUGCUACUAAUCAAUUCAUCACUGCUUAUGACAUGGUCAGCUCCAAUGAGCACACAUGCCACUUUCACCUACCUCUGUCUACUGCUGCAUAUGAGCAGUUUCUUCAGCUAAAUCAAUUCAUUCAGAACUGGGAAUCAUCUGUUGAAAAUGAUGAAUGGACUUACAUCUGGAAGAAGAACUCUUUUAUACCUGCCAAGGCCUAUGCAGCUCAAAUUGAGCACAUUAUCAUCUCUGCCAGUUUUCAUUGGAUUUGGGCAUCCUGCUGCCAUCUCAAACACAAGAUUUUCUUUUGGUUGCUCCUGAUUGAUAGACUAAUUACCAGAGCUAUGCUCCAAAGAAGGCAAUUUCACCUUCCAGCUUACACAUGUGUCAUGUGUGGAAAUGGAGACAUUGAGACGAGAGAUCACCUAUUUUAUUCAUGUCCAUUUGCCACUGCCUGCUAGACCUACCUGACCUCUCAAUUCCAUGUUCAAGAUAACAUUCGUGACAACAUAUCUCAACUCAAAGAAUUGCUUAAUCUGCCUUUCCAUAUGGAGAUUCAGAUCCUGGCUACUUGGAGUAUUUGGAUGACUCGAAAUGAUUAUAUCUUCAAUAAUGUUCAACCUAGUUUGUACCGAUGUAGAAGGAACUUUUCUAAAGAGCUUAAUCAUGUCUGGCACAGAGCAAAAAGAAAAAGACUUAAAGGCUUUGAAGCUUGGAUAGCAUCCUUUAAAUGAUUUUCCUUUUUUCUUGUAAAUAUACAUUUUUUUUAUUAAUAUAAUUUUAUGGCAAUAGGCUUUUAGACUAUUGUCUUUGCCCCUCAAAAAAGAGCACUGGAAUGGCGAAGAAAGACUGCCCAGGAGAUGUUUUAGAUUUCAGAGAAACAGUCAAUCCAAUGGAUAGAUGUACAACGACAUAAUUUUCGUUCUGAGCCCUGGGUGAUGAAGCGAUAUGUAAUGGUCUUUUUAGUCCAUAAGAUUUUCAAAACAUAGGAACAUGAAAAACAAAGUAUUGAAAUGUCAUGCCAUCUUAUUUUCUACACGAAGAGCAAAUACGGAACAAGCAAGUCAAGUUGUUUGCUUGCAGCACAGAAAAAAUUCAAAAAAUAUUAUGAGAAGUAUGUGCAUGGACAUAGGCAUCAUCAGGGACGGAGCCAAAUUUCCAACAUAGAAGAGGUAAAAUUUCUUUGUUAACUACAAUGUCUCCAUGUUUUUUUAAGAAUAGCUAAUCACGAAUGCCACACGGUAUGUCUCUGAUUUUUUUAAUGGGGGGAGGCUAUUUAACGGACAACCGCUGGAGUCUACCUAGAGACAGCCCAAAAAUGGGUUGUUAGAUUUUUUUUUGCCAUUUGGGAACUUUUUAUUUUUUUCCUUGUUGGCUUUUACCCUGAGGUAAAUACACCUGCGGUCCUACUUUUAUUGUCGCGGUGUCAGUUUAGUCCUAAAACUAUGAAACUGAACACUUUAAUCCUAAUUUUAUGAUAAGUGGUGCACGCGAGGUCCUAAGCUCGCUCGGGCGUCUGACUCGUCUACAUGGCACAUUUACCACGUACACGUCAGCUCAGGGGCGUUUGGCGAGAGUUUUGCUGUCGCGGCGGUUGGGAAUUUUUGCAGAAAACACCCUAUAAAAAUGUGGCGAUCUUCCUCUCUCUGUUUCCUCGUCCUCUCGGUUUUCUAUUCGAACUCUCUGUUUCCUCGUCUUCUCUUCUCGAUCGCCGCCACCGCCGUCAUGACAACGAGGACGAUGGCCAGCUCCUCCGUGCAGGGGCCAUCCCGACCAGCGUGUCCCCUCCUCUGCCUUCAGCGUGUCCCCGCUGGCUCGUCACUAUACCGUCGCCGGUCGCCACCGAGUCGCCACUACGUCGCCUUAGAAAUGCCGUCGGGUACGAAGGGAGAGGAACGGAGCGGGGAGAAAUAAAAAGGAUGCCUCCUCCGCCAGGGUUUUUUUUGCAAAAAAAUCCCAACUGCCGCGGCGGCAAAACUCCCGCCAAACGCCCCUGAGCAACCGUGUACGCGGUCAACGUGCCAAGUAGGCGAGUCAGACACACCCGAGCGAUCUUAGAACCUCGCGUACACCACUUAUCAUAAAAUUAGGACUAAAGUGUCCAGUUUCAUAGUUUUAGGACUAAACUGACACCGUGACAAUAAAAGUAGGACCGCAGGUGUAUUUACCUCCUUUUACUCGCUAUGUUCCAUAAUUCUUGUCUCAAAUUUGCGCAAAAAUGGAUGUAUCUAUUCCUCAAAAACGUCUAGAUACAUGUAAUAUUUCGACAAGAAUUAUAAAAUGUAGGUAGUAAUUUUUUUGAACUUUUAACUUUAUUCGAAGGUUUUAAAGGUUUUAAUUUUCAACUUUAAUUUUUUUUUAACUUCAAAUUUUUAUCUUCUGAGGUGGAUUUCCUCCGCCGAUUUGAUGUUGGCGGUUGGGCGUGGAAGAGGGAUCCCGUUUUUAAUGCUAGACAAAGUUUUAAAGUAUAGAGAAAGAUGUUGGCCGCAGAAGAUGGCAAGAAGAAAGGUGGAACGAUCUGCCGUUUAGUUAUGGAGAUGAUAAAAAGGAAAUAGAAGUAAUAAAGCUCCUUUUGAUGCCUCUUGGGCAGUUGGGUUAGGAUUCUGUGAUCAUCCUGCUAUUAGUGGGCUUGCAUUUUGAGAGACUUGGGCUUCAGCAUCGGGAACACCCUCCCUGCAUGCUCGCCCUCCUCUAAAUCCUCCCUCGUAAUUAUAGAUUUUUUUAAAACCUUCUUUGGACUAUCCAUUUCAUUCCGAUGAUGGGAUUGCGCUAAAGAAAUUUCAUAAGAUGUGAUUUUUUUUUCCUCCAAAUUUUGGAGCAAGCAUGAGGUCUAACCUCCUAAAAAAUAGUUUGAAUGUUCCAAUGCAUUUUCUCUCUAUCUCUCUCCUCUCUUGCUCCCGUCUUUUUCCAAUUUAGCAUCCAAACGCAUUUUUCAAGCAACUCUUGUCUUUUAGAUUCCUUUAGUAUUAUUCAAUACUAUUACAUGGUAUUCCAGUCCUAGGUUUUUCUAAUUCCUUCCUUGGAAUUGAGUGCAAAGUAAACCACAAGAAGAUUCCUAUAAAAAUAUAUUCCUACAAUUCAAAGAAACCAAAAAAUUCCUAAAGCAUCCUGCAAAUCAAAGAAACCUACUAACAAAAUUCCUAAAGAUUCUUGUUGUCUGUUUCUGUUGGCCCCACGGAUACCAAGAUAUCCUGGGUACAUGCCUUGGAAAAACCGCAUGCUGCCACCUCCUCCGUGAAGGCUCCCUUAUGGCAUUCCAGCAAGCUUGUGGCCCCGCCCCACAAGCGGGGUAUGUGGUACCCCGACUAGGCCUCGGUCCCGGGAGGGGAUGUGUUCACGAGAACAACUCACCUUCGUUCGGAAAAUAGUUGUGUUGUACCGAUCAUUCUAUUGUCAAAACUAAAGGGCAUGGUAACUAGCGACAUCAUAUCUAGUUGGUAACAGAAUCAGGGGCGGUAUAGAGGGCCAAUGGGCCUAUUCAGAACACCUGAAUAGGCCCAGGUUAACCGAUGAAUUCAUUUUUUCUAGUCGUUUUGUGUUGGAUGAAUCUUACAACAAUUUCUUGCCAUCCUAAGCAAAUUUGAACCCUGAUCUCAAUCGGAAUGAGGGUUUGAAUCCGGAUUCAAUGAAUUCAAUAACCAUGGUCUGAACCAAACAUCUCAUCGGGUUAUUUGUCAACUCGAUCAUUAAUAGGUGGUUGGACGAAUCUUACAACAAUUUCUUACCAUUCCGAACCCUGAUCCCGAUCGUUCAAUCCGGAUGAGGGUUCGAACCCUGAUUCAACGAAUGCGAUAACCAUGGUCUGAACCAAACAUCUCAUCAGGAUAUUUGUCAACUCAACCUUUAAUAGGUGGUUGCGAUAACUGCAGUGAGGAGCGUUGGUAGCAUGAUGAACCUUCGCCGUUGUACAUGGUUGCAGUCUUACAGGGAUACGGCAAAAUCGAGCAAAUGCAAUGAAUACUAGGAUGAUGCAUAGAAAGUAAGUAAGAAAGCACUUGUCCUGUCUUAGCUGAUCAGGUCCACGUUCUAUAUUUCUCUGUGCCAGCCCGAUCAUCCAGUACCCUCCUUCAAGAACAAACAGCUUCUUGUCAGUUCUAGUACAGUUCGACGCUUCGAGCCACAUGCAUGCCUACGCUGCUGCGACGACCGAGAGGCCGGCCCGUCCCGGCGCGAGCGCACAUGCCCGGCCCACGACGUCAUCGUAAUUGCGCGGCAUGUGCGGUGUUUCUUCCGUUUCCACUGUCCCGUCCGUAUGUCAUCGAUCGACCGGUAGGAGCUAGCUGCGUUCCUCGUCCCUCUUUUACGGGUGUCUUUAACGUCCUAUCGUGCACGGCGUCAUGCUUGUGCACAAAGUGGUGCACGGAGCAUUCAUGGUGGCGCCGUGGCGCCCGUUUGUCAAGGUACAUUGGAGUAGUUAUUUAUUUAUUUAUUUAUAUAGAAAGAGCAAUUAGCAAGGUCGGUAAGAGUUUGUUUUUUGAACUGAUGGGCAAAGAGUUACUGGAGCAUUGACGGACACCGAACCAAGCCGUACUGGAGUAAGCGGCUCAGAGCAUCUUCAGCGUCAGCAGGGCAGCCAGGGCUCUAGUUCAGUUUUUAGCGGCGGAGACAACUAGACACCCCUACUUAGAUCCCUAUUUCCCCCCUCGUUUUUCCCUUCUAGUAUGACAUCUCUUUCUUUUGCACGUCGUUCCUCCUCCGCCGCCCCUCCAUCUGGCUGAGAUGCCACUCCACCGCCUCCGUGCUCCGGCCGCCGCGCCGCCACAUCGUCUAUCGCCAGUCGCCGAGCUGCCACGUCGUGUCCCUUUGAACUGCUGCCUCCGAGAUUCGAGACAUCCAUGCCACUCAAGUGGGGGACUUUGGGGAGAAGAAGAAAGAAAAAAGAAAAGGGACAAAAACAAAAGACAAGUCACUAACAAAAAUGGCUAUGUGCAAUAAAAAUGGCUGUGUGCAUCGAUUGAUGCAGAGGCCGGGGUUUCCACCCCUUUUCGAAAAAAACAAAAACAAAAGACAAGGCACUAACAAAAUAGGGCCCAAUGUCAUAAAGUAAAAAUGGGUUGCGCAAUAGUGACCAUUGAUGAAGAUGUUUGUUUUUUUGAGAUCCUAAAAUUUGAGGGGAGCCCCUAAAUAUUGUUUACGGGUCCUAUUUUAAGGUUGCUACUGAAGAUGCUCUUAGGCGUUUGUCGGUAGAAGAGAGUAGGCAAGAGAAAAGUCUAUUUUUAAUCCUGAACUCGCAAAAGAAGUGUGAAAAAUGAACCUUUAACUUCGUUUUAGGGAAACAAUAGAUAAAUGAUCUACUACAAAUUUUAUUAAAAAUAAAUGAAAUUAUUUACAAUGCUGAUAAUAAAAAAUUAUCAGGCCACUCCAUCUAAAUCUGUCGAUCCAGCCAUGGAAAUGAGAAUAUUUCUUUCUUCAAGCUCUAUGAAAAAUAAGGUUCAACUCAUUUUAUUAUCAGGCCACUAGUGUGGAUAGUUCCAUCUGGAAUGGCUCACAAAUCUGCUUCUGAAUUUCCAUGAGGUUCGGGCGGACAUUAUUCAGAGGGACAAAGUGAGGACACAAAUAUCUCCAACAUGCAAGUAGAUCAUUGACAAUAUCUAUUUAUCUUCCUUUCUAAUCUCAAUCGGGCCAGUGUCAACAUUGACCGAAACUUAUGAGCAUGAUGUAGUAGCUGAAGUUGACGAUGGUAGCAGCCGUUGCGUGUCGCCUCGUAUUGUAGACACAGUUCACGUCCACAUCAGCUAGAAUCUGCACUCUAUUCAUGUUUGUGCCGUUGUGCGCGGCACCACUAGGAACUGCGCCAGGGUGACGGUAAGCUUCUGUUGGUUGUCGAAGAAACUCUUGACAGCACUGAUGUCAACACGUACCAGAGAUGAUGCGCACCCGAAAUCCUAGUGCCUAGCGAAACCUGGACCCAAUUGAUACUUUCGGGAUCGAGGGUCACAAUCGAUCGGAAUUAUAGGGUCUGAGGGAUUGAGAAGUUGGGGUUUAAGUGAGACUUUAUCUAUGAAGUGGGGGUUUCACUGCUAUACAAAGAUUUAUCAGUAACGGUCGAAAAACAACACCAGUAAUGGUCGGGGCCGCCGUUACUAACUUCGUGUUACUGAUGAUGGACAUCAUCAGUGACGGUCGAUCCGAUCGUAACUGAUGUACCAUCAUCAGUAACGGUUACAUAUCAUCAGUGGCGGGCGGCCAGACCCGAUCGUUACUGAUGUACCAUCAUCAGUAACGGUCGCUUUGCCACAUCAGUGUUGAGCGAGCGACCGACACUAAUACAUUUUUAGUAAUUAAAAAAAUAAUUAAAAUCACAGAAAAUACAUAGAAAAUAUAUAUUUGAAUACACAGCACAGCACAGAAAAAUACACAGCCACAUCAUUUAAAGCAUACAAAUGUAUAUAAAGUCACAUCAUUUAAAACAUAUAAAGAAUACAAAUGUAUCUCAUUUCAAACUUGAAUCUAUUGUUGUGGGUGAACCCUAGUCACCACUUGUUCCACGCGUUCGUAGAAAUCCCCACUAGGCUUGAUGACCUCAUUGUUGAUGACAUGGGCGAACUCCCUUUGAAUGUUAUACACGACCCAUUUAGGUCGGUGUGCAAUUGUCAUUCGGGGCCGCCAGUACUCUUCCGCAGCCGCGAUUGACCCCUUCCACUCAGGCUUGAACAUGCUGACAUUCUCCAUAAGAAUGUGACAGCAGUAGUAGCCACAGUACACACUACCGGCCGGCUGUUGCUGGCAAGGGAACCUGUGGUUGUGGUGAGGCUCGUCGUUAUAACCUUUACCAGCUAGUUUUUCCUUGGUCGCCACUUUCCAGGCCGUGUUAAUGAGUGAUUUGAUGGGUUUCCAGUACCGACCUCGAACACGCUUCUUCGGAAGUAGUGAAUCAAAAUAGUACACCGCGGACCAAGGAAAACAAAUGAGUAGUGUCACCCAAUGGUCUCUGUUUUCAAAAGAAACAAACUUUAGUAUCUAAGGGUGUAUAAGAAAGACUGAAUUAGAAAAAACAAACGGUUCCAUAUAUAAAAUUCAACUUACUCCGAAUUAAGGAAGAAGAGGAUAAAGUCGUGGUCCACGUAUUUCUCCAGACAUGCCCACAAGUAUUUAGAUGCCAAGGUUCUUGAGAGAUCCUUUUCUGGCUCAAGACCGAUGUCACCGUAGUUGAACACCGUGGGGUCUAUAAUGGCUACUUUUUUACAUCCAUUCGCCGCAUUUCCCUUAUUUGGUAGACAGACCACAGCCUUAAGAGGUUGAUAUCAAGCUUUUGGCGGUUGAAGAGGUGGAACAGUUCGUUGAACUCCACACCAAAGGUGAUAGUACGUUCCUAAAUGUUCCCAGUUUCUUGGUCAAAGAAGCCAUAGUCUCGUGGGAUUCGAACAUUGAUUUGUUGGCCAUGCUGUUGAGAACCAGCUGAUGCUUGCAUGUAGAACUGAUGAAGCUCUUGCAUCUCUCUGGAUACGGCACGCAUGGAAUCUUCGGUGACCAUCGGUCUUCCAGGAUAGUAAAUAAGCAACCGGUCAAACUCCCUAGCCACAAAAUAGGAUCCGUCUUCGAAUCUCUGGCCUUGACGGGGGUUCUUCAUGAGAAUGUUAGGCGUAUUGUCUUCCCAGAUUCCAGUUAUGUCAGGUACAUAGUGCGUCUCAUCUUGAUUGACAUUGGAGGAGUCCUUGAUGGUCUUGCUGCUGCACCCCCUCCUUUUAUGCCUCCUCUUAUUGUCCCAUGCCUUUUGCUCCACUGCCUUGUACUUGUCAUCGAUCUUGCGACCACCCAUGGACUCAGCGGCACCCAAGAGAGAGAAGGUAGGAGGGACGCUUCCAGACUGUGCCGACCCUGUGGUCUGGCUAUCUUUGAGCUGUGGAGGCAUCGACAUUGCCCGCUCUUCAUCUCCGCCGGUAUCGAUAGGAGGAAGUGUCCUAGGGGAAAGGCCGAGCGACGAUUGAGAAGUACCUUUGUGGGCGGAGGGAGAUGGAGUCAUAGAGGUCCGGCUCUGGUUGUAGAGAGAUACCAAGCUGCUAGUCCACAAAAUGUGGUAGUUUGGACAACCGCCUAGGAUAUCCACGCCUUCCUCCGGAGGUAGCGGGAUAGCAUAAUCACGAUGGUCGUUGACGAUGGAGUCCACCAUCACACUCACUUGUGUGUCGUUCAUAAGAAUGCCGUGUACCAGUGGCGGUGAUUGUCUGGGCAUCAGGUGGCCAAUGGCGCCUACAGACUUCUCAGGCUUGUCUACAUGGAUACGACACUUCACCGGUGCCUGCGCGUAACAAGAAGAAGGCAUAUGUGUGUAAGAUCUUUAUUCAUGAAGGUAAGAAGUGAAAAAAAGUUUGAAAAGUAUGCUUACAAGGAUGUUGUCACUCGGACCCGGAUCGUUAUCCUAGAUGCCCUCGCUUGGGUCCGGUUGGCUAGAGGGGGGCUUGUCCAUGCUAGGAGCCGGACUGUAACCUGGGGUGUAUGUGUCAUCGUCUUCCGUACGUGUGUCGAAGGCGGCGCUGCUCUUCAGCGGGGUGCUCUUUCGUGGGGGAAGAGGAGGAAGAGGAGGAAGGAGGUUCCUCAAACCUUCCACUCCUCCCCCGAGUAUGGCGUCAAGGGCGUGGUGGUCUUUGGACAAUGCCGACAUCAAAUGAUGGACGGCUUGCACUACAUAUUCUCUUGACACCUCUUGACACACCAUAGAUGCCUGCUCUCGCGCCUCCGCCUUAGCUUGUUCUAUUAUUUCAACAGAAGCGGGGAGCUUUUUAUAGACCCUGCUUUGCUUCGGAGCAGGCGGGAAAUAAUCAUCCUAGCAGGCCCCUUCGCCUUCCCCUAGAACACGGCCCAUGUGCUCCGCCUUUUGCAAGCCGGCGGUCACAGCCGACUCCCACCUCUUGCUCUACACGGAGUCGGCGGAUGUUUCUGACCUCUUGCUUUCCUCCCAUUUGUGGGCAUUUUCCUGUUAUCAUAUAAGACAGGACGUGAGUCUAUAUGGAUCAUGAAUGUCAUAAUUAACGCCGAAAAACAAUUAAUGCACGUGAACCCUUACCGUAAAAUUUUUAACAGGCGGCUGCAUUGGCUCAAUGCCCGCCCCCUCCUCUGGUGUCAUGUGCUGACGUGCAUAUUCUCUAGCACGUUGGUCCACCAGCAUGUUAUGCACUGGAGGCAUCCUGCUUGCCGCCUCGAGAAUUCGGUCCUGCUUGCGCCAGACCUUCUUCUUCCCCUCUUUCCCUGCACUCCCUAGCCUGUGGUUCAAGAGCUUCCUCGCACGCAACACCCUCAUACUUUCACUCUUCUCAAUGAAGGCAGGGUCAGACGAUUCCUUCUUGAAUUUUUCCCAUUCGACCUCAUCAGUUAUCGACGGGCAUUUCUUCUUGAUGAUCUCAUAGGGUUUGUCCAUCCACUUUCUAGCGGUGGUUUUUCAAUUAGCAAGACCAUUCCGCACUGCUAUGUUAAUGGACUCUAGGAAUCGCUCGCGCCACCCGUCAGUGACUUGGAACCUCCUUGCAACGUCCGCGAUGCACGUGUUUCUAACGACUUCAGAGAUGUCACUCCAGUCGUCGGUGAUCUUGCAAUAUUUACGUGCAACGGCUCCACAGGUGGUUGCGAAGGCCUUCUGUGCCCUCUUAGACGACUCCGGGCGGCCUCUGUCAGAGUGCCGGGUGACCACGUAACAAAACUCCUUCAAGUUGUGGCUCCCCCUCGGUGUCUUCUUCCUUGGCUUCUUAGCCAUAGAAACAGUUGGCUGCGGGUUACUCUCAUCCACCCGUCGCUCGUUGUCGCGCUCUUCUGAACGAGAGCUACCUUCGCCAGAGCUAGGUUCGCCACCAGAGCUGGCAAUUUGCUCUCCCGAUGAAGACUCUUCAUCGACACGAUGUACCUCCUCAGGAGCUAUGUCCUCAAGAACUGAUUUCUGGCUACUCUUGCCCAUUUCGUAUCUAUGCCAUCAAAACCAUCAAAUAUAUAUUGGCCGAAAAUUUUGGCAUGACCUAUGCUAAAAAAACUAGCAAUUUUUUGCAACUAGGAGCUCGAAACCUGCAUAAAAACACCACCCGCAUAUGUACCCCCUCGGCACGAUGGCCGGCCCCUUCUCCAAUGACCCUACACGAUGGCCGGGCCCACAAUUCACAUAAAUGAAGCACUUUCCAAAGCAAAAAUUCAUAUACAACAUGUAUAUAGCAUAUAAACAACAUUUAUAUAGCACAUAAACAACAUGGAAUAGCCCAUAUACAUCGAGUAGCUUUCAAACAACAUCGAUACAGUAAUGUCAUAAAAGAAUUAAUUACAAUAACCCAUAUACAUGGAAUAGCUUUCAAUGAAUAGCAUGUAUAAAUCCUAACCCCAAUUAAAUAGCAUUUAAACAGCAUGUAUAUCAAAUUCCACGUAGGGUGCUCUAAUUUGAUAGCAAAUUCCAUGUAGCAUGAGUAAUUGAUAGCAACUAAUUUUGGUAGGGUGCUCUAAUUUGAUAGCAACUAAUUUUGACUGCAACUAAUUUUGACAGAAACUAAUUUGACAGAAACUAACCCUAACCCUAACAGCGGAGGCAGAGGGGAGCAAGUGCACCUAGGGUCGGAGGAAGACGGCGCGGGGUCGGGUCGUCACGGAGGAAGACGGUGCGGGCUCGGGGACGGCGGCGCGGGGUCGGGUCGUAGCGGAGGAAGACACCGGCGCGGGGUCGGGCGGAGCGGAGGAAGACGGCGCGGCGUCGGGCUCGGGGUCGGAGUAGGGCUCGGGGACGACGGCGCGGGCUCGGGGAGGGCGUCCGGAGAAGGGACACGAUGACGCAGGCUCGGGACCGGACGACGGCGCGGGCUCGGGGACGGUGGCGGGAGGAGGGAGACGACGGUGCGGGCCCAGGGAUGGUGGCGGGAGGAGGGAGAUGACGGCGCGGGCUCGGGGCGGCGCGAGCUCGGGGACGGCGGCGGCGCGAAAUUCCUGCAGGGCUUCGCCCGCGCUAGGGUUUAGCCCAUAGCUGGUCGCUCUGUAUGUUGAGGACGCGCGGGCGGAAUAACUCUAAAUUUCGCUAAGUGUUCUCUUAUAUACGCGACACUCAUCAGUAACGGUCGGGUAAGGGAGCUUUUCGUUACUGAUGAUUCUUCAAAGCGACCGCCACUGAUGUUCUCCUAUGUGCAAUGCCCAACUACUCAUCAGUAACGGGCGUGUAGAAGGCUGACAGUUACUGAUGAGUAUAGGACAUGGACUCCAUUUGUCUAGUAUUUGUACAUCAUGAAAUUCAUGUAUUUAAAGUUUGAUGAAUAAACUAUUUCUCUAGUAUUUGUGCUAAAUUAAAUUCAAAAAUUUUAACACAUGCAUACACAAAAGUACAUCGAUCACACAUAAUUUCACUUAGUACAAAGUUUGCAUUCAAAUUCGGUACGAGUACAUUACAAUGUGACUACUAGUGCUUCUCCUUCCUUCGGUAAGUCAUAACUUGACUCCUCGCAGUAGUGCUUCUGAGGUAGGAUUUUUGUGGUAUUCUCUCGCUCUGGCUCCCAUCAGUUCUUCUUUUCUCUCUCCUUUUCCUCGUUAAUAUCGUGCGUUCCACUUCUUCGUCAUCUGCGGCGGUCGUCGGAUCAUGGAAACCUUCAUAGUUUUCUUGCGAAGUAACUCCGUCCACUCCAAAAAUGCUUCUUUUCCCUCUUCUUACUACGACGCGGCCUUUAUUUGCCGGGUCGUCUAUGUAGAAUACCUGCUUGCUUGUUUAGCAAAGACCCAAUGGUUCCUCUCUUGCCAGGAUUUUUCUCACGUCAACUUGUUCACGAGGGAUCUCAGGAGGUAGCACCAUCAUCAUGAACCUGUGACUUUCUUCUUUGUCACCUUUGGUCCAUAUUACACGGAACAUUGGGAUCUUUGUGAUCGAGUACUCCAAUUUCCAGAUAUCCUCGAUAACGCCGAAGAACGCUUUGGUUUUGCUGUUGUCGUCGGUCGCGGUCUCAGAAGUCAUGACUACACAACUAUUUUGAUACAUGCUUUUACAGUUCUAAGACGCAGUGUAGAAGUUAUAGCCGUUGAUCGCAUAUGAUUGCCAAGUAGAGACGUGGUAAGCAGGUUCUCGUGAAAAACAUACAACCGUCUCUUCAGAUUCAUUGGUCGUCUCCCUGCCGUACCAAUAAUUUUUCAGCCACGCUGCGAAUGUUUUAUUGUGCUCCCAGUGGAUCUAGACUUCUCCUCUUUUAGGGUUUUCAUUUCGCAGUUGUUCCAUGUGCAUUUCCUGAUAAGGCCAGCAGCAAUCGAUAGUUUGCAACACAACCAUACUAUCCUUCAGUAUCUGGCAUCGUCUAACGGUGAUUGACUUUGCGAGAUGCUGUCAAAGAAGUCAGAAAGCUUCAUGAUUGUCUCCCUUAAGUGCGGCUCCAUGAUACCUCUGAUUGCGACUGGAAGUAACUGAGUGAGUAUGACAUGGUUGUCGUGAGACUUCAUGUCAACUAGAUGCUUGAUGCUCGAGAGUAGUUCGAUGAGACUUUAAUGCCCUGCAAGCACUGGCACAUCCUAUGCAACUCGUCUUUGUACAGGUUGUAACAUGCACGACGACACCGCGUGGUCACCGUCACGAAACCAUUCUUGUCGGCUGCCGACACUUGAUCUUUGCCCCACAACUCUUUUCUGAUAGACAUGAGUUCCAGGUCGUUCUGUGCAUUGGGUCCAUCUUUCGUCUUCUCUGGAUUGUUCAUCAGCAACCCCAGCACGCUGUCGCAUAAAUUUUUCUCCACGUGCAUGACAUCUAUGCUAUGACGGCAUUCUAAAUGUGCUCAGUACUCCAGGUCCCAGAAUACGGACCUCUUUUUCCACACGACACCUUCAGGUUUCUUAUAUUUUUUCGCAGCAAUCUUUCCGGGGACAACUUCAAGAUCAUUCACAAUUUCGAGGAUUUACAUACAGGACUUCUCCUUUGGCGUUGUCCCGUGCUCCGUCUUUCCAUUGAACCUUUCUUUGUCAUCCCUCCAAGGGUUUUUAGCAUCCAACCACUUUCGGUGCCUCAUUUAAACAAUUUUGGAUGAAGCGGGCAACUUCUCCGAUGUCGUGUUUUCCCCGCACUUUGUACAGGCCUUGUAGCCAUGUGUCACCUGGCAUGAAGUAUUUCCAUUCGCGGAAUAGUCAUGCACGCAGGUCAGAAGCGCUGCUCUCAUGGUGAAGUACUCCCUCCUCUUUGCGUCCCAAACAACUAUUCGAGAGUUCCAAAGCUCCUUUAGCUCAUCCUUCACUAACUGCAAAUACACAUUUAGGUCAUCUCCCGGCUGCUUUGGACCGUGUACGAGCAUGCACAUGUGGAUGUACUUUCUCUUCAUGAUUAACCAUGGAGGAAGGUUGUAGACAAACAAGAUCACUGACCAUGUGUUGUGCUUGUUGUUCAUGUUUCCGAAAAGAUUUAUCCCGUCAGUGCUGAGAUCGAGCCUCAGGUUUUUGGGCUCUGCCCCGAAAUCUGGAAAUGCCGUGUCGAAGUUUCUCCACUGAGUCCCAUCGGCAGGGUGUCUUAGGACCCCAGCUUCCUCCACACGGUAGUGCCCGUCAGGGUCAAAUGCAGCCUGCGCCGGAUCGUGAUAGACGAGAUACCUCACGUCCUUAAUGUUCUGCAUCCAACGCUCAACUCGGCCACCUGCCGUAAAAUACCAAACAGUCUUUGCUGGCCUGCCCUUCAUCUCUUCUUCCCCAUCGUCUUCGCCACCUCUGGCGUUUUUCUUCUUGUAUCUCGAUGCACCGCAUAUGUGGCAGCUCUUAUGGUUCUCCUACUCUCCAAUGUAUAUCAUGCAGUCGUUUGGACAUGAAUGAUGUUUCACGCAAUCUAAUCCAAGCGAGCAUGUAAUCUUCUUCGCCUCGUAUGUGCUCUUGGGAAACUUGUUUGGCUGUGGAAAAACCGAAGUAAGGUAACUCAACAAGUCCAUGAAGCCCUUGUCUGACCAACAUGAUGUUGCCUUCAGCCUCAAAAGUUCGAGCGUCACUUUGAGCACGUUGUUCUUCGCCAGCUCCAUCAUACAAGGGUGUGUUUGCGUCCUCCAACAAUUUUUUGAACUGAGCAGACUCUGCCUCACCUUCGGGGUCCUCCAGCUGGUCCCGUAGGUACGGGUCAUCUAGCAUUUCGGCAAUCUUGCCACGUGGAGCUCCUUCACCUUCCACAUUAGCCUCCUCAUCGACCCUUGUUUCUUCCUCGGAAUCAUUCGCCAGAUCAUACCGCAGGACAUCAUCAUCUUCGCUACCGCUACCGACAUCAACUGCAUCCUCCCCGUGACAAGUCCAGCGAAAAUAACCUUCCACAAAACCCGAUGCCAGCACAUGCAUCUAAACAUCUUCAGGCUUCAUCAUGCAUGUGUUUCCACAUUUGCGACAUGGACAACGCAUCAUCACAAGUCCUUUUCAUUUCAUAUCACCUUUCGCGACUCCAAAAAAGACCGUCCAUUCGGUUAUCCAUUGAGCAUUGAUUCUUUCCUUGGCGUACAUCCAAGAACGGUCCUUCGAUCUACAACACAAUACACAAGAAAACACAAAGCAAAAUAGUUAGCCGGCCUAAUCAUUAACAAGGGGAUUAAGGUGUUAAGUAACCGGGGCUAACUAAAAAUUUGAAAUUAGAGACAACGGAGAGAGAUUGGAGGCCGGCGAGAAAGAUCGGGAGGGAGAGAGAGCUCGCAAGGGAGAGGGAAGCUCCGGGCGACGACGAGGAGGCCGCAUUUUGGCCGGCGGACGGAGCUCAAACAUUUGAAAUUGGGAAACUUCGGAGAGAAAUUGGAGGCCGGCGAGAUAGAUCGGGAGGGAGAGAGAGCUCGCAAGGACAAGGGAAGCUUCGGGCUUGAAUAUCGGAGCUCGCAGGCCACCGGAGCUCCAAAAAUGGAGCUCGCCGCCGGCCAUGGAGAUGGGCGCCGCCCGCCGCCAGGGGAGAGAGGAGGAAGGGAGAGGGAGGAGAAGGGCUACCUGGGGUCGCCGGCGGCCAUGGCGGCCGAUUUCGGCAGCGGUUCGCCGUCGCUGGGGAAGAAGGGCACAGCUGGUCCGUUAAGACGCGCAGCGCGGCCAGCUGCGGCUCUGCCCCGCAUACUUAAAACGCGAGAGACAUCAGUGGUGGUCGGAACUUUGGCGACCGUUACUGAUAAUAGGGGAGACAUCAGUAACGGUCGCUUUAGUUCUGCCCGUUACUGAUGAUCACACAUUACUGAUGAUCACACAUCAGUAACGUGAUCAUUAGUAACGGUCGGGCCGAGGCCGCCUGUUACUGAUAGGUACGUUAGGGCUACCGUUACUGAUGUGUGGUACAUCAGUAACGGUCGUCUCUUAAUCGACCGCCACUGAUGUCUCUCGUGAGGUAUGAUGGAACAUCAGUGGCGGUCGCCUCGCGCGACCGUUACUUAUGUAUGGCUAGACGGGGAUGGACAGACCUCACUCUGUUCAUCAGUAACGGUCGCGCCGGACCCGUUACUGAUGCGCCGUGUCAUAUAGACCGUUUUGUAGUAGUGUUUAAAAUGGACUUCGGCGGGAAGAAGGUGCAUGCAUGCAGCGGUGCAAGGAAAUGUGACAACGAAGCACUUCAGCGGCAACAGGGUGCAGGCUAGUGACGUGGGGCUCCGAGCUGCGACGAAAUUCGCCGUUCAGGUAGCCUAGGGCAGCCGCCGGCCGACCAGUGAAUCCGGUGACUAGCCUUUGGAGAACAAGUCCAUGCGAGAAAGAGAUGAAGAGAGGGAAAGAGGACCGAAUUAACCAUGCAGUACCUGCUAGAGUUUCAUAAUAUCAGUGAUGUAAAAAAAAAUCCUUUUUAAGUGACUUUAAGAUUCAUAAAAGGCAUGUACCAAAGCAAAUCUGUAUAUAUGUACAGCUAGAGCCUCCAACCAACAAGAUCGACAAACCGUCAUAUGCACAGAGUCCCACCUCCUAAGGACUCCUCGACAAUGGCGAUUUCACUUGCGCUCAACCUCUUCACCCGCCGCCUCACCCUCGCCGCCUUCCCCUGGCCCUUCUCUGCCACAGUCGUGCAGCUCUCCUCCAAUGGGAUCAGCAUCGCUCUACUCCACGCCGGCCUCACGCUGCUGGCCGCCGCGCUCCUCCUAUACUACUACUACUACAUCACAUCGACCAGGGCUCGCACAGUGUACCUCGUGGACUACGCGUGCUUCCUCCCGCCCGCGUCCCUCCGCGUGCCGCUCGCCAAGUACGCCGAGCACGCCGGGCUCGCGCCGUGCUUCGACGACAGGAGCGUGGGGUUCCAGUCCCGCCUCAUCGAGCGCUCGGGCCUCGGCGAAGAGACGUGCCUCCCGCAGGCCAGCCACGGCAUCCCUCCCGAGAAGACGCUCGACGCCGCGCGCGCCGAGGCCGAGCAAGGGAUAUUCUCCGCCGUGGACGCCGUCCUCGCCAAGACCGUCGUCCGCGCCGAGGACAUCGCGCUCGUGGUGGUGAACUGCACGCUGUUCGCUCCCGCGCCGUGCAUGGCCGACAUGGUGGUGCGCAGGUACGCGCUCCGGAGCGACGUCCGGUGCUUCAACCUCUCUGGCAUGGGGUGCAGCGCUGGGAUCGCUGCUGUCGGGCUCGCGCAGAACGUCCUGAUGCACUGCAGUGGGUCAGGAGGCGGCAGUGGCAGGUACGCGCUGGUGGUGUCCACGGAGAUCCUCACGUACGACUACUACUCUGGAAACGAGCGCGCGAUGCUGCUGCAGAACUGCCUCUUCCGUAUGGGCGCGUCCGCGGUGCUGCUGUCCAACUCAAGGAGAUCAUCCCCAGCACGGUACCGGCUGGAGCGGGUGGUGCGCACGCACGAGGGACACGACGACGGCGCCUACGGGUGCGUGCAGCAGGAGGACGACGCGGCGGGGGAGCGCGGCAUCAAGCUGUCCAAGGAGGUCAUGCCCGUGGCCGGCCGCGCGCUGAGAGCGCACAUGACCACGCUCGGGCCCCUGGUGCUCCCGGCGUCGGAGCUCCUCGCGUACGUGCUCUCGCUCGCAAGGCGCAGGCUGUUGCUAUUGAUCUUCGCGGGACAGCUGAAAGAUCGCAAGCCAGCGCCGCCGGGUCGUGUCGACGUCCCGGACUUCCGCAGGGCGUUCGAGCAUUUCUGCAUCCACGCAGGCGGCCGCGCGGUGAUCGACGAGCUGCAGCGCGGGCUCGGGCUGUCGGACAGGCAAGUGGAGCCGUCGCGGAUGGCGCUGCACCGGUUUGGCAACACGUCCAGCAGCUCCGUGUGGUACGAGCUGGCCUACCUUGAGGCCAAGCGCCGCGUGCGCAGGGGCGACCGGGUGUGGACGGUCGGGUUCGGGUCGGGGUUCAAGUGCAACAGCGCGGUGUGGGUGUGCCUCCGCCCGCCGGCUCCGCUGGACAGCGGGCCGUGGGACGCGUGCAUCCAUCGUUACCCGGUGGCCACGGUCCAAUAAGCCAGAUCAGCUGUCGACUGUGGUGCUGUUGUGGUAUUGUUUCUCUUCUUUUAUGUGGUUCCCUGUUCCGUAAAAGACGAGUAGUAGAUGGCUGGUUAUUUUCGUUUCAUUUUCUAUAUGCAUGCUAUGAUUUAUGCUGGAAUUUAGAUGAGUAAUUUAAAUUGAAUAAACUAGCCGGUUUGUGACUUGCGUGCAGGGUAAUUGGCACUUUUUUUUGUGGGUAAGGGUUAUUGGCACUGCGGUUAAAAAAAAAGGUUACUGGCACUGAAACCGGUGUCAUUACCAAUUGGUUUUAGCGCCAAGCGGUCGCUCUUAAAAUUAUGGCGUCUCAUCCUCUCUGUAAACAAACAUUCUUGACCCAGUAAAUCAUCAUCCUCUCUGUAAACAAACAUUUUUAGCCCGGCAAAUCAUUGUGACAUUGUCUUUUUAUACAGGUUGUAUCCAUUUAGAAACAUUUGCCGCGCAACCUUUUGUUACAAUAAAAAGAAUCGUUGUAUCCAUUUUGUAAUAAUAGGUGCCUGCCGUCACAAAUUGCAGCCACUUGGUGAGCUUCAAGGCACUUUGCCUUUUACUGUUAUGCGAUCAAGUUAUGUGUCCUAAUUCCAUCGAAUUCAUCCACUCUCAGCAAAUUUCGCAGUUUGACUAGCCUGGUGCUAUCAUGUAACGGACGUCGGGGGUUCCACUGCUACAAAACACAACAUAAGUGACGGGUCAUCAGUGGCGGACUUUACUCGCCUGCCACUGAUGACCAUCAUCAGUACCAGACAUAUCAUGCCCGUCACUGCUGAACCCUCAUCAGUGACGGGCACAAAAAAUCCGUCACUGAUGACUCCUCAUCAGUGGCGGGCGGGUAACCCGCCACUGAUGAACCAUGAUCAGUGACGGGCACGGAAAACCCGCCACUAAUGGACACAUGUGAAAAAUUGCAAAAUUUACAAAAACACACAUCAGUGGCGGGCUUUGCAUCUAGGCCCGCCACUGAUGAACCAGGAGACCUUCGGAGAUUGAAAAAAUCAUAACUAAUUCAUAAAAAAUCAGUAAAUUGUGAUUCUUUUAUCUGACGUCUUAUUUUUUCUUGCUGACAUAACGGAACAAUAAUAUCAUAUGGUAACAUUUGAAAAAUGACCUAUGUAAUACAAUAUUGUUAUUUCUCAUAAUUGAACUUUAGGUUCUUAUGCCAAAUAACCAAAGUUUUGUGCAUUUCUACGUCAUAGUUCAUGAUAAUGUAUCCACUUUUUGCAGAAAUAUGCUUCUUGUCAUGACAAACAAUAUUGCCAAAAAGAUUUACAAUUUUUUGGUUAUAAUAUAUUUUUUCUAUUUUUUAAAUGCACAAGUGGGGCACUAGUGGCGGACGUAACCAUGUCACCCGUUACUGAUGGUUUGCUAGUCGCUGGAAUCUGAAAAGGUCAUUGAUUUGUGUGCUCUCACCCUAUCGGUGGAAACGCAAUAGGACGGAUCGAUGACCUGUGCAACGGAAGCACCAUCCCAAUCCCAAAUUCGCAAUCUUCUCUCUCUUUCCUUAUCCUCCAGGACCACACCCUCCUGACCUCCUCUUUUCUCUCCUUAUCUCCUUUCAUCCCAAUCCUGGCCACGAUCUCUCCUUCUCCUCCUUUCCUAUCUCUCCCACGAUCUCCACCUCCUCUCACUCACGAUCCGCAUGGACUCGCACGGAUCAAACAACCAAGGAGCCGCUGCACCUCCCUCCUCCAACGCCGGACCGCGCCGCCAAGGAGCUGCCGCCGUGCCGCCAUGGACUGGUACUCUCUCCCUCCCUCUCACUCCGUCGCUUACUUUCUCUAUCUCUCUCUGAGUCACUCACUCUCCCUCGCAGCCGGCGCCGCCAUGGAGUCCACACGCCAUGCACCCGCCGGGCGAGAUGGUGCCGCCAUGGAGCGCGUAGAGCUCGUCCUCGAGGAAGGCCAUGGCGCGGUGGAACACUCCGGUGAUGCGGUGAACGCCGAUGGUGUAGCCCUCUUCGGCCCCGCCUCUCUCACUCUGUCUUGGUUCUCGGGCUCCGUCCAUGGAGGCGACAUCAGAGGCGAAUCGAUGAAUGGGAGGGCCGGGCCGGGAGGGCCAGUUCUAUUUUUUUUUCAAAAAACUAUAUCACUGUCGGUCGUCUUUGGUGCCCGCCAAUGAUGGGUCUCCAAUCAAGGUAACACUAUCGUGAUCAUCUCACAGCCAUUUCGAGGGUCACCUGUUGCUCAUACAUUUUGUUACUAUUGAAUCUGAAACUAACCAAAAAGGUGGUUUUCCCGUUGUUAGGACACGUAGGUGAUGAGGGGGCGGAUCAAACAGAGACAGGGGCUUGUUAUUUUUUUUAAUCAGUAAAAUAUCUCUUUGUUCAUUAGCAAUCAAAGUUACAUCUUUAAGGAGGAUCCAGAUGUACAAUAUUAUCAAGGGGUUUUCUAACCAAACAAGAGAACGGGUGUAGUGUACUACUAACUCUGUUUCUAAAUAUAAGAUGUUCUAAUUUUGUCCUAAGUCUAAAAAAUUAAAAUUUGAUCAAAUCUAUAGAAAAUCUACCAACACUUAUAAUUAUAAAUUAGUUUUAUUAAAUCCACCGUGAUAUAUAUCUUCAUACAUACUUAUUUGAUAUUGCAAACAUCAAUACAUUUUCUUAUAAUAAACUUAUUCAAACCUGAAGAAGGUUGACUUAUGAAAAAAUUAAAACAUCUUAUAUUUACAAACGGAAGUAGAGUACAAUAGAUGAAGGAGAAGACUAUAAAAACGUGUAUAUAUAGAUGUUGAAAUUAAUCACGCGGAAAAUGCACAAGGUAUAUAUAUCACAUCUCCUUAAUACAUUUCGCACAGUCUUCGUACUGGUUUUUAGGAGGAUUGUAUCAUACUAGCGUACGUGCCUAGCUGACCGCCGGGAUGUUCACAGGAUACUGAUGGAUGGAAUCAGCCCACGGCGCUCCAAUAGUGGUGUUGUUGCCGGCGGACCUGAUGCACUCCCACACGGCGCUGUUGCACUUGAACCCAGACCCAAACCCGACCAUCCACACCCGGUCACCCUUCCGAGUCCGCUUCUUAGCCUCGAUGUAUGCAAGCUCGUACCACAAUGAGCUGCUCGACGUGUUACCGAACCGGUGGAGCGUCAUCCGCGACGGCUCAACGUUCUCGUCAGAUAAGCGUAGGCUACUCUGCACCGCGUCGAUCACCGCGCGGCCACCGGCAUGGACGCAGAAGUGUUGGCACGCCGUGCGGAAAUCAGGCACGUAUAGCUUGAUCUUCCUGGUCAGCACCUUCCGUGCAAUCAUCGAGAGCGCGAACAGCAGCUUCUCCGAUGGCGGGAGCACGAGGGACCCGAUUUCCACGAUGUUGGCCUUGAGCGUUUCUCCAGCAACGGCCACGAGGUCCUUGGACAAGUUCACUCCGGUUUGCCCAUCCUCGUCCUCCUCCUGGAACGCGCACCGGUAAGCUCUGUCCUCGGCCGCGGUGAGCGUUCGCACGACGUGGGUAAGACGGAAGCGGGACUUGGCCCUGGAGGUCGACAGCAGCACCGCGGCCGCGCCCAUCCGGAACAGGACGGCCGGCAGCAGCAUCGCGCGGUUCUUCCCCGUGUAGUUGAUGAGCGAGGUGGUCUCCGUGGACACCACCAGUGCAUUCGCGCCCCGGGGAGCCGCCUGCAAGAGGUUCCUCGCGACUUCCACGGAGAUCACCCCCGCGCUGCACCCCAUCCCGGAGAUGUGCACGCUGCGGACGUCGUCCCGCAGCUUGUACCUGUUCACGAUGAUGUCGGCCAUGCUGGGCGUCGGGUUGAAGGCGCUGCAGUUGGUGACGAGGAUGUAGAUCGUUCCGGCACUGACGCACGUCUUGGCGAAGAGAUCGUCGACGGCCGCGAAGAUGACCUGCUCCGCCUCGUCGCGGCUCUCGCUCAAGCUGCAGCGCGGCGGGAUGUGAUGCAAGGAAGGGUGGAGGUAGGUCUGGUCGCCGAGGCCCGAACGCUGGAGCAUGCGCGUCAAGAAGCGGAAGUUGCCGCCUUCGAGGUACGGCAUGAGGCGGGCGUUCUCGGUGAAGGAGCCCAUGGACACGCGGCAGUUUGGCUUAGGCCGGCAGCAAGCGUAGUCCACGAGGUACACGCUGCGAGGGCGGCGGACGACGUAGAGAGUGACCGUGGCGAGCGGGAGGAAGAAGGCCAGGAAGAGGUGGACCUGCUGCAGUCCAUGUAACCGGGUGAGGAGCUCGUCCGGGCCGAGUUGGGCCGCUUUUCGGAGAAUGACGAUGGCCGUGGCCGGUACAGCGACGGCGGCGAGGAAGUUGUUUACGACGAGUUCGUAGAGGGUUUUGAGGUGCUUGUUGGGACGGGGUGGCGAGCUGACCAUGUUGCCGAUCGAAGCGCGCGAUUAGUUAGUGGAGAUGUCGUUUUUUUCGGUCUGUUGAGGUGCCUGAACAUGGGAGGAUUUUAAAGCGCCUGGCGAUGCAUGCGGCUUCUUUAAUUACGUCGUUCUUUUUGCGUUUCCAACCGACACUGCCAUUACAACGUCAUGGAGAAAAUAUUCUGAUUCGAAGAUCUGUAAUGGCAUCUAUUAAAUUUUGUGGUCCACUCACAAAUAAAUGAAGCACAUCUACCAUCCUUUCUCUAUAUUCCAUCUACUCAGCUAGCUGUUGGCGUUUUUGGCUGCAGUGUUAUCCUCAUCUCCUGGACAAAAUUUUGAUCUCCUUAACAUCAAAUGAUCGGAUUCACUAUGAAAAGAUAACAGAACAUGGCAGUUCACCCACACAGAGUUUUCACAGGUACUUGUCACCCUCGGCUAACAAGAACACACCCAAGAUCUACUACUAGAGGUUCGCAAAAGCGGGGAAAAACUUUCUUGCAAAUUACAAACAACAGUACAUCGUCGCCCAGAUCACUGAUACGCAUAGUCAAACUAGUGAAAGUAUGUGAAACCAUCAACACAGACAUCUGCCACCACCAAACCCUUCCAGCUUUAGAUUUCCUGCUCGUCAUAAGGCUUGCCUUCGAUGCAUCUCACAUGCACAGCAGAAUGAUGUGCAGGAUGAUGCUUCAUGGUCUCCUCUUGCAGAAUUCGAGCUCCUUACAGCAGCACAUCUCCAUCAGAUCCAGCUGUAACCCUGCCCAAUAUUUCAGGCCUGAACAUGCAUAACAUAUCAGCUCAGCCAGUGAACAUUUAAGAUGACAUGGAAGCAUGUGGUUUCAGCUUGCAAACAUCAACUACAGUAAGUGGGAUGAACUUUACAGAUAUUAUAGUAUAGAUGUCCCCUGUGCCCACAAGUAUUUUCUAUAUCCUCUGAUCCUAAAUUCCUGUCGUUGUUUUAGUUCAUUUGAACAAAGACAACAACAAUAAUUUAGGAUGUAUGUAUUUCCUUUUGUUGCUACCUCCCUGCCACAUGAACCUCGUCCUAAUUUUAUCUAAUGUUAACAAAUUUGAUUUUGGAAGCAUAUGCAUAUAUAGACAGAUGAUACACAGGUGUGGAUGCCAAACAAGCAUUUAACAAUGUCACUUUCCCCCCAAAGGAUAAGCCCCCCCCCCCCUCCACCCCCAACAUGAAUACCUAGAUAUUUUAUAGGCCAAGUGCCCACCUGACAGUUGAACAUAUCAUCAUACUCUCUCAGCUUCUUACCGUCGUGCAGAAUCAGCAUGACCUCAGUUUUUUGGAAAUUUAUUUUCACCCAGACAUCAUCUCAAAAUAAUAUAGCACUAAUUUCGGAUUCCUAGCAUCCUCCAAGUUAUCCUGUACAAACAAAAUAGUAUCAUCUGCAUAUUGUAGAAUAGCCACUCUAUAUCUGCAUCCUAGAAACAAUGGAUUAGCAAUUUACAACUCUGAUGAUGUUAGAACGUUUUACACACUAUGAACUGUUAGCUAGCUAGCUAGAUCACGUGUACUAGAUUAAUUCAUUUCCAACUACCAUAGCAUAUCAUAGUAGUUGGUUAGUUGUUGGUCGGUGGCAAUAUAUAUAGGUGAGAGUACAGAUAUUUCCAUUUCAUCUCUCUGCCAUGGCAGGACAAAAGUCGUUUUCAAGUACAUCGCUAAUGGAGUUAAUGUGCUGGGCAAACUACCUGCAUUAUUCUAUAUGCAACACCUCAGCUCUUCGUCUCAUCUGGGCCACUUGGACAUUCUGAUCGAAUUGCCUCCAUCCAGGAACAGAGCUACAAGUCAUGGUGGAUCUACCUCAUCAUGCAAGGAAAUAAAGAAUUAAUUGUAGCCGCUACCUAGCGCGCAGAAACUAAAAACUCAGGGACUCGUUAUUACCACCGUGUGUGUACAUAGGUUCCCGUCGUAAACGAUUCAUGUAGCAAUGCCAUUGUUAAAAUAUAUGGGCUAGCCUAUGUAAUUCCUGAAAGUUCUGAGAGAAUUAGGUCCAGUGAUAAGAGUGUAAAAUUUAGUCACACCUCGCUGACAGAGGAUGUGUUAGAACAUGGGUCAGUGAUGGUAGAGUCACCACUGACAGGGUAAUUCUUUUUUCUCUAACAAAAUAUUCAGAGCACUCGUGCAUAUACAGAAAAUACACCCAUGUACUUGUGCUUGUCCGGGUGAAGCUCCAAUCAUCGCCUCAAUUAAAUCUCUAUAAACCUGAUCAAGUCAAUAUAAAUCUCCUUCCCUGUUUCAUUUUGAGAGUAGCUCAUGCUUGGGCGCCUCAUCAUCAGCUUUCUGCAAGUGCAGACAUGGAUAAAAGCAUUAGAAAGUAAACAUUGCGCUCACUUCAAAUCUUAGCACACGAAAAGUGGGAUUCACGUUUGCAUGAUCCAGUAAGUAUAUCACAACUAAAUGAGCACUUGUUUAUGUAUAUCUCAACCAGUACUAGCACAAGAGCAAAUAAAAAAAAUCACAUUGCUGACAGAGUCGAUGGCAUCUAGUAGGCCACUCUCAAGUCAACAAGGCACAAAUUUGCUUUGAAUUCAAGCAUUAUUUCUCAGUUUUUUCCUACGUCCUUCUAAUUCAUAGCGUAUAAAGAUUAGUGUCUUCAUCAUUUUCCCUUUGUUUCUCUUACCACAAAUUCAAUCUGAGCUUGGAGUUUUAUUUGGAUGUUCCAUGAACCAAACUAACCUGCAUAAUUGCACCUAGCUAUUUGAAGCAUUAAAGAUGCAACUUAUCGCACCAGUGUGUUUCUAAGAUUAAAAGGAAACUUUUUAUGUAUUGGCGUCAGGCUCAGAUUGCGCACUGAACAUGCAUAACUAUGACAAUGUCGAUGUCAUUGAUGGUGUCGGAACAAUGCUAUUUGGAUUGAAGAUCCGUCUUCUGUUCUGGACUAGUAGAGAUGAAUCUCAGCAAGUGACGAGGAUAGAUUGCACCGGAACAAGAUCGGAAAUGGUCAUGGCAUGGUCAUGUUAGCGAGUAUCGACAUGGUUUGGCAAACCCGUGGUCCGUGGCCAGCACAAAUAAUUGAACAACGGACGAUGUCUAUGACUUAUAUGAGAUCAAAAUAGACUAUGUGCAAAAGAAAUUUGGCAGCGGCUUACCGAGCACAAUGCGAUCUUUCGAUGAACUUUCGGACGGAGUUGAAUUAGACCUCAAAAUUGGAGAGUUGUGGUCGACAGAUUGAGAAAUUGGUUGGCUGAACAGAACCCUGAUUCCCUGAAGGUGAACUUGUACUCCUGGUGUGAUAAAUUUGUCCGAGGCGGCUCGGUUCACCGGAGGAUGGUCAGGCGCCAGCAUUCGGCGCUAGGGUUCAUGAGGUCUGGCCUCUGGCGGCGUAUGCGAGAAAGGGGAGGCAGAGAGGAAACCACGAGGGAUCUAUAGGCGGGGAAGAGGUAGGGUUUGGGUGGCCUUGCACAGCAGGUAACAAAAUCGGGGGUGGCGCAGGCGUUGCACGCACGACAAGGAGGAGCAGAAGCGGCGGCGGUCCUGUUCUCUGUCGGGCCACAGAGGAAGACGAAGGUUGGGCUCGGUCGGGCUGAGCGACCGCGGACAGGGAAAUGAAGCCCAUGGAGAAAAUAAAAGAGGGGGGUGAAGGGAGGGCGAGGGCAACUCCAGCGGGCGAACCAAAGAGACCGUUUUUUUGCGUCCGGGGUGCAAAUUGAGAAUAAAAUAAAUAAAUUUAGAGAAGAACACAACAUGAAACAUAAAAAUUUGCUUCAUUUCAAUAGAUACAAAAAAUGGCCCUAAAGCGGCCUUCGUCCUCCCACACCAGGAGGGAACGAUGGUUAUGUGAACCAUUUAGGAAAACUAAAUUUCUAAAAUGGUUCAUAACCCAUCCUAAUGUACUAGCUUUUCAUUUCCGGAAGUUACAGACCGUCCUCGUCGGCGCCGGGCAACCGGAGUAGCUGCGCCACGUCCUUGUCAGCUUGCCAAGCCUGCCAUUUUAUUUUAAACGCAUGGUCCAUCGCCAUCCCCCGGACGAACUCCGCGUCGUCCAAGGCCUUACUGCAGGCGUUGUCCUUGGCACCGUGCUUCGAUGAGGCCUUCAUCGCGAGGAAGACGAGGCGCUCCUCCUCAUCCUCGGAAGGCUCGAGAGCCCGGAACGCAACAUAGGGGGCUUGCUCCUCUAUCGCCUCCACCUCCGACGCCGCCACUCCUUCCUCCUCCAUCGCCUCCGCCUCCGGCGCCGCUACUUCUUCCUCCCAUCGGACCUUGGGCUUCCGGACGCCGCGCCUCUUGCGACGCCCUCUGGAUCGUCGGUUGGCGGCGGCGUUCGUACUGAACACCGACGAAGGAGACGGCGGUGGAUCCAUGUCGCCGGCGGGAAGCUAGGGUUUCGAUGGGGCGAGUGGGGAUGGGGCGAGUGGGGUAUGUGGAGGGGUGGGGGAAUGGGGUCAGACUCGGUCCCAUUAAAAAGGACCCGGGGGUGGGUUGUUAGGCCACUGGCAGGUGGCCUCGGGAAUGCGAAAGGGUUUGACCCGCGCGGACCAACUGGACCGUGUGGCACUUCGUUGUGCGUCCGUGGAGACGCAGCCCACAUCAGAUUUGGGGCCGGAAUGGGUCGACGCGAAGCAAAAUCCGGACCGCCGCGCAAAGGGGUCGCCCUGCUGGACGACGCAUUUUGUUCGUUUCAGUCCAACCGGACCGCACAGGUCCAAAUGGGUCGCCCCGCUGGUCGGCUCAGAAAUAAUGCUUGAAUUCAAAGCAAAUUUGUGCCUUUUGAGGAGAGCAGGCCAGAGGCGGACUGGUCGGCUGCUGGCCAGAUGGGCCAAGGGAGAUACGGUUAGGCUGCUGGAAAAGGAGAGAAGGCGAGAGGUGGACUGGUCGGCUGCUGGAAAGAGGAGGAAAUACUAAAAUAAUUCUAGCCAUGAUCAAAGAGGUGGAAAAACUGAAAGAAUAGAAGAAAAGAAAAAGAUGGGGUUAGAACCUAGCGUGGCAAGGAAUUAGUGCAUCAGGUCUGUCCCAUGUAUAGUCUCUUAGCACAAUAUCUAUCUUAGGUGGUGAUAGUUCAUGAGAAACAAACUCCACAAUGCAUGGUACUAUCUUAGUUUUUGUCUCUAAAGAAUUUUACAUUAAUUAAUUUAGGAUGUAUGGUUACAUGUGAUUGGGAGAAUUAAUGUUGCAGAUGUCUACCUGCAAGUGUGGUAUCUCUAUUAAGAGACAACAUCACUAUCUUUCUUCAUUAACUACUAUGCCAUGUCAGUAAAAUCCUUAUGAUAUUCUACCAAGAUAGCCUCAUUGGGAGACGCCUAAGGCAAAUGGUCCAUCAAAGACCCCUCCCCCCUCCUCGACCACUUAGUCCACCACACCAUUAGACAUGGAAAAAUUCCGUUUUUGCCCUUAUUUUCUCUCUCCCACCAAGGGUAGCCUACCAGAUGCCAUCAACUCUAUCCUAUACGAACCACCCAUGGGGCGUGUAACCUAUAUUCACUCUCACCUGGACACUACUACAAAACGGUCUAAAUCUCACGGCACAUCAGUAACGGGUUCGGCACGACCGUUACUGGUGAAUAACAUUAGUGUCGGUCGCGGCCGCGACCGUUACUGAUGAACAGAGCGGAGUCCGCCCAUCCCCGCCCAGCCAUACAUCAGUGACGGUCACGCGAAGCGACCGCCACUGAUGUACCAUCAUUUCUCGCGAGAGACAUCAGUGGCGGUCGCUUAACAGACGACCGUUACUGAUGAGUGAUACAUUAGUAACGGUUGCCCUAACGCGCCCGCCACUGAUGCACAGAGCAUAUCAGUAACGGUUACUGAUGUUCUGUACAGCACUAACGGACGUAUAUUCAGUGCCCGUCACUGAUGUCGCCCCUGUUAUCAGUAACGGUCGCAGGAGUCCCGAUCGACACUGAUGACUCGCAGUAUAAAUAAGCUGGACAGAGCCGCAGCUGGUCGUGCUGUGCGUCGUCACUGACCAGCUCGGCCGCCUUCGCGUCCGGCGCCGGCGAAGCCCUGGCAAAAAUCGAUGGCGGCGGAGCCCAGCAGUAGGUCCCCCCUCUCUCCCGGUCCCAUCUCUUCUCUCCCCCGUGGCCGGCGCCAAUCUCGAGCUUCCGCCCUGGCCGGCCGGCGGCGACCAUUUUUCUGGCUAGCUCGGCCGCCAGCCCCCCCCCAUCAAUCCCGCAUCGCGAGCUCUCUCCCUCCCUCUACUCUGUAUCCCCACCCCGAUCUCUCUCUCUCCGGCCUCUAGCUAACUAGAUUCGGCCGCCUAACCCCUGAUGAAGCUCCAUUUUUUGAGCUCCGGCCGCCGGCCAAAGUGCGGCCUCCUCCUCGUCGCCCCGAGCUUCCCUCUCCCUUGCGAGCUCUCUCUCACUCCUCUUUCUCUCCGGCCUCCAAUUUCUCUCCGAAUGUGCCCAAUUUCGAACUCCCUAAUUUCAAAUUUCAAAUCUUUAGUAAACCCCUUAAUCCCCUUGUUAAUUAUUAUGCUAACUAUUUUGCUUUGUGUUUUCUUGCGUAUUGUGUUGUAGAUCGAAGGACCGUUCUUGGAUGUACGCCACGGAAAGAAUCAAUGCUCGAUGGAUAACCGAAUGGACGGUCUUUUUUGGAGUUGCGAAAGGUGAUAUGGAACGAAAAGGACUUGUGAUGAUGUGUUGUCCAUGUUGCAAAUGUGGAAACACAUGCAUGAUGAAGCCUGAAGAUGUUUAGAUGCACGUGCUGGCAUCAGGUUUUGUGGAAGGUUAUUCACGCUGGACUUGUCACGGGGAGGAUGCGGUUGAUGUCGGUAGCGGUAGCAAAGAUGAUCAUGUCCUGCGGUAUGAUCUGGCGAAUGAUUCGGAGGAAGAAACAAGGGUCGAUGAGGAGGCUAAUGUGGAAGGUGAAGGAGCUCCAUGUGGCAGGAUUGCUGAAAUGCUAGUUGACCCGUACCUACGGGACCAGCUGGAGGACCCCGAAGAUGAGGCAGAGUGUGCUCAGUUCAAAAAAUUGUUGGAAAACGCAAACACGCCCUUGUAUGAUGGAGUUGGCGAAGAAAACAACGUGCUCGAAGUAACGCUCGAACUUUUGAGGCUGAAGGCAGCAUCAUGCUGGUCAGACAAGGGCUUCACAGACUUGUUGAGUUACCUUGCUUCGGUUUUUCCACAGCCAAACAAGUUGCCCAAGAGCACAUACGACGCGAAGAAGAUUACAUGCCCGCUUGGAUUAGAUUGCGUGAAACAUUAUUCAUGUCCAAAUGACUGCAUGGUAUACAUUGGAGAAUACGAGAACCAUGAGAGCUGCCACAUAUGCGGUGCAUCGAGAUACAAGAAGAAAAACGCCAGAGGUGGCGAGGACGAUGGGGAAGAAGUGAUGAAGGGCAGGCUGGCAAAGACUGUCUGGUAUCUUACGGCAGGUGGCCGAGUUGAGCGUUGGAUGCAGGACAUUAAGGACGCGAGGUAUCUCGUCCAUCGCGAUCCGGCGUAGGCAGCAUUCUAUCCUGACGGGCACUACCGUGUGGAUGAACUUGGGGUCCUAAGACACCCUGCCGAUGGGACUUAGUGGAGGAACUUUGACACGGCAUUUCCAAAUUUCGGGGGAGAGCUAAGAAACCUGAGGAUCGGUCUCAGCACUGACGGGAUAAAUCUUUUUGGAAACUAGAACAAGAAGCACAUCACAUGGCCAGUGAUCUUGUUUGUAUACAACCUUCCUCCAUGGUUAAUCAUGAAGAGAAAGUACAUCCACAUGUGCAUGCUCAUACAGGGUCCAAAGCAGCUGGGAGCUGACCUAAAUGUGUAUCUGCAGCUAGUGAAGGAUGAGCUGAAGCAGCUUUGGAACCCUGGCAGAGUGGUUUUGGACGCAAACAGGAGGGAGUACUUCAUGAUGAGAGCAGCGCUUCUGACCUGCGUGCAUGAUUACCCCGCGAAUGGAAAUACUUCAUGCCAAGUGACACAUGGCUACAAGCCCUGUACAAAGUGCGGGGAAAACACGACAUCAGAGAAGUUGCCCGUUUCAUCCAAAAUUGUUUACAUGGGCCACCGAAAGUGGUUGGAUGCUAAAGACCCUUGGAGGGAUGACAAGGAAAUGUUCAAUGGGAAGACGGAUCACGGGACAACUCCGAAGGAGAAGUCUGGUAUGCAAAUCAUCAAAAUUGUGAAUGAUCUUGAAGUUGUCCCCGGCAAGAUUGUUGCGAAGAAAUAUAAGGAACCUGAAGGCGUCGUGUGGAAAAGGAGGUCCGUAUUCUGGGACCUGAAGUACUAGGCCCAUUUAGAAUGCCGCCACAGUAUAGAUGUCAUGCACGUAGAGAAAAAUGUAUGCGGCAACGUGCUGGGGUUGCUGAUGAACAUUCCAGAGAAAACGAAAGAUGGACCCAAUGCACGGAAGGACCUAGAACUCAUGUCUAUCAGAAAAGAGUUGUGGGGCAAAGAUCAAGUGUCGGCAGCCGACAAGAAUGGUUUCGUGACGAUGGCCACGCGGUGUUGUCUUGCAUGUUACAACCUGUACAAAGACGAGUUUCAUAGGAUGUGCCAGUGCCUGCAGGGCAUUAAAAUUCCAUCGAACUAGUCGUCGAGCAUCAAGCAUCUAGUUGACAUGAAGAGUCACAUGCUAUCUGACAUGAAGUCUCACGACAACCAUGUCAUACUCACUCAGUUACUUCCAGUCGCAAUCAGAGGUAUCAUGGAGCCGCACGUAAGGGAGACAAUCAUGAAACUUUCUGACUUCUUUGACAGCAUCUCGCAGAAGUCAAUCAUCGUUAGACAAUACCAGAUACUGAAGGAUAAUAUGAUACAGAUUCUGUGCGUGCUCGAGAUGUUCUUCCCUCCAUCAUUCUUCGAUAUCAUGGUCCAUCUAAUGAUCCACAUAUGCGAUGAGAUCUUAUCACUAGGGCCCUCAUUGCUGCAUAACAUGUAUGGCCCUGAACGAUACAACGGGGUUCUGAAGCGCUACGUUCGUAACAGAUUGCAUCCGGAAGGUAGCAUCGUGGAAGGCUUUAGGGCAGAAGAGUGCAUCGAGUUCUGCACGGACUGGUUGGCCGAUCAGAAAUCAAUAGGUGUUCCCGAUUCACGGCACAGGGGCAAGCUCGAUGUCGAAGGUGGCCUUGGACAUACAUUCCUUAAUGUCUAUGGAAGAGGAAGGGAAGCUGACUUUGAAAGAGCACAUUUGGUUGUGUUGCAAACUGUCGAUUGCUGCCGGCCUUAUCGGGAAAUGCACAUGGAACAACUGGGAAAUGAAAACCCUAAAAGAGGACAAGUCUGGAUCCACUGGGAGCACAAUAAAACAUUCGCAGCGUGGCUGAAAAAUUAUUGGUACGGCAGGGAGACGACCAAUGAAUAUGAAGAGAUGGUUGCAUGUUUGUCACGGGAACCUGCUUACCACGUCUCUACUUGGCAAUGAUAUGCGAUCAACGGCUGUAACUUCUACACUGCGUCUCAGGACCGAAAAAGCACGUAUCAAAAUAGUGGUGUAGUCAUGACUUUUCAGACCGCGACCGACGACAACAGCAAAACCAAAGCGUUCUUCGGCGUUAUCGAGGAGAUCUGGGAGUUGGAGUAGUCGAUCACAAAGAUCCCAAUGUUCCGUGUAAGAUGGACCAAAGGUGACAAAGAAGAAAGUCACAAGUUCACGACGAUGGUGCUAUCUCCUGAGAUCCCUCGUGAACAAGUUGACGUGAGAAAAAUCCCGACAAGAGAGGAACCAUGGGUCGUUGCUAAACAAUGCAAGCAGGUAUUCUACAUAGACGACCCGGCAAAUAAAGGCCGUGUCGUAGUAAGAAGAGGGAAAAGAAGCAUUAUUGGAGUGGACGGAGUUACUUCACAAGAAGACUACGAAGGUUUCAAUGAUCCGACGACCGCCGCAGAUGAAGAAGAAUCGGAAUGCACAAUAUCAACGAGGAAAAGGAGAGGGAAAAGAAGAAGUGAUGGGAGCGAGAGUGAGAAAAUACCACAAAAACCUUACCUCAGAAGCACUACUGCGAGGAGUCAAGUUAUGAAUUACCGAAGGAAGGAGAAGGCCUAGUAGUCACAUUGUAAUGUACUUAUACUGAAUUUGAAUGCAAACUUUGUACUAAGUGAAAUUAUGUGUGAUCGAUGUACUUUUGUGUAUGCAUGUGAUGAAUUUUUUGAAUAUAAUUUAGAACAAAUACUAGACAAAUGCAUGAAUUUAUUCAUCAAACUUUAACUUUUUUGUUUCAUCUAUUUGAAUGUGACAAGUCCAUGUCGUAAAACACUCAAAAGUAUGGGUUUUAAAAUUUUUAAACGUUCCUGUAAUUUAAACUGGUAAAAAACUCAACAAGUAUUGGAACACAUCAGUAACGGUCCCCUGGUUACACGCCCAUUACUGAUGAGUAUAGGCAGAGAUCAGUAACGGUUGGGUAACAAGGCAACCGUUAUUGAUGUGUUGUUGGGCAUUGCUCAUAGGAGCACAUCAGUGGCGGUCGCGUUGUAUCCCGACCGUUACUGAUGAUUGAAGGAACAUCAGUAACGGUUGCCCUGUUAAGCGCCCGUUACUGAUGUGUAUAGCGUAUAUAACCAUGACUUGAGAAAAUUACCGGUUCAUUCUCGCCCACGCGUCCUCAAACAGAGCGACCAGCAGGGGGCAUCGAAACCCUAGCGCGGGUGAAGCCCUGCCGGAUCUCCGCGCCGCUGUCGCCGCCGUCGACCCCCUACGCGCCGUCUUCCUCCGCGCCGUCCGAGCCCGACGCCGCCCAAGCUCGACGCCGUGGAGCCCGACCCCGUGCCUCUUCCUUCGCACCGUCUUCGUACAUGCCGUCUUCCUCCGUGCUGUCCGAGCCCGACACCGCCCGACCCCGCGCCGUCUUCCUCCGCGACGACCCGACCCUAGGUGCGCGCGCUCCCCUCUGCCUCCGCUGUUAGGGUUAGGGUUAGAGGGAGGUUUCUUGUUGUUAAUUUGCUGCUAUCAAAUUAGUUGAUUCCCCAUCAAAUUUUCGGCCGAUAUAUAUUUGAUGGUUUUGAUGGCAUAGGUACGAAAUGGGCAAGAGUAGCCAGAAAUCAGUUCUUGAGGACCUACCUCCCGAGGAAGUGUAUUGUGUCGAUGAAGAAUCUUCAUCGGGAGAGCAAAUUGCCAGCUCUGGCGGCGAUCCUAGCUCUGGCGAUCAUAGCUCUCGUUCAGAAGAGCAAGACAACGAGCGACGGGUGGAAGAGAGUAACCCGCAGCCAACUGCUUCUACGGCUAAGAAGCCAAGGAAGAAGACGCCGAGGGGGAGCCACAACUUGAAGGAGUUUUGUUACGUUGUCACCCGACACUCUGACAGAGGCCGCCCGGAGUCGCCUGAGAGGGCACAGAAGGCCUUCGCAACCACCUGUGGAGCCGUUGGACGUAAAUAUUGCAAGAUCAGCGAGGAGUGGAAUGACAUCUCCGAAGUCGUUAGAAACUCGUGCAUGGCGGACGUUGAAAGGAGGUUCUAAGUCAGUGACGAGUGGCGCGAGCGAUUCCGAGCGUACAUCAACAUAGCAGUGCGGAAUGGCCUUACUACUUGGAAAACCACCGCCAGAAAGUGGAUGGACAAACCCUAUGAGAUCAUCAAGAAAAAAUGGCCGUCGAUAACUGAUGAGGCCGAAUGGGAAAAAUUCAAGAAGAAAUCGUCUGACCCUGCCUUCAUUGCGAAGAGUGAACGUAUGAGGGCGUUGCGCGCGAGGAAGCCGUUGAACCACAGGCUAGGUAGUGCAGGGAAAGUGUCGUCGCAUGGUGCUCCGGCACCGGGGGCGUGCGGUCACGGCCCCCUUUUAGGUUCGGUAGGGGCGUCAGGGUUCGCCCCGACGAUCGCCGGCUCGGCCGAUGAGGCCCUGUGGGGCUGGCGAAAUGAUGUACUAAAAGUGCGCGCUAAUCAAGGAACAGAUACACGCACGUUUUUACCCAAGUUCGGGCCACCCGGAGGUGUAAAACCCUACAUCCUGCUUGUCUGAGCUGAUAUUGGUUGUGAAUCAAGUGUUUACAGGUUGCCGGGUAAGUUCCCGUGUACUCUGUCCCUUUGGCUAGGUACUCCUUACUAUUCUCUGCUAAUGCUAGGGGCUAACUGUGGGCUGAUCGAACUCAACCAAACCCUACCGUCUACUGGAACCAACUGAGAUUCUAACCCUUUGACCGUUGGUGGGGGUCCUCCUCUUAUACUCAAGGGGAUGCCACAGGUGCCACGGUGCAUGGGGUACAAGUGUCGAGCGGUGAGGCAUACAACUCCCCCCUGGUGAGCUGGUGGCGCGCAUGGAUGCCACCUCCGCCGCUAGGAGUCUAAAACCCUAGAGUAGGAUUGGACAGCCACUGUUUGCAUGAUCUUGACGGGUAACGCCCCUCCUGCCGGCUCAUUUAAUGAGCCGUGCGCCUUACUCCUUGCCCCGGUGGGGCCGCGCACCCCACGCCUGCCACGCGCCCGCGUGGCGCUGUUGAUCUGCUCACUUGGCCCCACACUUGGGGCGGGGGCCUGCGCCCAGGAACCCCCUAUCCCGGCAAGUCGCUCCCCGGGAAGCGCCCGGGCCCAACGCACCCGGGAACCUCCCCCCGGGAAGCGGCUUCCCGAGAGGUGCCCAGGCGGGAAUAUUCUCCGAAGCCUCGCUAGCCGUUCCGGGCUGGUAGCUUGCCGGGCUGCUCGUAGCCGCUGCCCGGGAUGGAACUUCCCCGAGAACUCAGGGACGGGGCCCACGCGUCGCGCAGCGGUGGUACCCCAGGUGGCACUGGUGCGACAGUAGCCCCCGGGAGUGGGCCGGCAUCACCUGUUCCCGGAAGAGUCUUCCCUAGGUCGGUUGCUGGGCUACGCCCUCAACCGACGUGUGGGCCCCGAUUUGCUGCGGGCGCGCGUCCAUUCGCUGCCCCGUGUACGGCGCCGUUACAAACGGAGUAGUGGGCGCGUGAUUUCCGCCCCAAACUUCCCUCCUAAAUAGGGAGGUUAAGGCCACUCCGCGCAUUACUCCUAAUUAUUAGGAGUUAUCGCCGCGCACCCGUAGGGUAUGGAACCGGCCGUUACCAAACGGCCGGGCGUUAUAAGGCUCGUACUGUUGCCAAAAGGGGAAAAACACUCUGCCCUCAUAGCCUUCGUCUUCAUCCCCUUCCGCAUCUCGCAUCCCUGCGCUCCUGCUAGCUUUCGCCCUUGCUUUCCAUGGUGCCCCCCACCACCAGAAAGGGGAAGGAGGUCCAGGUCUCAAAGAAAGCCGCGGCCAGCAAGAGUGAGGCGGCAACCAAGGCGGCCACCACCAAGGACUAGAAGAGGCGGGAGAUGCAGGCCACGGUCGCCUUCUUCCGCCCCAGCUACAACGGCGAGGCGCUGGGGAAGCUCCGGCAUGCAGUCGCCUCCAACUUCAACGAGCACGGGGAGACGUUGAUCUUCCCGGCGGGCGUCGAGCACCAGGACAACGACUUCUGGGUGUUCGCGCGCUUCCUCCUCUGCGGCCUGGUGCCGCCCUUCUCAUUAUUCCUCCACGCACUGAUUGAGUCUUACCAGCUGCGGGUGGCGCAGCUCCAACCCACGUCGCUGUUCCUUCUCGCCACCUUCCACUUCCUCUGCGAGGCGUUCGUGGGGGUGAUGCCGUCGGUGGGGCUCUUUUGCCACUACUUCUACCCCCGCAUUGACAACGCGAAGGCGAUGUCGUCGAGGGUGGUAUUCUGCGCCCGCGACCAGAUGAAGUCCGAAUUCAUUGUCAGGUCGGGGAAGAAAAUCGAAAAGGAGUGGCGGAGCGAUUGGUGUUGGGUCCGAGAGGAGGACCCCCAGGAGUUCAUCCAGUCGCCGACGGAGUUGCCGCAACCCCAGAACGGCUGGCAAGACAGGUACCACCGCGACGCCGACCUCCUCUCCGUCGUGGAGAAGAUCAAGGCGCUACGGCUAGCGGGGCUCACUGACGUGGACGUGGCACGCACCUUCGUCCAUCGGCGCAUAGACCCGCUGCAGCUACGCUCCCAGCCCACGUGGAUGUACACGGGUCCCGGGGACAGGACACGCCUCCAGCAGGACGGCGUGGACUUGGAGACCCUCAGGACGUGGGUGAGGGGGAUCUCCGGCGAGACCUUCCAAUCAACGGAGUUCCCGCCGGGGGUUUCCUCUCUUCACGCUGGCGUCAAGGCGCACAACGACAUCGUCGGCGCCUUCCCGCCCUGCAACGAGUGGGGGUUGAUGGACGACACCCCCACUCGGGUCCCGCACGCUCCCCCGCAAGCACCCCGCGAGAAGCAGGUGCUCGAGGAGAGCGGGGGCGGAUCUGAGUCCAGCUGGCCCUCCCUCCAGUCUCUAGACGACGAGGCGGGCCAGGCGGCUGCGUCCCCGGAGGUCGUCGCCGUGGACGACGAUGACGAAAGCAGCGCUAGCACGCCCCUGACUGUGAGGAGAUCGAGGGCGUUCGCAGCAGCCGUAGCUGUCUCCUCGACGGCGACGUCCACCCCGGCAGCGGCCACCACCCUUGCGGUGGCGGCCGCUUCAGGGGCGCUCGUCGGUACCUCGACGGCAUCUGCGGCCACAGGGGUCGGUGCCUUAGCGGCGGCCGCCAGCACCGUGGCGCCAGCUGCUCCCGGGGCGCCCGCCGUUACUCCGGCAGCGCCCGCGUCCGCAGGGGUCGCCAAAGUCUCGGCAACGGCCUUCGCCCCAGUAGCGGGAGCCUCCCCAAGGUCGGCUCCCGGCACCGCGGCGGCAUCACCGUCGACACCCGGGACUCUCCGGGUCACGACGACCCCCCGAAGUCCAACUCGCCGGCGGGUGCCAGCAAGAGGGCGAGGAGCGAUUCCCCGCCCGACACGCCAAGCAAGAGGGCGCGCGCAGAGGCCAGCGGCGCCGCCGACCCCACCGCCGCAGGGGUCGGCACGACGCCAUCGUGCCCCGUGAAGGCCCAGCCCCCACGGAGGCAGGGACGACAACCAGUUUCUCUUCGUUACUUCUCCGCAGCUGUAGUUUUUGUUAGCCAAACUCAUGAACGUACCUCUUUUCGCAGUGAGCGGCAGCUCGCCCGCGGCAAGCCUCUUGGACGCUCCUGCCGACGCAGGCGAGGCAGGAGAGGCUCCCCCCGCAAGCCCAACAGCCGCGCAAGGUAACCAUCCUGGUCACCCUUGUCUGUUUUUGACAGCCCCAUUACCCGCCGAUCCUCAUGCUUCUCAUCGUCACAGGCACAAGUGCGCCCACACCUGGAACGGGCGCGACCGUGGUUGAUCUUGACCCGGUCGUCGAAGUCGCGGGGGUGGGGGUGGAGCCGGAACCGGCUCUCACGUCAACCCCCCCUGCGGCAGAGACAGCGGCAGCGGUGGACACUGCCCCCGCUGUGACGGCGCCCGGCGACGCGCCCGUAGCUGCGGACGCGACUGGCACGGUCUCACCCGCCGCCCUGCAGGGGACAGCCCCCGCCAGGAGCAGGGAGGCUUCCCCAGCCCCGGGGUCCCUGGGCGCAGGCGCAGGGGAAGUUGCCAGGGAAGGACAGCAAGACCCCCAGGAGCAGGCUGGCAACCCCGCGCACAGCCCACAUCGGCAACGGGGUCUUCAUCAUCCUCGGCUGCUCUCCCCGGUACUGACCUCGUCACCCUCGCCGGGGUCACUUGGAACCCCCUCACCUGGGAUCAGAGCAUCUUCGAGCAAGGGCACCAGUUCCUGGACGCCGUUAGGGACCAGCAACAGGCCUUCGUCACCUCCGUCAACGAGGUGAGGGAGCAUCAUGCUGCUGCCAAGAAUCAACUUGGCGAGGUGCGGGAGGCCGUGGAGAGAGAGUGGCCAGAACUGUCCCGGCUGCGCGAGGAGACGCGCCUCGCCGAGGAGGAGGCACGGCUGGCCCGGCAAGCCCUGGAGGACGUUCGGGAGCCAGUGGUCUCGGAGGCCGAGCUCCACCGGCAGCUGGAGGCCCAGCGCAUGGAGCUCCAGGGGAAGCUCGACUCGAUGGCGGCUACCCUCGAGGCGAACAGGAAGGAACAUGCCGAGGUGGUCGUGACGGCCCAAACCCGGCUAGACGAGAAGAGUGACCUGAUCGCCAACUACCGCGGCGAAAUCCAGGGCCUUCGCGUCAUGCUGGAGGUGCAAGUGAAGGCCACUGAAGAUGCAGUGGGAGCGGUGGCUCGGCACGAGACCGAGCUCAGCUCCGCCAAGGACAGAGCGGCCAGGCUUGAGACCGAGCUGGCCGCCGUCCGGGAGGAGCUCGCCAAGGCCGGCGAGGACAAUGUGGCCAAGGCCGCAGAGCUCGAGAAGCUGGCGGGCCGCCUCAGCAAGGCCAAGGAGGCUGCUGUCAAUGCCCGGCUUCACCACGGCACACUGAUCGGUCAGCGGAAAAUUGAGACCGAUAAGCUGCUGAAGAUCGCCCAGUCGCUGCGCGACCUGAUGCCCAAGUUUGAGCUGCAGGCGGCGGAGGUGGACGGCACGGACGUCACGACGUUGAUCCCCUUCUUCUCCGACCUGGUGGGGAAACUUGGGGCGCUCGAUGUCUGGGUCGCCCAGUACGACGCCAACGAAGUCGCCAACUGCGCUCGGGAGGUUGCGGGGACAAUCCUCCCGCGGGUUCAUCUCCGGGACCCGGAGUUUCCCUUUGAGUCCUUGCUGGACGCUUGGUCCGAUAGCGAGGACGAGCCCAUGCACACCCAAGCAGUGCGUGAGUUCAUCGAUGAGGUGGUCGAGCGCAUGCAGAUGAAGCCGGAGCCCGAUCUCCCCGCCGACCCCCCGGCCGAAGACGGCGGCAACUAGUUGCCGCAGCCCCCAGCCAUGCCUGCCGCUUCCCGAUGUAUCUUCUUUUGUUUGUUUUCCCUGCAAGUGUGGCGCUUAGCGCCGUUUGAACAAUCAUAUUUCGGAUUAGGCCAUGUAAUCAUUCGACUCUUAGUCAAUCAAGUUUUUCGACAUGUUCAUUGUUCCCGGUGCUGUCUAGCGGGGUGGCCCUUUUAGCCUUUGCGCAUUUUGCCUUGUGUUGCAGGGGACUCGCGCACCUCACCCUUGACCAGACCAGGGACCGGGGACGGACCCGCGGUGCCGACCUAGGGCCAAGCGGUAGCGGGGAGCCACUCCACUUGCGGGGUAACUACUCCAAGCCGUGCCCUUCCGGGACGGACCCGAGAAGCCACACGGGGAGCGCACUCCCCCCGCAAGCGUCCUUUUAACACUCCGGAUACGAGCGGGAUCUGGGGCCACACCCAACGAGACAACGCUCAAUUUCGUUCAGUUCUUAGCGAAUUCAGCGUUCAUGUUUAGGCACUUAGCUUUUCCGUUCAGUCCAAUGCCUCGUGACGCUUGGCGGAAAAGUGCAGCUGGAGCACUGCCUUGGUAGGGACCCACCUCGGGUACCUGUUCAAGGAAAACUGUUUCUGAGGGAUGCAGCAGGAACGCGGGGGCAGGAUCGCCGCCAACGGCAACCACCGCCGCCGAUGCUACCACCAUGCUCAUGCAGCAACCCUCGCCUUUAGGGAGGAACCCUGGCCUAGGAGGACUCCGCCCUGGGAGCGGCCGCAAGACGGCUAUAACGUCCUCGCUGCCAGCUGCACCCCACCCUGGCGGCGGGCACGGGUGGCGAGGAAGUUAUAGCCUCCCGGCGACAGCCCCCGCAACUGGGGAGACCUGGUUUUUCUACGGAGCUCGUCCCAAGGGGUGUAACAGCCCUCAUUGCCCGGGAGCAAAACUGCUCGAGGGCCGUGGCAGGGACGCGGUGAUGGGCCGAAGCGGGCGGCGGGCGCCGGCACCGACGCCAUCACAGCGUCCUCGCAAUGACCCGCACCCGAAAUAAGGCUCUCUCAAGGGGAAUGCGGCCGUGCCACUAUGAUAGUGCACCCGUCGGAGCAAGGCACGGAUGGCAUGCACUACCAUAGUGUCUCUGCGGCAGCCCCUGCUCCUUGCGGAGGUGUCUUAUGGAGGGACAUGGCAAGGGCACUGCGGCAAUGCACCCCGUCAGUGCCGGACGCUGAUGGGAUGCACCACCACAGUGCCUCCGUGGCAACCCUCGCCCAGGAGCCACCCACUUGAGGAGGCGCGGCAGGAGCACGGCGGCAGUGCACCCGUCGGCGGAGAACGCUGAUGGCAUGCACUCCCACCGUGCCUCUGUGACGCCCCUCGGGGCGGGCUCGAUGGGGUGAUGCAGCAAGGGCGCGAUGGCAGUGCACCCGUCGGCUCUAAGCGCUGAUGGAAUGCACCACCAUCGUGCCUCCGUGGCACCGCCCGCAUAACGGCCCCUCACUCGGCUUUGCUCUGAGCCGUUCCGUGGCUGGGGCGUGCCUUUUAAAGGCGCGGGAGGGGGUUUUGCCACCGCGCGCGACGGACCCGCGCAGCACCCGUGGCACCCCUCCCUUGAAACGCGGUACGGUCUCCGCCACCAUGCAUGCCAAGCAACUGUGGUACACGUGGCGGCGCCCUCCCGAGUCAGAAGCCUCGGAAUGCAGUGAGUCUCUUGUGUUGCGGUCGUCCCGCACCACAAGGCACCGGUGCAUGCCGCGACCCGUGGGCAGCCCACGGGCAUCACAGUGCACAAGAUUCCACCUUUUCCUGCAGGUUAGAUUCUUACCAGGCCCGAGGUGCCGCAAUUUUUUUCGAAAUUCACGAAAAUACACAAAGCAACACAGACAAACUCCUCCUGCCUCCCAGCCCCCGGGCACAAAGGGGUCGAUGCCAAACUUGGAUGUGAGCAUUUCAUUUCCCAGGCACAGCGCCUGCGCGGUGCACGUUGCGGGGAGCCCGACAACUGCACGUCCAGUGAUGCACGUUGCGGGAAGCCCGGCAACUGCAUGUCCCGAGCUGGAACGAUCCGGCAACGGGUUUAUGUUUUCGAGGCUCCAACAGCCCCUGCUCACAACCAAGUAUGGAAAGACACUUUUGUGCACUUAAAGCAGGAGACAGAAGAAGGAGGAACAUGCAAAUAAACAAGGCGAAUUCAAAGCUCAAGAGCGAAAUACUUAUCUUUAUUCACAAUAACUAGUGGUUUACACACAGGGGCUGCCCGGCUACACUAGUUCGAGAGGUAUGCAUCGGCGACAUCACCUGAGGGUCGGGCUCCGCCGCUUCACGGGUAGAACUUGCGCAAGUGCUCAAUAUUCCAACUAUUGGGCAUCGGCAAGCCGUCUUCGGUUUCCAGUCGGACAACCCCCGGCCUGGUCACCUGCACUACCCGGAAGGGGUCCUCCCAUUUCGGAGUCAACUUGUUCCCGGCCUUCGUUCCUUGUAUCCGGCGCAGGACAAGGUCUCCGUUCUUGAGCCCACAGGGAAGAACUUGUCGAUGGCUACGAACAAAUAUUCGUAACCGCCAACCGCCCUUGGUAGCUUACCGACGAUGUCGAGCCCUCAGACCGCGAACGGCCACGAGGCAGGGAUGACUUAUAGGGCCUGCGCCGGCUGGUUGCUCUUCUUCAAAUGGAACUGGCACGCUUCGCACGUCCUCACCAGCCGCUCUGCGUCAGCCAGGGCCGUGGGCCAGUAGAAGCCGUGCCGAAACGCCUUGCCGGCUAAAGCCCGGGAGGCCACAUGGUGUGAACAUGUGCCUCGGUGUAUUUCCUCCAACAGCGCGCGCCCUUCAUCCUGCGGCACGCAUAUGAGCUUGACACCGUUUGCACGCCUGCGGUAGAGGUUCAUAUCCACCACAGUGUACAUCUUGGCUUGUCGCGCUACUCGUUCCGCGGCGACAUCAUCUCCCGGGAGAGCCCCUCCUUUCAAGUAAUGGGCGAUCUCUUCCGCCCAGAGAGGGAUCUCCCUGCCAACGCAUGCCGCUAUGUCAGCGGCAUGGACCCCUGCUGCUGCAGGGGUUCCUUCGGUUGCCGGAGGGGCGUCCCCGGCAGCCGGCUGGGGGGCGACUGAAGGAUCCGCUUGCUUCUGACAGAACACCCC